AGCGGCCAAGCACGCUACUUAUGUGCCUCACACUGCUGGGAGGUACUCAGUUAAGCGUUUCCGGAAGGCCCAAUGUCCCAUUGUUGAGAGGCUUACGAACUCUCUUAUGAUGCACGGUCGUAACAACGGCAAGAAAUUGAUGGCCGUCAGGAUUGUUAAGCAUGCCAUGGAGAUCAUUCACCUUUUGACUGACCAGAACCCAAUUCAAGUCAUUGUUGACGCUGUCAUCAACAGGUAUUGAAGUCUGAUUUCUCUAAAACAUUGUGGAAGUUUUUCUUUGCUAUUUAUGCAACUGGUUUAUCGAUGUGCUCUUUUAUUGAAUUAUCUCGAAUUUCCUUUGUUGCUGCAGUGGUCCAAGGGAAGAUGCUACCCGUAUUGGAUCUGCUGGUGUUGUUAGGCGUCAGGCUGUGGAUAUUUCCCCAUUGCGCCGUGUGAAUCAAGCGAUCUAUCUACUCACCACUGGUGCUCGUGAAUCUGCUUUUCGUAACAUCAAGACUAUUGCCGAAUGCUUGGCCGAUGAACUCAUUAAUGCUGCCAAGGGUUCAUCUAACAGGUAACCAACCAAUCAUGGCCUUGGUUCUGCUCUGUUACUUCUUUACUUACAAUUUCUUGAAACUGAUUGUUACCACUUGCAUUUUCAGCUAUGCGAUCAAGAAGAAGGAUGAGAUUGAGAGAGUGGCAAAGGCCAAUCGCUGAGGACGUGAUAGUGGAGAAGCAGAUGCAGAAAGUUGUACUUUUAAAAAAAAAAAAAACUUUUGGACGAUGUUUUGUUGCUAUUUUAUGAAUGUUGUUUCAAGUUUUGAGUAGAUGAUAUUGAGGAUGCAUUUAGUGACUUACCGGUUCCAUAUGCCAUGUGGUGGAUGUUACGAUGGAGUCUGCACAACUUAGUCAAACUAGAAUUUGAUGGUUUAUAAAUUCUGCUGUUUGUGAUUACCACAGUGCUUCUUGAAUGCAUUCUUCUGAAGAUUGAUGUGAUUUUUUCUCUCUUUAUUACUGGCAUAUCCUUAGAAUUUAAAUGGUUUUUUAAUGUUAUAUAUAUAUAUAUAUAUAUAUAUCAUUCAAUGAGGUCACUUUGACUUGGCCCGUAGGCGAAUGUUGAGUCUUUGAGUUCUUAAUUGCAUUUUGAAAAUUAAUCUUAUUUCUUAAUCAAUAUCCAUAAUAUAAUAUGAAAACCAAAUUUGUGAAUUUGAUUCAAGCUUUCCCUGUCCAAACCCAAGCCCAAGUCGAAGCCCAGGGGUCUGUUAAUAAAAAUUAAAAGAAAACAUAAAAUUAAAGGAAAGCAAUAGAAAUUCUCCUGCGGUCAAAAGGUUUUGUAAGAAAAAGAAUUUUGUUCUUACCGGAUUUCUUGAGGAAUAUCGAUAAGGUUACUUUUUGUGUGUGUGUGUCUGUGUGUGUGUGUAUUUAAUAGGGUACCUUUAGAGGGGUGCUUCUUAUAAGUCUAUUUAUAAAAUAGUUCGAUGCGGAUUAUUUAUAAUUGUUAGAUGCAAACAAACUUGUUGACAUUUCAAAUAUUUUUUUUUCAAUAGAAUAACAAGAGUAAUGAUACACUUUCGUGAGGGAAUUUACUAAAAAAUUGAAAGCAAUCGAAUUUUCUAACUAAGGUACUAGUAAAAAAUAAAGUAUUAUUUUAUGCUAUAUAAUACGUAAUAUUUUCAAAAGAUAGAGCAAAUUCAAGUUUCAAUUAGUAUUCCCUAAUUAUACUCAUUUAUGUUCGUAGAGCAACAAUAAAGAAUUGCAUAAAAUUAAAUUUGAUAGAAAUCAUAAGUUAAUUCAUAUCGUUCUUCAAUAAAAUAUGAACUAGGUAUUUUGGUUUGUUUAUUCUUUAUUUAUUCAAAAUCAUUAACUAGUUUUUCUCGACAUGUAUUGAUUAUUUACUGGGUGAGGCUAAUUACACUUUAAAAACUGAUUUCAACACUCUAUUACUUUGAACACUCAUUUAUUAAAUUUAAAAAAUUAUAUUUUACUUUGUAUACUCUUUCAAAUACCAAAACAAUUCCUUACUUAAACUACUUUAAUUAAUUAUCUUUAUUUACUCCGCACACUUAUAAAAAUACUCAUCUUAAAAAAAUAAAAUAAGGCACUCAAAAUUUUUAUGGAUUAGUUUGUAAUUUAAUAAUUUAUUUAAAAUAAUUCAUUUAAGAUCUUUUAGAGAAGUAAGAUUAUAAUUUCUGCUGGUUUUCUUUAAAGUAAUUUCUGUUGGUAUUAUUAAUGAAUAUUUCACUCAUUCAAUUAACGCCAUGACUACAACUUAGAAGAAUAAAAAAUAAAUGGAUCAUGGAUGAAUACUUUUCUCAAUCAACAUGGUCAACGUACAAUUUCACUUAAAUGAAUUUUCUAACUUAAUAGAUGUUUGUGGUCUAUAGUCAUUCUUAAUGGCCGUGAUUCAUAAUACAUUGGCACGAACCUGUUAAUUAACACUUAUAUUUAUGUAAAUUUAAUAAUUCGUAGUCGGUGGAUUGAUUAUUGAUCUAUUUUUGUAAAUUCGUAAAAAUCCGAGAAUUCGUAAAAAAAUAAAAAGUAUUUAUUUAAUUAAAAAUAAAACUUGUAAAUAUGACAUUAGUACUUGCUAGUAAAUAAAUAAGUUAAAAUAUAGUUACAUUAACACUAUAUUAUAUCUUAUUCGAUAAUAACAUAAAAUAAAAAAUAACUAAAUAAACAAAUAUAGCUUCCUAAAUAGUAAAUUUUCAUUUUGGUGUGUUAUAUUUUGAAACUUUAAAUGCAUUUUCUAGUUUUAUUUAAACAAUUAAUUUAUUUAAAUCUUAUUUAAUUUUAAAUUUGGUCGGUAGUAAAAUUAUUUUUAUAUUAAUUUUUUUUAUUUAGUUAAUUCGUGGAUUGGACAUAAUUAAAAAUUUUCAGUCCAUAAACCAAUCCGCAAAAUGAUGGAUUUGGUCAAAUCCUCAUAUGAUCCAUAGAUGUAUGAAUUAGAUUUAGAUUGAAUUUCACCAAUAUAUGGAUUGGAUUGGAUUGAAAAUUUAUAGUCCGUAAAAUUGUGGAUUGGAUAUGGAUUGUUGUCCAAUCCAUAAAAUCUGAUUCGCGAACACCCCUAAGGGUCGGUUUGGGAUUGCGGUUGAAAUUCAAUAAGCCACUUAUUUCAUAAUUUUUGAUAAAAAUAUUGUUUAAUAAAUUUUAUAAAAUCGGCUUAUUUCAUAAUUUUCUCAAUUUUAUCAGCAACUUUUAAAAGCAGGUAAGGAAUUGCUUUUCGUAAGCAGCUUAUUUAAUAAGCUACCACACCUUUUUAAAAUUCUUAUUACAACCCUGCAUUUUAAUCAAAAGACAAUUGUAUCUAACUUAUUCAUAAACGCUAAUAUAUAAAUCAUCAGAUAUCAUAUUAUCGCUAUAAUUUAGUUACCACCAUAAUUACGUACAUUCUCUCCGGUUUUGAUUCGGUAAGUUCAUAUUCUAAUUGAGUUUUCUAAUGUAAGUUCAUAUUCUAAUGUAAUUUUACAUAUUUAUGAAAAAAGAUAUGUCUAAAUAAUUUAUUAAAUAUACUCUAAAAAUAACAAGUAAUUAAAACUUAUGUUUAUUUUGGUCAUCAUAUAAUAAAACAACACUUUUGUGAGAAAAUUUAUCAAACGCAUGUACUCUACUUUUUAAACUUACAGUAACCACAACAAUACAAUUUACCAAAUAUUAAAUUAUUUUUUUAAUCAGUAGCUUAUUUUAUUUACACGACACAAAUAAUUUAUUUCAUCAGCCCCGUAAUCUCAAACUAACACUAGGAAUAACUGAUUUGAUAUUGUUACCUUACUUGAAGAGUUUAAUGCUGUUGAUUAAAAGGAAAAUAAAAUUUAAGAACUGGGACCAAACAUGCCAGGCCCAGCCCAAAGAUCCUUCAUUUGAGAAAAUUAAAAUCAAAUAAAAAAAAAGAAAAAAAGAAAAAAAGCUCUUAGGUGGCUUAAACGGUUAAACCUGCUCUGCUCGACUGCUCCGCUCCGCUCCGUAGUUUUUUUCAUCGGGUCCGGGUAGAGACCCAAAGGUCUUGAGCGACCGAUCCGGCUGAACAACUCAAAAGAUAAAGAAGUAUCGUAAGUGCAAACUGAAUUUGUUUCUUGCAAUGAAGCUUGUGCGCCUGAGAACAACGCUGUACAACAUCAAAGCACAAUUGGGUCUCGGGAAUGUAUUGGAUUCUUCUUCCUCUUACUCGACGGCGACAAGAACUACGACUCGAGAAGUGACAAAUAGUUUGCGGAAGGGUUCAUCAAUGUAUAAGCUUUACCGCAUGCUUUCUCCAAUGGGGGACCCAAAUGAUUCAAUGGUUCCGCUGCUCGAUCAAUGGGUCGAAGAAGGACGCCCAUUGGAUAUGGAACAGCUCCGAAUCAUCAUUAAGAAGUUUCGGUUGUACAAACGAUUCUCUCACGCUCUCCAGGUAUUAAAAGUCGUAAUAUUUUUAUUAUUAUUUGCAUUGCAAUUUUCAAAAAAGUUCUGUUGAAAAUGUUUGUUACUGUAAUGAUUUUAUGGCUCCAAAAAAUUUGUAUCAUGUUCCCCUUUGAUGGCAUUUUGAGAUGUAGUAGUAGAUUUGGGAAUUGUAGCGGGAUAGCCUAGCCUCAUGAAUCCGGAUAGCUAAAACUUUCAUUUUUGCUCUAUGUUGUGUAGUUCAUAUAUGGAUUAUCUGAAAUUGAAACGAUUUCAGUUUCAUUACUAGUUUUUGGACUGUAUUUUUGCACCUUUGCUCCCAAGCCUGUUGAUGGUCCUGUUGGUUGAUGAGAAUAGAUUGAUUGAGUUAACAAGUCUACUUAACUUAAUGAGACUGAUCAAGGGAGCCGUUUUUUGUUUUCUGUAAAUUCGACUUUCGGGGAAGCAUACUGGAUUUGAGCUACCUGUGAUAAGUGGAACCAUUGGUUUCUUGUUAUUAGUAAGGAUGCUUAUUCUGUUUUAUGAUUUCAUUUUUUUGUCAUCUCAUUGGUUUAUCUCCCCGUCCCCCUUCCUUCCCAGAUAUCUAUGUGGAUGACCAAGAAGAGCAACUUCGUACUCACACCUGCUGAUGUUGCCAUUAGGCUAGACUUGAUUGCUAAAGUUCAGGGAAUAGAACAAGCAGCAAAUUAUUUCAAUUGUGUUCCAGAAAAGUUAAAGCUUCCCAGCGUUUAUAUUGCUCUCCUCAAUGCCUAUGCCUGUGCAAAAUCUGCAGAAAAGGCAGAGAUUAUCAUGCAGCAAAUGAGGGAUCGGGGGUUGGUUAAAAAAACUAUAGAUUACAAUUCCAUGAUGAAUGUUUAUUAUCAGACUGGAAAUUACAAGAAACUUGACAGUCUGAUGCACGAAAUGGAAGAAAAGGGUAUUGAUUGUGACAAAUAUACAUUCAGCAUCCUUCUCAGUGCGUAUGCAGCUGCUUCUGAUGGUGAGGGAAUUGACAAGAUUGUGGCAAUGAUGGAAGCGGAUCGGGGUGUUGUUUUAGACUGGACAGUUUAUGCUACAGCAGCUAGUGGAUAUGUAAAAGCUGGGCUUUCGGACAAGGCUUUGGCAGUGUUAAGGAAGUCUGAGGUACUAAUGAUGCACAACAAAUUCAGUAGAGCAUAUGAUUUUGUUAUCACACAAUAUGCAGCAUGUGGGAAUAAAGAUGACGUUUUAAGAGUUUGGAAACACUACAAGCAGAACUUGAAGGUUUACAAUAGGGGCUAUAUUUGUGUUAUAUCUUCCUUGUUGAAAUUUGAUGGCAUGGAAAGUGCUGAGAAGAUUUUUGAGGAGUGGGAGUCUCGUAAUUUAUGUCAUGAUAUCCGAAUUCCAAAUCACUUGAUCGAUGCAUACUGCAGAAGAGGGCUUUUGCACAAGGCUGAAACUCUUAUCUACAAGGCACAGUUGAGGGGGACAGAGCCUAAUGUCAGGACAUGGUAUCUUAUGGCAACGGGGUAUCUUCAAAAUAAUCAAAGUGAGAAAGGAGUGGAAGCAAUGAAGAAAGCGUUAGUGCUUUUGGAAGCUGGAACCAGGUGGAAGCCAAGCAAGGAAUGUUUGGCUGCCUGUCUGGGAUACUAUAAAAAGGAAAGAGAUAUUGAGGGGGCAGGUUAUUUCAUAAAAUUACUUACCGGCAAGGAAAUUAUCUCUGCAGAUCUUCAUGAUAGAUUGUUAAAUAAUAUACGAAAUGGGUAAUCAAAUUGGAUUGUACGCAGCUGAGUUCUCUGGUAAUUCUUUGGCUGGGAAGGGAGAAUCACUUUUGAACCUUAAGAAUGUUAGCAGUAUUAAGAAGAGGAAACGCUGCAAACACAAAAUUACAACAAGAAAAGGAGUAUGACGGCGUUUAUUUUGUGAGAGCUUUCCAUGUAUUUUGAUUGGAAGGCGCAAUAAUGUUCAGAAAGUUGAUGAAAUUGUUCAGUUUACGUGCAGCAUUAUAAUAAAACUGCUUUUACUAGAUUUGUUUCUUCAAAACCAACUUCAAGCUAAGACCAAUGCUUGUAAAGUUUCACAAGUCCAGAAUGAGUUUCUGGGAAUGACACUUGCCCAAUUAGAGACUGAAUCUGCUAAGACGGCUCACAGUAUUUCUACCUAUAGAAAAGAUCGUGAAAGAGGCGAUCAGAAUGGUACUCGAAUCCAUUUUACGGUCUUGAUUUUCGAGAGCCAUCGCACUUCCACUCGGGUUCGAGCCUGCCACUCGGUCCUAAGAUGGAUCAAAGAAGAAUGGGGAAUCUCUCGCUGGUUUUGACACCUUUUUAUACUAAACUGUGAACUUAUCAAAAUAGCCGAAUUCAAGUUAUUAAGUAAUAAUAAAACUAAAUUUCCAAAAUCAAGCGCAAGUAAAAAAAAAAAAAUCAAUUUGACUUGUAGAAAAUAAAAUAAAAUAAAAUACAAAUUUGAGAAAAAUUUGGAAAAAUUAUAAAGAAAACUUCAAAUAAGUAAUUGAGGCCAAAAUGAAGGAAUUGGAGAUGAUCUGUUGAUUUAUAAUAAUAAAAUCCUAUGAAUCACAUUCCAUUGCUAUGUUUGGAAGUUUGAAAUGGUAUAUUACAUAUCCUAAAAUAAACACUUAUGUUUGGUUUGAAGAAAUAUAAAGAGAAGAGAGGAAAGGAGCAGAAAAAAAUGAGGAGAGAAAAAUAAAUUUCUUAUUUAGUUAAAUAAAAAAAUAAGAGUAAGGUGGCGUUUGUUUUUUUGUCUGAAAUCUGAAUAGACCUGAAUUAGUCUGAAUUCUGAAUAGGUCUGAAUGUCUGAAUCUGAAUAAUAUGUUUGUUUUUUCGUCUGAAUCUCGAAAAAUAAGUAUUAAGUUGUUUGUUUUUUUCAACUUAAAAAGCUGAAAAUAUGUACUUUUACAUUUGUAUCCUUAUUAAAUUUGAAUGUCAAAUAAAUAAUAUAUUAAAUACCACAAUAUUUUAACAUUUAUAAGUAAAACUAUAUUCAAAUGAAUACAUAAUUAUUUUAGAAUUUUAAUAUAUAAAAUACCAUAAAUUUCAAAUUUUAUCAUAUAUAAUAUAAGAAAGAAAAAACAGGGAUAUUUUUAUGUGGGGUAAAUAUCUAUAGGUGAGUUUUGGGAUAGACAUGAAAAAUGAAUUAUAAAACAUGGAUAUUUUUGACAUUAGCAAGUAAUUGACUUAAUUCAGAUUUCUCCAUUAAGUAAAAAGCCAAAAAAAUUAGCUUAUUUUAUUAAGUCAAAAUUAUCUAAAAAGUCUCAUUAAGUUAUAAAAACAAACACCUCUAAUUAACUUAAUUAAUUAAGUUAAGUCACUUUAAAUCAUUAAGUUAAAAAACAAACGCCACCUAAAUCUAUUUUUUACUCAUUUUCUCUCAACUCUUUCUUUUCUGUACAUCUCCUCUUCUACCAUUUCUUCCAACCAAACAUGGGUUGGAGUUUUAGUUACCGGCCCAAAAAUUAUACUAGGCAUUCUCCCAAACCUUGCCUACAUCAGAUAGUUUGAGGAUGACGUAAUUCAUAGUAACUAGUAGAAAAUGUAAUUAAAUUUUAACGCAAUAAUAUAAUUAAAUAUUAAAAUAUAGUCAGCUAUAGAAGUUUAUUAUUAUUAGAAGAAAAAAAAGGACUGUUAGUCCUCUAAUAUUUGGAACAGAAACAUAAAAUCCUCUAAUAGUUUAAAAAAAUAUAUAACUUUUAUAUUCUAUUAAUCUUUAAUUUACUUUAACUGAGAAAUAGGUAAUAUUGUAUAUUCACAAAAAAAAAAUGAUUGUAUUUUUAAUAAAUGACGUAUAAAACUUAUAAAAUCAUAUUCUUCCCUAAAAUUACAGCUGCAACUACUCUACAAAUUAAUAAGAUUUACAAUAUAUUUUUUAAAAUUGAGUGAGUUUUUUACUCCUUUCCAUACGUUAGAAUCCUAAAACCCCAUUUCCCCAUUACCCUUUUAUCACAAACCCUACAUUGUUCUGUCAUUUCCCCGUAAACUGAAAAUUUUCAAGCAAAUGAAGCUCCCACGCUACUAUACAGUACUCUACAACAUCAAAGCUCAAUUGGGUCUGGGAAAUGGGCUGGGUUUAUCCUCUUACGCGACAGCGACGAGUACCGCAACUCGAGAAAGUAAGUGGAAGGGUUCAAUGCAUACUCUUUUCCGUAGGAUUUCUCCAAUGGGAAAUCCAAAUGUCUCGAUCGUUCCGCUACUCAACCAAUGGGUUGAAGAAGGACAUCCGGUCGACAAACAACAGCUCCAAAGGUUCAUCAAGGAGCUGCGAUUUUUCAGCCGAUUCACUCACGCUCUUGAGGUAUCAAUUUAAGGGUCCUUUUUUUGAAAUAAUUUUUUUUAAAAUUGUUUUGGAAAUUACUAAUUAAACGAUGCGUUUGGUUCUCUUGAAAAGAAAAUGGAGAUUUUAUAAUUUAAUUUGAGUAUUUUGCAUUGCAGUUCAAGAAAUUCCGUGCUCAUAGACUGAAUAUUUGUAAUGAAUUUAUUAGAAAAUCUUGACGACGCCCAUGGGCUCCAUUGAUUUUUUAGCAAGGUUUAUUUGCGGUUCAUUUUGCAAUUUUGAGUAACAAUUUGUGCCAUAAUGAAGUCAUAUGUUACAUUUGCCUGUUCUAUUUGAAGGUAUUGAGUUGACUGUUUCUUGAACUUCUCCUGGUUUUUGGGAGCUGAACCGCCAAGCUUUAGUAUCUGAUCUCUUUUGUGUAUUUCUCAGAUGGAUCUUUUACAUUUAUUUAUCAUAAGAUUUUAGCGAUGAGUUGUUUUUAGCUGUCAUCCAAUUCCUAAUUGAUAAUCCCAAUUUUUUUAUCCGGGCAAACUACAUUCAGCAAGGAGAGGGAAAUAGCUGCAGUUAUCAACACUUUUUGCUGUUCUACUCAACUAUAUUUUUGGCGAAGAAUAAAAAUCAUUAGCUGCUGAUGCUAAUUAGACACUGUAUUGUUGUUAUUAAACUUUUUGGAUAUUUCAUCAUGAUUUUGGGUAUCUCCAAUGUUUGGCUUCCUAAUAUUAUGAUCUGUCCCCCCUCUCUUCCCCAGAUAUCGAUGUGGAUGACAGACAAAAGGUAUCUCAAUAUUACAGCUGCUGAUGCUGCUGUUCAGCUGGACUUGAUCGCUAAAGUUAAAGGCAUAGAAGAAGCAGAAAAUUAUUUCAGUUAUAUCCCAGAAAAAAUAAAGGGCCUUGAGGUUUAUUCUGCUCUUCUCAACUGCUAUUCCAAUGUAAAAUCCACAGAUAAAGCAGAGGCCACCAUGCAGAAAAUGAGAGAUUUGGGGCUGGCUAGGACAACACUGGUUUACAAUAGCAUGCUUAAGCUUUAUUAUAAAACUGGAAAUUUUGAGAAACUUGACAGUCUGAUGCACGAAAUGGAAGAAAACGGCAUUACUUAUGACAGAUACACGUAUUGCACCCGUCUUAGUGCAUAUGCUGAUGCUUCUGACCAUGAGGGAAUUGACAAGAUUUUGACAAUGAUGGAAGCAGAUCCCAAUGUUGCAUUGGACUGGGUAAUUUAUGCUACUGUAGGAAACGGGUAUGGAAAAGUUGGGCUUCUAGACAAGGCUUUAGCAAUGUUGAAGAAAUCUGAGGAACAAAUAAAGGGUGCAAAGGUCAAUAGCGCAUAUAACGUCAUUCUCACUUUAUAUGGAAAAUAUGGGAAGAAAGAUGAUGUUCUAAGAAUUUGGGGAACUGUACAAGAAAGCAGUGAAGGUUCUCAACAAUGGCUAUAGAAAUGUCAUAUCUUCCCUGCUGAAACUUGAUGACCUAGAAAGCGCUGAGAAAAUUUUUGAGGAGUGGGAAUCCCAGGCUUUAUGCUAUGAUACCCGGAUACCAAACUUCCUUAUUGAUGCGUACUGCAGAAAUGGGCUUUUGGAGAAGGCUGAAAAUCUUAUAAACCAUGAGAAAUUGAAGGGAAGGGAGAUUCAUGUGAAGUCAUGGUACUAUUUAGCUACAGGGUAUCGGCAGAAUAAUCAAAUUCAUAAAGCAGUUGAAGCAAUGAAGAAAGUAUUAGCAGCUUAUCAAACUUUGGUCAAGUGGAAGCCAAGUGUGGAAAGCUUGGCUGCAUGUCUUGAUUACUUUAAAGAUGAAGGAGAUAUUGGUGGAGCAGAGAAUUUCAUAGAACUCCUCAAUGAUAAAGGUUUUAUCCCCACGGAUCUUCAAGACAAAUUAUUGGAUAACGUUCGAAAUGGAAAAUCAAACUUGGAAACUCUCAGGGAGUUGUAUGGUAAUUCUUUGGCUGGAAAUGAAGAAAUACUUUCAGGUCCAGAGGGUGAUACCAGUGAUUUGAUAGAAGAGAAAGUACAUUGAAACAUGAUUUCCGAAGACCUCUCUAACUUUCCCAUAACCUAGCAUUAGGUAGUAGAAGCAAAAUGAGCAUGAAGGUUUAUUUGGUGAUUGUAAGAGAUAUUUUCAUGUCCAUUUUGGGAUAAUGGCGAUGAAGCCACUUCUGAAUCCAUCAUCUUAGAUGGUUAAUGAAGGAAGUAUGUUUAUGUUUCUUCCAAAUUAUUUGUGGUGGUGGUGGUCGGAUAAAUGGUUGCUUUCACCCAAAACAAAAAACAAGUGAGAAAAUGAGGAAUCAUCCUUGUUUAUUCUCUGUAAAAAAUUAAUUUCUUGUUCAAAGAGACUCUCUUAAAGAUUCUGUAUAUCUCUGAAAGAAUUUUAAGGAAAGUUCUAUUCUUAAACGAAGGAUUACUACAUUUUUUGCACGAACAAUUUUUAAAUUUCACAAUUCUGAAACUUGCUGAUUGUAUAAAAAUAAAAGGUAAUGAUAUAGUCAUAAGUUUUUGUACAAAAAUAAAUAAAAAAUGUAUACUAAUCAGUCUAAUCUAAUUUAUUAAGACAUUAUGGCGUCACUUGGCAUGGUAAAAAUAAUUUUUUUUUCUUUUAUGAAAUAAUAAUUGUUUAAAAAAGACGAACAAUUUUACUACUCGUAUAAAGAAUUACUCAUCUCUGCAUACAAGCUACAGCAGCCGCGGCAGCCAAAAGUAACCAAAAUGGAGGAGCUCAAAGAAAACAAAAUGCACCUCAAAAACGACGACGUUGAAGUCGAAGAGGAUGAUGACCGGCCGAUGCUGAGCUCUCAAGCUUUGGCAGCUCUUCAGGAAUUCCUUUCAGAACAAAACCAAACUUCGGAAACUGCUCAAAAUAAAACAGAAUCAGACUCAGAUGAGGUGGCGUUAGUGUCGGAGGACUGGAGGCUGAGCCAGUUCUGGUACGACGCCGUUACGGCAGAGACUGUAGCUCAAGAAGCCGUUUCUCUUUGUAGUGAUUCCGAUUCUCGCGUUGCCUGUAUUGCUUGCCCCACGCUCUACGCUUACUUAAAGGUAAUUUAUUUAUUGAUUGAUUGAUUAUUUGUAUGUAUUUACUCUUUUUUUUUUUGGGAGAUAAAAUUGAUUCAUUUGAAUUUACAGAAAAUUAGACCUGAGGUGUCGGCGAAAAUACUUGAAUACGACAUGCGUUUUGAGCAAUAUGGAAGUGAUUUUGCGUUUUAUGAUUAUAAUCAACCGCAAGAUUUGCCGUUGGAGCUCAAGCAUGCUUUCAAUGUUGUUGUCGCAGAUCCACCUUAUCUGGUGAGAUUUUAUUAAUCAUCAUUUUAAUUUAUUCAAAAAUGGUUAAAUUGUUGAAAUGCUAGUAGCUUAGUACAUAAUUUUUUGUUAAUUUUUAAUCUGCUUCCAUGUAACUGUGGAGCAAUGAGAUUAAUAUUGGUGAUUAUGGUCGUAGAUUGGACGCAUAGUCACUACUAUUCUACUAAGCUUUUAAGCCUUUGCGAGGGUAGACAAUUUUUCUUGCCUUCUAAUGUCUAUGAUCUCUUAAUAUUUUGAAAAAUAAUCUUGUUAGAAAAAUGAUAAAUAAGUGUUUUGAAUUCCUUUGAGGCUUGGACACCCUGUGCCAACUCCAAGCAUUUUAUGGGUUAUUUAAAAAGGAAAAAUUAAGUUGGACUUGUUGCAAUUGCAUGAGUUCAUCCAUUUGUAUCUUACGUAUCCCUGGUAGAUGCAUGUGGCGGGGAACAUGAUUCCUAGUUCUAUGUCUAGCUGUGAGCAUAUUGUAUGGUCAAGUUUGGAAUCACAUGCUUAUAAAUGUAAGUAGAAAUUGAUGGGUUGAUUCUAUUGAUAUGUGUGAUCAACAGAGCAAGGAGUGUCUGGAGAAAGUAAGUGAAACAGUUUCUUUUCUUGCUAGACCAGGGGAUUCGAAGUUGCUUCUACUCACAGGUUGACAUUGAUUCUCCAUCCAUUCUUGUAACAUAAUUGCUCUUUAUAUGUUUGGUUUAUACCUUUUGAAAGAAUUUAGUGACCCUGUUAUUAGUUACUCUUACCACAUAAUUUUCUUAGGCUUUUCUUUGUAGCCUUUUCAUGGUAAAUUCGAUAGAUUGCAUUUGUGAUGGUUGCAGGUGAGGUGCAGAAGGAGAGAGCUGCAGAGCUUUUAGGUUUGCGUCCGUGUGGUUUUAGACCACAGCACUCUAGCAAACUUGGGAAUGAAUUUCGACUAUUCACAAACUAUGGCCCGGGUACGAGAUUAGGAGGGUGGGAGCAAGAGAACUAGGUGCAUGUUGCUUUCUACAACUGGACUAAUGUUACCUGGCCAAUGGUAUGACCAUAUGUGGUUUCUGUAUUUAUAGUCCUUGUAUUAUUUUGAUUGCUUAAAAAAAAAAAAAAGGUAUAGAUAUCAGUUAGCUAAUAUCUUGAGCCAUGAUUGUCAUUCUAGUUUAGAUAUCUGACAUUUGAAUUAUGGCAACAGAUUUGAUUACAGUUUCUUAUUUUAGCUGCAAAAACUAAGAUGAUGGUGGGAGGCUUUCACUUUCGAGUUGUAAUUAUGGAAAAACUCCAGCUGAAUUGUGCUCUCAUUGCUCAGCAUGAAAGUGAACUGCAAGGAGAAUGUGUUUCUUUCACUUUGUUCUUGUGUUAUUUUCCUCUCUUACUUUUUUUUUCCUCGUUUUAAGACCAAUUUUGACAUUUAACUAUGAACCGGUACAUUAUCCUGUACGAAAUUGCAAAUUUGUAUGUUUUGAGAUAAUGUAGUCGGAAUAUUUCCAUUUUUUCCUGAUCUUCUCUUCCCCAAAGAAAGUGUGUAAACCCAAAAGCUUUUAGAAUUUUCAUCGUAUUUUACCCGGGAUGCAGCAUAGACUAACAAGUAGUUUGAAACGUAUACUCAUUGACGUUGUAUUAGAACUGCGGAAAGUUGUGCUCAAAUGAUGGAACAUUAUUAUAGAUUUUCACGUGGUGAGUGAUUUAUCUAAAUUAUGUGUGAAUUGUAGAAAAUUUGUGUGUAUACGAUAUGAGAUGCAUGACUCUAUAAUUAAUAGGUGAAUUGUAUAAAGUUCAAAUAAUGUAACAUAUGGUGCGAAAUUAUCUCAAAUUGUCUUGUAAUUAGUGAUUUUUAAAAUUAUGUGUGAAUUGCAUAAAAUUUGUGUGUAUACGAUAUGAGAUGCAUUACUCUAUAAUUAAUAGGAUUAAUUGAAUCCUUACUAAGUUUAUUUGAUUAUUGAAGUUAAAUAAGAAAUUAUUUUUAAUUUGAGUCUUAAUAUCAUGUCAUAUUAUUUAGGUAUUCAAAUAGUGACGUAUCUAAUAUUACUUAAACAAAUAUUAACUUUUGUGACAUCUUAUUUAAAAAAAAUAUCAAAAGAUCAAAAAGCACCUAAUUGUCAAACCUAAACUUAAACCAUGUUUGGAAUUGAGGUGAUAUAACUUUUAAAUUAUGUGGAAAAAAAGUUAUAAUUAUGAAAUAAAAGUUAAUAUUACGUAGUAAAUAUAAUUAAAAAAAAUAAUUUUGAUAAAAUUAGUAAAGAUAUAAUAGAUUUUUCAUUAUAUAAGUGUAAAAUUAAAUCAACUUAAUUUUUAAAUUAUAAUAAUUAAUAUUUACCAAAUAUUUUAGUGGCGUAACUUUUCAGGUACAAUUGUCUAAUCUCUUCCUCAAACAAGCUAAUCAAAUUGGACUAACAACUUUUAAUAUAUUUUGGCUUCAAAUUUUAUAAUUUCACAAAUAGGAGAAAGUUUAACAAUUUGUAUCAAAUAGGUCCACAGCAGGCAGUAGUGAUUUGGACAAUUGGACAGUAUAUGUCCUUAAUUAAGAAAACGUUAAAGAUUCAGGGACCCGAAUGUUGUAAAGGAUUACUGGAUUAGGUGGAUCCGAACCCGAAGCAAAAAUUGGAAAUCUCUCGAGAUUCUGAGGCAUCGGUCAAGAUGCCACCUUUUUUUAUAAAAUGAUCGGCAGGUUCGCUAAAAGACUUCAAGUAAAAGUCACCGAGAAGCUUACUUCUUGACGUGCAAAAUGAGACCCAACAUUGUUUCGGAGGUAAGCUCAGUCAGAUCUAACACACUACAACUCUGUGUUGUUAGGGUUUCAUAAUUCGAAUAAUCGUGAUUUUUUUUAUUGCAAAGUAAAAACGUUACUUUCUUUCGUACUUGCCGAGAAAGUGUGAGAAAAUGUAACGAAAUGAAAGUUCUUGGAUCGUAUCUGUUGUUCUUUCUAAAAUUUGUGCUUCUUUAUGUUAGUUUCUAGCUUGUGAGCUUCAUUGUGUUAAUGCUGUUACUCUUCUGAUGUAAAAUUGUGCAUUCGAGUUGCUGUUGGUGUUCGAAAAGUGUGAGUGAUUGUCAAUUUUAGAGGAUUCUUACUGUAGCUAAAGAGCUGGUCGAAAAAUUAAAAUGUGUUUAUGAAUGAAUGAAUGAAGUAGAGAGAUCAAGGACUCAUUGGUUUUGGUCAGUUUCUUUGAGCUUAUAGUUGCUCUUUUUUUUUUUUUUUUUUUAAAAAUGCUAAAGUUGGAUAUUAAUUUGUUUAAUGUUUCUAAAACAUGUUUGUAAUUGCUGUGUUUUUACUUAAUUUUGAAAGUAAUGCAGCUGAAGUGUUAGAUAAAUGAUCCGCGUAUACUUGACACCUAGUAAUUUUAUGUCUCAUAGCAACUAUGGAUUUGUCACUGCAACCGAAUUCCAAACAUAUCCUUAAUCAUAUGGAGCUUUUAGCAUGAAGGAUGUGAUUGCUUCUUACGCCUUUAUCUGAUACUGUCUUUCUAUAAUGAUCUGAGAGUGUGCUUUUCUCAUUUCCAUAUUAGAUGAAAUGCUAAUUAAUGUGCUAAUUAUUGUGCCUCUAGAAAUCCAGUUCUAUAGAUUGGUCUAGACGGGGGGUUGUUCUGUCAGUGUUUUUGGUUGAAAAGAAUAUCCAUUACGAAUAGUUUUUCAACUUUAUGUAAUUGAUGUCUCACUUGAAUCUUAACUUGGUGUUUAUUGGUUUAUACUUUAUAGGCGGGGUUGUCCACCAGAGCGAAUCAGUGGUGGGAAAGUAUUCCAUUCUUUACUUCUGCUGUGGUGAUUGUUUGUGGGACAAUUUACUUGAUCUGCCUCUUGUUUGGAUACGAUUCCUUUUAUGAAAUAUGUUUCCUCCCAUCUGCAGUUAUAUCACGGUUUCAAGGUACAUUCAUGCAAUCUGACAAAGAUGAUUAUCAUUAUAAAUAUGUGGGUACAAACACAUUGAACCUUCUCUGUGAUAUGAUCAAAAGUUGGUCAUGAUCAUGUUGGAAAGAUUUUUCCUCAUUUUGACUGCAUGGCUGUAGUAUUUUGCGAGUUAUGUGAAUAAUUAGGAAUAACUCCGAAGAAACACUAUGUAAUUCUUUACACUAUUUACUGCAUGAUUUGUUGCUCCAAUGUAUCAUUUACCUGUUUUUUCUGUGAUUGCACUCGAGCUAUUUUGUUACGCCAAAAUGGAAUUAAUGAUUGCUUUGGUAACUGUGAAUUCUUCACCCUAUGUCACUAUCUUUUUUCCUGCAAUUGCGCUGUAGUUAUGUCGAUACGUUAAUAUGGAAUUAAUUAUUUCUUCGGUAACGGUGAAUAGUUCACACUUUGGAUUACAUAAAUCAAGCACUAACUCUAGCUAGCAGCUGAGUAGUAUUUGUUGGAAAUGGGAGAACAUGGAUCAUGGAAAUUUUCUGGAUAAUAAGCUCCCGUUCUUAGUUAGGGGUAAAUAGUCAACGGACUAGUCACUUAUGCAUACUUCCUAACUUAUGAUGGUAGUUUUUAGUUAUUUCUUCUACGAGCCUAUCAUGGGUCACAAAACAAUGCGCCAUUCUACAAAAAUAUAUGUUCUGACAAAUCAUAUCAUUCGUUAUACUGACCUUUUUUUAAAAUGUGUCCCUCUGUACUUUUUGAUCACAUGGGAUGGUAAUUGUCUGUUGCCGUUUCCUUUUGAAUGUAACAAUUAUUGUUCUUCCUCAUAUAUAUAUUUUUAUCCUAGUUUUUCAUUCUAGGAUAUGUACCCUCAUGAAGGAGAAAAAAAUGCAAUCUUCGAACAUGCCACUUGGUAAAUUUUGGACUUGGCCUUUUCUAACCAAGCAAUGGCUGCCACAGGUCUCUGCAUGACUUGCAUUUGGGAACCAAAAACUCUCAUUUUAUAAGCCUCCUGGUGUUCUAGUUACAUUGUUGAUUUCAAUCUGGCUGUCCUGUCAGGAGGUUAAUCAUCCAUGUUACUUGGAUGUUUGUUUUAACUUUGAGAAGCAUUUCAAUUGCUAACCUAAAUAUAAUCCAUAUUCAAUUGUCAAUAAGAGAUAACAACGACAACAACAACUAUUAUUAUUAUUAUUUUUGUUGUUGUUGUUGUUGUUGUUUACUUCAUAUUACGAAGAAGAUCAUAUUUUUGUAAUUUUCUUAAGAGAGUGAAUCAUUUCUGUCUAUGAUAAUUAAUUUUACUCUUUUGUCUUGCAGUUUAUAGGUUUUAUACCUCCAUUGUUUUUCAUGGUUCACUGCUACAUGUUCUAUUCAACAUGUUGGCUUUGGUUCCUUUGGGUUCUGAACUGGAGCGAAUUAUGGGAUCUGUCCGCAUGUUUUACAUUACUAUUUUGUUGGCCACAAGCAAUGCUAUUUUACAUCUUCUAAUUGCUUUGUUGGUAGCCCAUAUUCCAUUUUAUCGGUUACAGAAUGUCAUGGAUGAGUGUGCAAUCGGCUUCUCAGGAGUUAUUUUCUCUUUGAUCGUCAUAGAGACAAGUUUGAGUGGAGCCCAAUCUAGGAGGUUGGUUUUCUCUUCUUACUUUUGGUCUGAUUUCAUAUUUUCAUAUGUGUGUGUGUACAUACUCCUACAACAGACAACCAGAUGGAUGAAUCCCUGUAUUUUAUCAUUGAGUAUAUAAUAUAAUGAUUUCUUUUUCAUUUUUGGCCAAUAUGCCUGCUUCUUGAACUGAGUUGCAACUUUAUUUUUUUCGUUCUGCAGUGUGUUUGGUCUCUUCAACAUCCCUGCUAAGUGGUAAAUGCAAUAACUUGCUCUUAGGAUGUGUGAUUAUGGUUUUCUUCUUCUUUUCUUUUCUAUCAUAUUCUUUUUUAAGUCUCACGAGGUGGCAUCUAAUGGAACAUUAUGCUCAGGUAUCCAUUGAUCUUAUUAGUACUGUUCCAGGUUCUUAUGACCAACGUCUCGUUACUUGGACACCUAUGUGGCAUUUUGUCUGGAUUUGCAUGUACGUUCUCAGCUUUUCUUUCAGACUCUUUAUAUUUUCCUCUCAUAAUAUUAUAUGUUCAUUUAAAAUAUUUGCUCCUGGCUCUACAUUUUCAGAUACCUAUGGCUUUUUCAACCUCCUUAUGCCUGGAACAUCCUUCUAUUCUGCCAUUGAGUCUUCCUCGUUGCUUGUAAGUAUUUCAAUGGAACGGGAUUGUGAUGAUAGACGGACUUUGGUUUUCCUUUUCUUAUUGGAUUGCUUGGGCAUGUUGCCAUUUAUUUGUCUCUGGAUGAAUUGAGUUGCUUGGUUUUGGCGAAGCUAAGUGGAGUUGAAAAUAUUUGCAAUUGCUUUACUGGUCUGCUUAGUAAUUAAAAAAACUGAAGAAAUGUUUUAGAUACCGCGGGGUGUUGUCCAUUUGGUUUUACUUCUUGUCACAACUCUCAUCCACAUUUGGGAUCCUUGCCCUCCCAUAAAAUCCUAACGGCACUGAGUUUUCUGGCCUUAUAUGCAAACACAUAAGAAUCAGAUAUGCUAUUUGAGAUCUCUCUACAGAGACUUGUAUCCUGACUUGAGAUUGAUUACAUAUGGAACUGUAUUUAGGGUUGUAUGUCCUAUGUUAAAAUGUAUUUCUAGUCUUCUACACCUCCUCUAUGUGCAUUCUUUCUGAGCUUGCUUUUGUCCCUGCCCCCAUAGUUUAAGAAGCCAUCAUGGUUUUAAUAAUUUGUAUGUGGAAUGUUGCAUCACCUGAUACAGGUGUCUUAACUGUCCAAAGAAAAAAUACAGGCUUCUUAUCUGUUACCUAUAAGCAUAAUUAGAACAAAAUUUUAAAGUGAGUACUGGGGAGGGAAAUAUUAAUUGCUGACUGCCUUCCCGAGUGAUGAACUUGUGUCAAUUUAUCUAAAUAACCAUAGCAAUAUGGCUUCAUUUCAUGGAAACUUUGUGUAUGUUACUUUCCUUUUACCCUUACAUUUUCAUACAGAUAGCUUUAAAUAGUGUGUUGUUUUUGUGAAUGCCAGUCCACUUGCAUAAGACGGCCUAAAUUUAUCUUGUGUACUGGUGGGAAUCCUUCUGGCUACAUCCCAACAUAUUCUGGACAGAAUACAAGUUCCAGGUAAGCAUUGAGCUCCGUAUGCCAGAUUCUACUUUAUAUCCCUAAAAGGUAUAUAACUUGAUUAUUUUUAUUAAACAGUGGAUUGUUUUCUGGAAAUAUUUGGAGCAACUUGUCUUCUUGGAUGCCACAGAGGGAAACAUCAUCUCAGGUAUUAAAUCAGUUGAUUUUAGAGGGCUUUUCACAAUGUUAAAUAUGUUAUUCAAUAUGUUCCUUGUUUGUUAUGGUUGAUCUAGCCAAUUAGGGCAACUGAAAGGGAUAAUAUGGAUUUCUAAUUGGCCUUCAGCUUUGUUAAUUGGUGGUAGCUUUUCUGACUUGAAUACAUGCCUGUGCAGUAGGAAUUUUACCAUUUCCUCUGCAAUUUUUGCAGCUCAUAUUGUACGUUCAUUCAUUUUACUUCUGCUUCAAUUUACACCUGAAUAUGGAACCCUUGACAGCUUUGGUUACUUUUCUUGAACUAAUUAUGCACUGAAAGAAACAGCAAUUGUGGUUAUGAAGUUAUGCAGUAAAAAUACAAUGUAAAGAAUGUGUCAUGUGGGUGAUUUCUCUGUUUUUUGUUCAUAGUUUCCCUUAAAUCUGUCUUUAUUGCUUAAUGUUGUCCCAUUCCACUUUCCUUCUUUUCUUUUGCUGUCCCUGUAUUUCUCAAUCAUUGUAACCUGCAAUCUUUACUUAAGAUAACAUCAAUUAACCAAUCUCCUCUUACCGACAUGCAGCCAACACAAGAUAGCCGGUUCCCUGGGAGAGGAAGAACUCUUAGUUCCAGCCAAAGUCCUGUACAUGUAGAUUCAAACCUACAAGCUAGACUUCUGGAUAAUAGUAGUCCUGAAAACCGUUCCCAUAUGAUAGUAACUGAAACAGGAGACAGGCUAUCAGAUGAAAGGUAUUGCAAGAAAUUUCAAUGCAUCUAAAAAAUCAUCUUGUUUAAUGGUCUAAGUGUAGCUUAUUGAUUUUCUCACGUUUUUCCAGGCUAUCAGAUGAAAGUUAUUGCAAGAAAUUUCAAUGCAUCUAAAAAAUCAUCUUGUUUAAUGGUCUAAGUGUAGCUUAUUGAUUUUCUCACGUUAUUCCAGAUGUGAAUGCCCUAAAUUUUUUGGUUUACAUUCGUUGUGGUUCUGGUUGAGAAAUGUAUCAAGCACAUGAAAGACUUGAUUAUAUUUAUUUUGGGUAAUAUCUGUAUGAUCUUCAUUAAACUUUUGAUUGUAUUCUUUAUUAUUUUCAGGCAGCCAGCUCUAGGUACUGCAGUUGCGGUGGACAGAGUCCCUGCAGGCCAACAGGUUUUCUUUAUCCAUAUCUGGAGUUCAAUAUUCUUUUUACCUUUCUUAGGGUCCUCUAGUUCUUGAACAUUUCUUUGGUUUUCCUUCCUCUGGAUGCAGGGUGCAGUUGUCUCUGAUGAAGAAAUACAAAAACUUGUUUCAAUGGGUUUUGACAAGGUAAAUAUAUUAUGUCAAUUAAAUUAGUCUUGUUCUCUAUAACCAUAGUACUAAGUUUAGCAGUUCAAUGUUGUAUAUACAUUUUUUUCCCCAUUUAUUGCAAUUUUAUUUUGCAUUUGUAUGAAAUUGAGACUGAGGACUCAAAUGCCAUUGCUGGGCCUUGUUUCAGACUCAGGUUGAAGUUGCUCUGGCAGCAGCUGAUGGCGAUCUUAAUGUAGCAGUGGAAAUUCUCAGCCAGCAGGUACAUUCAAGAGUUAAGUUUUCCAAAAAUUGUGUUGAUUGACAUUCUUUCUCUGGAAUGUUUAGUUAAUGGACAAAAUUGUAUGCAGGGUUAAGUUCAUAAAGCAAUCUCACCCCGUGACUUCUCGUAUACAAAUCUCCUAUUACAUUUCAGUUGGCCAGUAUGAUCUGCUCUUACAAUGUCUGUGAACUACGGUUUGUUUGGGUGCUGUAUGGCCUUUCUAACGUGAUUACACAGAUUGGGGGAAAGAAAUAUUUGGGAGAAUAACAAUUAUGCUAAUUUCUGCUUAAAGAAAAGAAAGAGCCCUUUGUGUACAUGUUUUGAGUUUUGAAUUAAAAGAAGUGCAAUCUAAUCUUAGCUUUCUGAACAAAUUCAACUCUGUAAAUAUAAUCUCAUGCCGAUAUUUGUUAUGGGAAAUUGAGAUCAAAUCUUUAUUUAUGUAAUGUAGUCAGACAACAAGCAUCGAUGACUACUUGUAUUAUCAGGUAAUAUUUCCUUCAUCAAAUUGGCGAUAGCUAGGUUUUGGGUUUGCUCUCAAUUUUCUGGUUUCCGCCCAUGGAACUGCAAUUUAAGGACAUCACGAAAUGUGCGCUGUAGAAAUUUUUGGAUUCAAUUGAGCAACCGUGGAUCUAAAUCAAGACGUUUGCUACAACAUGACGCAUCUAACUGUUUGAAACGUAGAAGCCUAUUAGAAACAUGUUCGUCUAAUAGAUUAUGUUUAGUUGAAGUAGAUAAUAGUGGCUGUAAUGUUAAAAAAACAUUUCAGCUGCAGAGUUAUUGAUUAAUUCAAGGUUAUUAGUAACAUUUUAGGUAACAAAUCUUUUGUGUCCAUAAUACAUCCCAAGAUGCCAAAUGCAAUCAGCUGUAUAUUUCCUAAGGACACAAGAGAACUUGAUAGUCCCGGGAUUUCGAUGACUUCACAAAAGGUCAUGUGGCAAUGAAGCAGAAAUCUCUUCAACUUUCAUUAGGUCAAAUAUCAUACUCUGUUGUCGAGCAGAUAGGAGAUGCAGCCACUCCACCUGGAUUGAUCGGCAGUCAUAAUUAUCCUUUCUCUCGUCGAUCGUCAUUCUCCCUUCCUUGAGCGUUGCCAAGGCCAUGAGGAGUGCUGCUAGACCCUACAAAAUGUCUUGCUCGGGUUGGGGGUCUUUCAGCGGUGAAUAAUAAAUCACUGAUUCUCAGUCUAUCCUGCAAUAGACGAAACAAUUUCAAUUGUAUCUCACAUCAAUUACAGACUUCUAUUUGUGUGCCCUUGCAUGUCCAGUGUGUCCAGAAAGAGAGACAGAUGUAUAGAUUUUUUCCAAUCCAGCAAAAGCAAUUAUAGAACUUUUGGGGGAAAAAAAAUCUACCUUGAAAUUACUGCUGCAUCUGCGUGCAAAAUGACCUUCCUUGCCACACUUGUAACAUAUAAGAUUGGAUCUUUUACCAUUAAGAGCUUCACAUGAGUUUGUGCAUUCCUAGUAUAAACUAAUUCAAUAAGAUAAUGAUAAACCUCAACCGUAAUACACGUUUUGCCGCUAAAAAGCAGAAAAAUUACUUACAGGACCCAAAUGGCCAGACUGCCCACAGUUGUAACAGGAGACUUGCUUUAGACCUAUGAUUGAGGAGUUGACACAGCAAAGAUGACCGAAACUCUUGCAAAUGUAACAUUGUAUCUUCUGCCCACAUGAGCAAAAUUAUCACCAUUAAAGAGCAAGCAAGAAUCACUUCAAUUUGGGGACUUGCUGUUUGCUAUAUGAUAAGAAGAGAGGGGGACAAUAAUAUAUCUAUAUAUAGACAAAAAGACUCGUAAAACUGCAAGAUAAAAUUCGAACCUUGAGAUCAUCAGCGUGGUAUUCUCCCUCACAUGAAAACAAGUCGUGUCCUGAAUCCCCACACCUUAAGCAAAAAUUAGAACUCAAAUUGUUGCCCUGGUCCGUCCCAGGACAAUCACUGGCAAGGUGCUCUGAUCCUUUGCUGAUAAAACAAUCCUGGCCCUGCUGGUAUACAAGGUGGCCUCUGAAUAAGUUAUGAUGUAACUCUUAAGAGGCUAAUGAUGGAAUGGAUUAUGGCAGAAAAAUCUAAGAAAUAAGCAAUGAAAUGCAAGAUGCAACUUGGCUUUGAAUAAACCUUUUUAAUUCCUGGAGAUCUUCUGUUGGUGGAGUUUUAAUUGUUAUUCUUGACAACAGCUUCAGAUUUUUGUGGACAUUUCUGAGGUAACGAGAAGUCAACAGAUUAGCAGUCGUCAUUUAAGUCAGAGGCAGUUUUAUGAUAAGCCUAGGAGUUCAGUCAACUGGAUGGUGGGCUUGCAAAAUCUAUCUACCUAAGAUAUAUUAUUGCUUUGAAAUUGAUAGUAUGAUUCAGAAUGAAACAUUUAGGCUCCGCAUGAAAAAUACCAAAGACUGACUUUUCAUUUGAUAAGUACUGUAAAAGAUCCAAUUCCAUAUUUAGCGCAGAUACAAAGUUUCAUAUGUCACAAUACUCAUACGGAAAAAUCUAGAGCCAAAAAAUAGUACUUGAUAAUAUCUUUUGUGGUUAAAUGAAGUGAACAAAAGAAAAUCCAGACACACGAGAAAAGUUGUAGAGUGAAUGCUACUACACCUGUUUGCAAUUCUUCCACCUGUGCUUGAAACUCCCACAAAGGAAGCAUGGUUUAUUCUGCUUUUGCAUUUUGCAGGUUGCUGCUGUGUGAUUUUCUUUUCCACAAUUUGAGCAUGUUUCUGAGUUCCAGCCUGGAGGAUCAAAAUAUCUUGGUUUCCGAAGAAGCAUACGGAGCACAACAUUAUAUUUUGCCUCAUUUUCUUUCCUGGCAUCUUCAACCUUAUCUUUAGCUUCAAUUACACGAGUCUUCUUUCUCCUUUUCUUCUGCUGCCUCUCCCCUACAAUUGGCCCUACGGAUACCGUGUCUUCAACCCUUCUGCCCAAACUCAUGUCUGAAAGUGGUUUAUCAUCCUCUAGGCGCAAUGAAUAAAGGUUGUUCAUUUCAACACUCUUUACCCCAUCAUUUGCUCCUGUUAUUGUUGCUGUUGUCUGCACAGCUUUACCCAUAUCUUCAACGCUUCUCUCCAAGCUCACACCCGAAACUGAUUUAUCAUCAUCUGUGGAGGACAAACAAAGAUCAAUCACUUCAAAAGAAUUUCCCCCAUCAUUCCCUCCCACCGCUCUUACCAUUGGCAUAGGUUCACCCAUGCUUGCACCCUCAUUAUCCUUUGCAGGAUCAAUAAAAAGGUGCCGGGGCCCAUCCAUUUCUGUUGUCAGAACUGAUUCAGGUUUUGAAACCUCUACUACUUUCNNNNNNNNNNNNNNNNNNNNNNNNNNNNNNNNNNNNNNNNNNNNNNNNNNNNNNNNNNNNNNNNNNNNNNNNNNNNNNNNNNNNNNNNNNNNNNNNNNNNNNNNNNNNNNNNNNNNNNNNNNNNNNNNNNNNNNNNNNNNNNNNNNNNNNNNNNNNNNNNNNNNNNNNNNNNNNNNNNNNNNNNNNNNNNNNNNNNNNNNNNNNNNNNNNNNNNNNNNNNNNNNNNNNNNNNNNNNNNNNNNNNNNNNNNNNNNNNNNNNNNNNNNNNNNNNNNNNNNNNNNNNNNNNNNNNNNNNNNNNNNNNNNNNNNNNNNNNNNNNNNNNNNNNNNNNNNNNNNNNNNNNNNNNNNNNNNNNNNNNNNNNNNNNNNNNNNNNNNNNNNNNNNNNNNNNNNNNNNNNNNNNNNNNNNNNNNNNNNNNNNNNNNNNNNNNNNNNNNNNNNNNNNNNNNNNNNNNNNNNNNNNNNNNNNNNNNNNNNNNNNNNNNNNNNNNNNNNNNNNNNNNNNNNNNNNNNNNNNNNNNNNNNNNNNNNNNNNNNNNNNNNNNNNNNNNNNNNNNNNNNNNNNNNNNNNNNNNNNNNNNNNNNNNNNNNNNNNNNNNNNNNNNNNNNNNNNNNNNNNNNNNNNNNNNNNNNNNNNNNNNNNNNNNNNNNNNNNNNNNNNNNNNNNNNNNNNNNNNNNNNNNNNNNNNNNNNNNNNNNNNNNNNNNNNNNNNNNNNNNNNNNNNNNNNNNNNNNNNNNNNNNNNNNNNNNNNNNNNNNNNNNNNNNNNNNNNNNNNNNNNNNNNNNNNNNNNNNNNNNNNNNNNNNNNNNNNNNNNNNNNNNNNNNNNNNNNNNNNNNNNNNNNNNNNNNNNNNNNNNNNNNNNNNNNNNNNNNNNNNNNNNNNNNNNNNNNNNNNNNNNNNNNNNNNNNNNNNNNNNNNNNNNNNNNNNNNNNNNNNNNNNNNNNNNNNNNNNNNNNNNNNNNNNNNNNNNNNNNNNNNNNNNNNNNNNNNNNNNNNNNNNNNNNNNNNNNNNNNNNNNNNNNNNNNNNNNNNNNNNNNNNNNNNNNNNNNNNNNNNNNNNNNNNNNNNNNNNNNNNNNNNNNNNNNNNNNNNNNNNNNNNNNNNNNNNNNNNNNNNNNNNNNNNNNNNNNNNNNNNNNNNNNNNNNNNNNNNNNNNNNNNNNNNNNNNNNNNNNNNNNNNNNNNNNNNNNNNNNNNNNNNNNNNNNNNNNNNNNNNNNNNNNNNNNNNNNNNNNNNNNNNNNNNNNNNNNNNNNNNNNNNNNNNNNNNNNNNNNNNNNNNNNNNNNNNNNNNNNNNNNNNNNNNNNNNNNNNNNNNNNNNNNNNNNNNNNNNNNNNNNNNNNNNNNNNNNNNNNNNNNNNNNNNNNNNNNNNNNNNNNNNNNNNNNNNNNNNNNNNNNNNNNNNNNNNNNNNNNNNNNNNNNNNNNNNNNNNNNNNNNNNNNNNNNNNNNNNNNNNNNNNNNNNNNNNNNNNNNNNNNNNNNNNNNNNNNNNNNNNNNNNNNNNNNNNNNNNNNNNNNNNNNNNNNNNNNNNNNNNNNNNNNNNNNNNNNNNNNNNNNNNNNNNNNNNNNNNNNNNNNNNNNNNNNNNNNNNNNNNNNNNNNNNNNNNNNNNNNNNNNNNNNNNNNNNNNNNNNNNNNNNNNNNNNNNNNNNNNNNNNNNNNNNNNNNNNNNNNNNNNNNNNNNNNNNNNNNNNNNNNNNNNNNNNNNNNNNNNNNNNNNNNNNNNNNNNNNNNNNNNNNNNNNNNNNNNNNNNNNNNNNNNNNNNNNNNNNNNNNNNNNNNNNNNNNNNNNNNNNNNNNNNNNNNNNNNNNNNNNNNNNNNNNNNNNNNNNNNNNNNNNNNNNNNNNNNNNNNNNNNNNNNNNNNNNNNNNNNNNNNNNNNNNNNNNNNNNNNNNNNNNNNNNNNNNNNNNNNNNNNNNNNNNNNNNUUUCAUACUCAUCAAGCUUAGCUCUAUUUGCUCUUCUUCUUUUCUCUUCUCUUCCAUGUCUUUCUGUUUCUUCAACUUUAUUCAAACCGUCAUCCUCACCUAACUGCCCUUGCUCCUCUGCAACGUUAACCUAAACGCACUAUGCAUUAUUAGAAAACAAAGCUCACAAAACAACAAACAUGCAGAUACCAAGUCCAAAAAAAGACCAAUACAAAAUCAUUUUAAAUGAAAUCAAGCAAGAGAGAUUUGGUAUCUUUAUAUAUUCAAGAUUCAAAACUAAGCUCUAUAUAUUUCUCUUCAAACAUUUUCCUUUCUUUAACCUCACCGUUUCCCAAUAGCCAAGCACAAAAUGGGAUAAUAGAUUAUUUAAAUAAUAAAAAAACACGUACAGUGUCAUUCUCCUGAGCACAAAACUGAGUCUCUAAAUUGCCCCUCAUCCUCUCACUUCUCUUUCUCCUCAUAGGAGCUUCCGCUUCUAUCAUGGCUUUAAGGUUCUCAAAUCCGGUCAAAUCAGCUACCUCUCUGUACAAAGAAUCAAGCUUUGUCUUAUCCUUCUUCUUCUUCUUUCUAUUUCUCUUCUUCUUUCUCUUCAUGAUAGACUCAGCCAAAAUCAUAGCUUUCAGAUUGUCAAAGCCAGUAAGGUCAGCAAUCUCUUUGUACUCAUCAAGCUUAGAUUUUGCAGCCACCCCACGUUCUAUAUUCUUCUCUUUGCUCCCAUUUCCUUCUUCUUUCUCUUCUUCACUGCUUGUUAUCACUGUGACGGGGCUAUUUUCCAUCUUCACUUCUAGUGUUUUCCCCGAAUAUGACUGGGGAAAUGGGCUGCCGCCUCUCCGUAGUGAAAGGCCGAAUGCCACCUUAAAAUUUCCAAAAAAAUAAUAAUAAAUUAAUAACACUAAAAAUUCAUGUUAUUUUCGCUUUUAUCUUUUUUAGCCUAAUAAAGAAAGGACUCGACUAGCUUACAGAAUCUGUAAGGUACAGACUGCAGCAUCAGCCGUUGGAUGUGGUUGGAUGUGGAGUGAGAAACUAAACAAUAGAAAAUCGGAUGGUGGGAUGACGGGAGAUGUUUGUUACAGAAUCUGUACCAUAGACAGGUCCAUAAAGAAAAUAUAUCAACUAACUUGGAUGCGGUUUAACCGUACGGCCCCCAACAAUCAUUAUUUGCUUUCAGACCCUCAGUCUUGUCAAGUUUUACAUGAGAUUUUUCAUUAAGCAUCCAUUUUCCUAGUCCCUGUGUUCCUUUCAUUUCUUCUUUAAUAAUGGUUAUGCAUUAUGGGUAGUAGUGAAGAAAACUAUAUUAUAAGAAUAUGUUGACCACUUAUGGGUAGUAGUAAAUCAUAUGUAUUUUAGUUCAAAGUUUUUAAAUUGGGAUAAUUUUUAACUAUAAUAUAAAUUUUUAUACAUUUAGUAGUUAAUGUUUAUCGUUUAUUCAAAUAUUAUAUUUAAUAGUUAAUGAUUCCAUCUCGUAGUAAAAUUAUGGCUUACCACUCAAUCUCAAGCAUACAUUACAUAUCUUAAUGUAGUAAAAUUAUGACUUACAACUCAAUCUUAAUUAUACAUUGAAUAUCUUAAUGUUGUAUUGUAUUGUACUCGAUUUCGGGACAUGUAAUUACUCUAAGAUACAUGCCAAAUGUGUCAUUUCACCUAAUGAAUAAAUAAUAAUAAUUUAUAUUUUUAAUCAUAAAGGCUAGAAAAUAACAAUAAUGAGUAGAUAGAGAUUCCUAACAGUAGGGAGGAGCAUUCGAUGAUAUCAAUGAUAUUUUAUUCUAGAUGAUCAUCUUAUCAUAUACUUUCAACUUUUUCUUUUGAAUUGAAUUCUUUCAUGCAUUAAUAUAGGUCUCUCUCUCUCUCUCUCUCUCUCUCUCUCUCUCUCUCUCUCUCUCUCUCUCUCUCUCUCUAUAUAUAUAUAUAUAUAUAUAUAUAUAUAUAUCAAAUAUAAUUCGUUUUAGGUUUGGAUAUCUGCUAAGACUCCGUUUGGUAUAUUUUUUCAAUUAGAACUUAUUUAAGUAGAGUUUUUGUUAAUAAAACUUUUAUAAGUAAAGUUUUUUGCACAAACAAAUUUAGGGUGCGUUUGGUAUUGUUUUUCAAAUAGUAUUUUUGAAUAAAAUAUAAAUAGUAAAAAUGUAUUUGAUAUAAUUUUUAUGAAAAUUGUUUUAGAAUAGUUAUAUGAUAUGUAUAAAUUUUAAAUUUAUCUUUUUUUUAUUUUAGAUAUUUUUGAAAAAAUGAAUAAACAAGUAAAAUAAUGUAGUAUUAAAUAUUAAUAUAAAAUUAUAAGUUUGUAUAUUAUUACAAAGAUUUAUUAAAUAAAAUAUUAUACAAUAAUUUAUAGAACAUCCAUAAUUAUUUCAAAAAAUUAUUUAUUAUUUUAUUUUAAAAAAAUUUUAAACAAAAAUUAUUGCAUAAACAUAAUAAAAUUUAUUAUAUAUUUAUCAUUUUAAAACCAAAGUUUUAUAUUUGUAUUUAGGGUCCGCCUAAGUGUAACUUACGGCCUGGCUGUGAAAUUUCAUUCAGCCCCCCAUAUUCGAUGUUAUUUAUAUUAUAUUUAUGAAUAUUAUAAAACUUUCUGAUUUGAAACAUUUCGUUUAGCCCCUUACACUCAAUUUUAUUUUAUUGAAAUCCUAGAGUACGAAUUCACCCCCUAUAAUUUUAAAUUCUCAAAAUAACCUCAUUUAAUUAAAAAAUUUAAUUAUUAUUAAUUGAAUUAUAAUUAUAACUAUUAUUUUAUUAUAAUUAUAAAUAUAUUUAUAUUUUUUAAAUAGAUUAUUGUUAUUAUUAAUAACAAGAAUAAAAAGUAUUACAAUUAAUUAAUCUAUUAACAAUAAUUAAUAAUAUUUUUUUAAUAAAUUGUUAAUAAUAAUAAUUAACGAUAAUUAUUAUUAAUAAUUAAUUUUUGAAUAAUAAUAAUAAUAAUUAACAAUUAUCAUUAAUAGAUUGUGAUUGACUCUGAACAAGUUGCCCGGUAUUUUAUAUCAUACUGUAUGCAUUCACUUCUGGCUGCAAAAGAAAUUAAAGCAAUAGCUUUCUCGUUAACCAAACAAGAGAUUUAACAACAUCAGAAACACACGUUUUUCAAAACUAACAAGGACUUGGACAAUUAUGGCACUAAGUAGUACUGCAAUUAAUAUCAAUGAUGAGGGUAUGUUGCUACUUUGCUAGCUAAGCCUAGGUGGGCAUUGGCAUUCCUAGGACUCUGAACAAUUAUCGUUAAUUUUCAAAAAUUAAUUAUUAAUAAUAAUUAUCGUUAAUUAUUAUUAAUUUAAUAAACAUUAUUAUUAAUUAUUGUUAAUAGAUUAAUUAAUUGUAAUAUUUUUUAUUCUUGUUAUUAAUAAUAAUAAUAAUAAUAAUAAUAAUAAUAAUAAUCUAUUUAAAAAAUAUAAAUAUAUUUAUUAUUAUAAUAAAAUAAUAAUUAUAAUUAUAAUUCAAUUAAUAAUAAUUAAAAAUUUAAUUAAUUGAGGUUAUUUUGAGAAUUUAAAAUUAUAGGGGGCGAAUUCGUACUCUAAAGUUUUAAUAAAAUAAAAUUGAGUGUAAGGGGUUAAAUGAAAUUUUUUAAAUAAAAAAGUUCUAUAAUAUUUAUGAAUAUAAUAUAAAUAACAUCGAAUAUGGGGGGUUAGAUGAAAUUUCACAACCAAACCGUAAAUUACUUUAAACGUAACUUAGGCGGACCCUUGUAUUUAAUAUCUCUCUGGGCCCACUAUUUUUUUUAUGGUAAAAAACCACAAAAGUCGCCAAAGUGUGGUCCCCGUACAAUUAAUGCAUGCAGAAUAGAAAACAAAAUUCAGAGAAUGCAAAUAUUGUGUUUUCUGUAUUUGUUAAGAAAAGUUAAAGUAUGGAAACAUUUAAUUCUCCUUAAUUUUCCAUUAUAGCUACGAAACGCCCUGGCCAAACGCAUUUUCUAUUUUAUUAUUUUUACAAAAUAAAAAAGGUCCAGUAAAAAAUGAGAUCCGGCUACGAUACUACAGUGGUACUGUGCCACUUCUUUUGUUUUUUUUGCUGUGUUAUUGUAAAUUUUCAUAUAACCCCCUUCACUCAUUUUUAUUUAAGCUUUACUUUACAAAUAUUAAAUUAAUUUUUACUACAUCCAUAUAAAUAUUUUAGCUAGCUCCUUGUGUUAUUUAUUAUUUAUAAAUUUUUAUUCUAUAUUAUACCUAUAUCACAAUACCCCACUCUUUAUAAUUUUGAGAUUAAAUAAUUAACAAGGAAAAGAAUUGGAUCGACCCGAACUCAUAAACCCAACCCAGAUUCCGUUUUCAUUUCCGGCCACUCCACCAGCCAAGGUUGGUACCGAUCGAAAGAUCGUGCAACGCCGGUCAUCUCCAUGUCAUCCUUGUAGCAAAAAGAAUCGGGUCAAACCAAACGCGCAAACCCGACCCGCAUGCCAUUUCCAUUUCCGGCCACUCCACCGGCCAAGGUUGGUACCGAUCGGAAGCUCGUGCGAUGCCGGUCAUCUCCAUGCCAUCCUUGUCGCCGGAAAGUGUUCGAAAAGCUGCCGAUCGAAGCCAUGAAAAGCCGCUUCAAUUCGCCACGAUUUUGUCGGUUUCCGGUGACGCCACCACCUGAUUUUUGUUCCCCACAAUUCCCUCUGUCUUUUACGACCAGCCACAGCCACUAGAGGAGCUGAUUUGCCGUUGAUUGGCCGUUGAAGGAUUCACGGGUUUGGGAGAAAUUAAUUUAAUAUUUGUAAAGUAAAGCUUAAAUAAAAAUGAGUGAAGGGGGUUAUAUGAAAAUUUACAAUAACACAGCCAUAAAAAACAAAAGAAGUGGCAUGGUACCAUUGUGGUACUGUAGCCGGAUCCUAAAAAAUGAUACCAAAUGGGCAUCUUUAGUUGUUUGGUUGUCAAUGAAAUUUUUUAUUAAAAAUUAUAAAAUUACUUUAAUAGAUAAGUUUUUUAAAGUUAUGUUAUGAAAAGUAUAAAAUAAGAUUGUUAAAUAAGUAGAUAAUAUUUUAGAUAUUUUAUUAUUUUUAAAAAAAAUUCAAUCUCUAUUCCCAAAGUCCAAAACUUAAGAUUUUACUAGUAAAGACAAAAUAUCUUAUUUAAUCUUCAAAAGCUCUAUUAAAAAAAAAAAUCAAACAUAAACAAGAAUUUUGAUAAGAGUUUAUAAGAUUAAAUAAGUACUUAUGACAUACCAAAUAGGGAUGGCAAUGGGGAGGGGAGGGGAGGGGACCGAUCUCCCCGUACCCAUCCUCGAUAUUUUGCGUAGUCCCCGUCCCCUCCCCUUCCCCGUCAGAAUUACUUGAGAGAAUCAUCAUCCCCUUCCCGAAUAAUAACAGGGGAUCCCUGAGGGUCCCCGAUCCCCGAAUAACUAAUACAUUUUUUUUUCGAUUUUGAGUUAAUCAUAUUAAAAUAAAAAAUUCAAAUAAAAGUAAAGUUCGAAAUAUAUCUUACAUUAAUAUCUAUUAUAAAAGUCACAUACAUUAAAUUAGCAAGUAACGCAACAUGCAAUGGAUACAAACUUCUUUUACAAACUAUCAUGAACAAAUUAAUAGUCUAAUACAAAAUUGUUACAAAUAAAAUCGAAUUUAGAUUCAAAAUUAACUUUUUCAAUGGUGGCGUGGGCACUUUAUAAAUGUGGACUAUUCCCUUUACAACACAAUAGUUAAAUCGGAGCAAAUCAAGAGUAAAUAUUAGAUUAGAUUAGAUUAGAUAUUAAAAUUGUGAUUCGCUGUGGGCAAUUAUAACAUCUAAAAAUAAAUAAAAAAUAGAUUUAAGUUUAAAAUAUUUAAAGAAUAUUAAAAUUAAAAAAAAUGUUGGGCUAAUAGAAUCUACUCGGUCUUUUUAAUGUCCUAAAUAAAAAUUUAGGGCUUUAAUUAGUUAAUUAGGCCUAAAAGUUUAAUAAUAUAAAUAUUUUGAUAUUUUUUAUUUUUACCAAUAUUUAUAAUUUUAUUAUUUAUUUACUAGUAAUUUUUAAAAAAUUAAAUUAAAUUAAAAAUUAAAAUGGGGAAAUGGGUAGGGGAUGAGGAUUCUACCUCAUCCUUGUCCCCUCCCCGAAUAAGAAAUUGGGUAAAAAAAUUUCCCCGUCCCUUCUCGGAAUAAGAAAUUGAGUAUGAAAUUAUCCACAUAUCCUCCCCGAAUGAAAAAAAUCCCCGAAAGUACCCGUCUCCGUGGGGAUUUUUGCCAUCCCUAAUACUAAAUAGACAUUAAAGCUGAUUUUUGGCGGGGUUUGAAUGAGUCCUUAGAUAACUAAAUUUGUUAUUCUUAAGGAAUUUUAAAAACUAAAAAUAAAGUUCACUAAGAUUAUCCACAAAAAUGCUCUACGAAUCUUCGAAGUUAGUUUCUCAUAGUAUUUUUUACUCUUGACAGCUAAUAAUUUGUGAACCAAUGAUAAUAUAAAAUGAAAAAUAAGAGUUGUAAGGGAGUGAGAGAGAGCCGCUCGAUGUUGUCAAUUAUGACAAUAUAAAAUGUACUCUCGUCACUUGUCAAUUAUCUCACUAUUAUAAAUUUAAAAAAUAUAUAGAUUAUAAGAGAGAGAAAUUUUAGAGCCGGAUACCUAAAUCGGGAUGUUCCAUUUGGGUAUGGACCCAAUGGGUUUCAGAUAUCGAAUUUUUCAAAAUAUCUAUUGAUUGACAAAAUUGCACGCUAUUAUUUUUGUUGUCACAUAAUUGAAAAUGUUUUUAAAAUUAAUUCUCUUUUAUAAAAUUAAAAAAUUUAAUUAUUCACGGAGCUAUUAUAACCAUAAUAUACUUGUAAAAAAUAUGUUAUUUUUGUUAAUGAUUGCAUGUAAGGUGUUGAAAAAUAUGUAUGUACUCUCUUAGACAAGGGGUUUUAUAUAUAUUUGUAUAUUUAUAACUUUUUGAAAGCUAAUUAUAAGAUAUGUUAUUACUCAAUAAUAGUGCAAAGAAGGGAUUCAAUUAUAAUAUUGAAUUGAUGUUAAUAUUUAAUACCGUAUAAAUAGAUAUAUACAAUGUUUAUAAAUCGCAUGUUGUUUAAGUUAUAAGUUUAGCACGUCGGGUGUAAUACAACUCAACUAAUAACGCGUUCAAUACUUAUUAAUUUGAUGUCCGUAGAUAUUGAUUCUACCUGCAAUAUCAUCAAUUUGAUGAUGUUUUGAUCCUAAUAAAUAAAUCAACUUUGUUAGGUUCGCCCAAAGCCAAAACAUUUGAAUGUAUUUUUUUUUUUUAAUGCUUCUUCUCUCACAGUAAUUUAGACCAAGCUGUGAAUAAUCCAAUUCUGAAAGUACCUAAUUCUUACUUACGCAAAAUACAAUGAGAAAAAACAUCACGUUCAAGAGAAUCUUUUUGUAUGUUGUUUCCUUCGAAUUCGUCCAUUUGUCAGGCAAAUAUCCCAGCCUCCCCAAUUCAGUUAAUCUAUUUUUCUUUUCUUUCAUUUUCACGGAAAAUUUUUCAAAGCAAGUGGGACCCAUAUGCAACCACUAAUAUUAUAUUUAAUCGCUUAGUGGGAAAAUAAAUGAUAACAAUAAUGGGAAAAUUAACAAAUAGAUCCCUGAUUUUCGAUGAUUUCUGAAAUAAUGGCUUUAUUUAUUCAUUUGUAUCAAAUGGGUCUUUGUUCUUUUGAAAAAGGUCUGAUUUUUAUCCCAAAUUAAGGUGAUAGUACUAAAUUACACUAAUUAAAUUUCUCACCCAACUUCAAGUUUCUUAAUUACUUGACCAUCUAGUAAAAUAAUAAUAAUAACAACAACUAAUCUCUUUUAUAGUCUAGUACUCAACUUACCUGACUAUAAUAGAUAUACAAAUAUUAAUUUAGUGCUUUCUUGUGUAUUUUUAAGAUAAUCAUGUAUUAAUAGAAUAUUAGAAUUCAAAGAAAAUUCAUGAAAAAUUUUCAUAUGUCUUAGGUUUAUAGGGCAUAAUUUGCACUACAAUAGAAAUGUCAAAUUCAAUAUUAUAAGAGCAAUUCAAUAGAAGUUAAGAAUUUAUUUGAUAUAUAUAAAUGGACAAACUGUGCCUUCAUUUAAGAAAUUAUACAAAAUCCAAGGGGCCAGAUGUUAUUAACCGUAUAAUAAUGAUAAUAAUGGAGAAUGAAGAAAGUGUAGCAUCCUUCAAACAGACUCAGUGAAUACCAUUGGACAACUUUUGCUUCAUAGUUUAUUAAUUGCACACAUCAUUGUAUUUUCAUUGUGGUUGGCAGCAGGCGGAGCAAUCUUUAAUUUCUUUUCUUUUUACCCUUUUGUUUAAUGAUUGCUAGAAAAUGACAAGUUAAGAGGAAACAAAAGCACUAAUUAAGAUAACUAAUUAAGGACACAGAGAAAACAAAAUGUGAAGAAAAAGCUAUGAUGAUGGCACAAUGGCAAGUAAGUGGAGACAGUUAGAUUGACUUUGAAGACAAGGGAAAUCAAGUAAAAGGACUAAGAAAAAGAGAAAAAGUAGGCAAAAGGGUUCUUGAUUUUUUUGUUUAUUUUGGUUCAUGGUGAGUCACUUUUAAUGUCCAAAGAACUGAAGAGGAAAGUUUAGCAGGCAUGGCUGAACUCAGAUUGCUCAUCUUCAUAGCUUUGUUUAGCUUCCACAUUCAGUUCAUCUCCAGCAAUACAGAUUCCCGCGACGGUAAUUAAUUUCCCAUUGUACAAGUAAAUUAAAUAGUGUGUAGUAUAACAUAUAUGUACUAUUUGGCUAUGUUCUGCAAGAAUUCAUCAUGCCAAACUCAGUAUGAUUGCUGAUUUUAUUGAGUUUAAAAUAUCAUGUAACUUUGUAGCCGCGGCUCUACAAUCUUUGAAGGAUGCAUGGCAAAAUACACCACCAACCUGGAAAAAUUCCGACGAUCCCUGUGGAUCCUGGGAAGGAGUUACUUGUAACAAUUCCAGGGUCACUGCACUGUAAGUACAAUUCUAUAUUUCAAGAUUUUUUUUUUUUAAAUUCAACAUUAUUUUCAAUAGAAGCAAAGCUCACUCGUCACAUAUGCAUUAUGUUUUCAGGGGAUUAUCAACCAUGGGACUCACUGGGAAACUCAGUGGAGACAUUGGAGGCCUCACAGAAUUGAGAUCCUUGUUAGUAUCCUUCUCAAGUUUUCUAGAAAGUUUGCGGCAUAUUUCAACUUAUUAAGCAUAUCUUAUAUGCGUGUUGAAUUCAUUUGUUCCAGGGACCUGUCAUACAAUGGAGGCCUUACAGGUUCCUUAUCUCCGCGAAUAGGAGAUCUCCAGAAGCUGAAUAUCCUGUAAGAUCUUAUACUAGACGAAUCUGCAAGUUUCGGAAAAUCCUGAAUCUUUAUACUCGGCUAAUUUGUUUUUGUAUUUCAUAUGAUUUGGAUAAUGUUUUCCAUCUUGCAGGAUUCUAGCCGGCUGUGGUUUCACCGGCAAUAUUCCUGAUGAAAUUGGAAACUUGGCAGAAUUAUCUUUCUUGUAAGAAUAAUUCUAACUAGUCAAUUCAGUAUAUUUUUCUUUUUCUCAUUGUUCAAUUUAUUUAAAAAAAAGACCUACACACAAUUUCCAGGGCACUGAAUUCAAACAACUUCAGCGGUCGAAUUCCUCCUUCUUUGGGUAAGCUCUCCCAGCUUUACUGGCUCGAUCUUGCAGACAUCAGCUGACAGAUCAAUUCCAGUUUCAACAAUAACCUCCCCAGGAUGGAUCACUCAAAAUGCUAAGCAUUUGUAAGUAUUAUUUUUAUAUAUAUAUAUAUAUAUAUAUAUAUAUAUUUGGGGAUAUCAUCAUCUUCAAGUGACACACGAAGUAUGAUGAUUAUUUNNNNNNNNNNNNNNNNNNNNNNNNNNNNNNNNNNNNNNNNNNNNNNNNNNNNNNNNNNNNNNNNNNNNNNNNNNNNNNNNNNNNNNNNNNNNNNNNNNNNUUGAUGGAAUCAACUUUCUGGGAAUAUCCCGGAAAGUUUAGGAUAUGUUCAGACUCUUGAGGUUCUGUGAGUAUAAUUCUCCUCAUAUUCAACAUUUUUUUUUCAAAUUAAUCCCUUUCCAUUUGACUAGCCAUCUUGAAAAUUUCCAUUUUACUGGAAACUUUGUUAAUCUGCAACAGCCGGCUUGAUAGAAAUGCUUUGACAGGCAAAGUCCCAACAAAUCUCAAUAACCUCACAAAUGUCAAUGAAUUGUGAGUGUUUGUUUUUUAAGCAAAUGAGGCAAUGCUUUUGUUACUAUAGAAGUUGGUGAAUUAUGAAAUUUCUUCUACAUGAAACAAUGUUUCUCUUUCAGGAAUUUAGCUCACAAUGAUCUUAAAGGCCCUUUUCCAGAUUUAAGUCAAAUGAACUCCCUUAGUUAUGUGUGAGUUUCAUAAUAUUGAAGCUACUAUUUCCAGUUAAUUCCCCAGAAAGUAUUGCUUGUUCCAUAAGAGAAAAAUCUGAUCAAUGAUUUAUCAUAUCAUAGGGAUCUUAGCAACAAUUCAUUUGACCCAACAGAAGCUCCACUUUGGUUCUCAACUUUACCAUCAGUCACCACAUUGUAAGUCUUCUGUCAGUCACAGAAUACAGUUAUGAAAAAUCCCCUGGACUAUUUCCAAAUCAAAUCUCACUCUGGAGCUCCACAGGAUUUGUGAAUUUGGAUCUCUCCAAGGCCGUGUUCCAGAUAAACUCUUCAGCUAUUCACAAAUACAACAAGUGUAAGUUUCUAGUAAAGUAUAACCCUGUGAAGAAGAAUGGUAUAAUUCUCAAUUUUCAUUCUUGUAAAUCCGUUGCAGGAAACUGAGGAACAAUGCUUUCAAUAACACAUUGGACAUGGGAAAUGCUGUUGGUCCACUGUUGCAACUCGUUGAUUUGCAGAACAAUCAAAUUUCUGCAAUAACACUGGGUUCAGGAAUCAAAAACUAUACGUUAAUGUGAGACUACUCAUCAGCCUCAAUUCUCAUUGUAAAUGAUACUCUACCGUCUCUUUUCCAUUAUUCUUACUUAUCAAGUGAUGUUAUGCAUUUCAGACUUGUUGGAAAUCCGGUAUGCACGGCAACUCUGGCAAAUACUAAUUACUGCCAGCUUCAACAGCCGACCACAAAGGCCUAUUCCACAAGCUUGGCUAAUUGUGGAGGCAAAUCAUGUCCUCCUGAGCAGAAGCUGAGCCCUCAGAGUUGCGAAUGCGCCUAUCCAUAUGAAGGAACAAUGUAUUUCAGAGGACCAUCCUUCAGAGAAUUGUCCAAUGUCACAGUGUUUCACUCGCUGGAAAUGAGUCUGUGGGUGAAAUUAGGCCUCACACCUGGAUCAGUUUUUCUUCAGAAUCCUUUCUUCAAUAUCGACGACUACCUACAGAUUCAGGUUGCACUCUUUCCAUCUGGUGAAAAAUCUUUUAACAGGUCAGAAGUUCAAAAGAUAGGAUUUGAACUGAGUAAUCAAACCUACAAGCCUCCUAAGGAGUUUGGUCCCUAUUAUUUCAUUGCUUCUCCUUAUGCUUUCCAAGGUAACUUAAGUCUGUUUCUUUAUAACAGUCAACAAAAUAACAUCGAGAAUGGUGAUCUGACAAGAGAAUAUACAAAUAUGUUUUAGUUCCGCAGGGAGGUAAUUCUAUCAGCCCAGGAGUAGCUGCUGGAAUAGCAUGUGGAGGAGCCGUUCUAGUUUUAGGACUGGUAGGAUUAGGGUUGUAUGCUAUUCGGCAAAAGAAAAGAGCUGAAAGAGCGAUUGGAUUGAGCAAACCAUUUGGUAACAAAUAUUUUCGACAAUUGUCCGUUAUAUUGACCGAGUAAAUUGAGUUGCAAAUAUUAACAUACUGUAGCUGCCAACAUGAGAUCAUACCGUUUGAAUUCUCUGUUUUUGCAGCAUCCUGGGCACCGAGUGGCAAAGACAGUGGUGGUGCUCCUCAAUUAAAGGGAGCAAGAUGGUUCUCAUACGAUGAACUUAAAAAGUGCUCGAAUAAUUUCUCAGAAAGUAAUGAGAUAGGCUCUGGCGGCUACGGCAAGGUAAAUGCUCUUCUUGUUUAAAUAUUUGUGAAAUUUCGCUAACCUGCUGUUCGCUCAUCUUUUUCUGUUUUAUGCAGGUCUACAGAGGAAUGCUUUCUGAUGGACAAGUUGUGGCAAUCAAAAGAGCUCAGCAAGGAUCAAUGCAAGGGGGGCUGGAGUUCAAGACAGAGAUUGAAUUGCUUUCGCGUGUUCAUCAUAAGAAUCUCGUCGGUCUUGUGGGAUUUUGUUUUGAACAAGGAGAACAGAUGCUGGUUUAUGAAUUUAUGGCAAAUGGAACACUCAGGGAGAGCCUAUCUGGUAAUUUUAUCCUCAGUCUUGCUGUUUGCUUAAACAUAAGUUUCGACUUGUCAUCAUAUGGCAGCAAGUUUAUUCGCAUAAAUAUGUUUUGCAGGGAGAUCUGGCAUUCAUCUUGAUUGGAAAAGGAGACUAAGAAUUGCUCUUGGCUCAGCUAGAGGAUUAGCUUACCUACAUGAGCUUGCAAAUCCUCCUAUUAUCCACAGAGAUGUUAAGUCCACCAACAUUCUGUUGGAUGAGAACUUAACAGCUAAGGUUGCAGAUUUUGGCCUGUCUAAACUUGUAUCAGACAGUUCAAAAGGUCAUGUUUCAACUCAAGUCAAAGGCACAAUGGUGAGUACACUCAAUCCACAUCUCUUAUUUACUCUGUACAGACUUUGUAAUAGUUGGUUCAACUGGCAAGCUCUCUUGCUAUACACAAUACUUUUCGGUUUAAUUCAUUUGCAAGAGUAUGUUUGGUUGCAGGGUUAUCUAGAUCCUGAAUAUUACAUGACUCAACAACUAACUGAGAAGAGCGACGUGUAUAGUUUUGGAGUGGUUAUGCUUGAACUUAUAACGGCUAAGCAGCCGAUUGAGAAGGGAAAGUACGUUGUCCGCGAAGUAAGAACGGCUAUGAACAGGGACGACGAAGAGCAUUAUGGCUUGACGGAGAUGAUGGAUCCAACCAUCAGAAACACCGUCCUGCUAGGAUUCAGAAGGUAUCUGGAAUUGGCAUUACAAUGUGUUGAAGAAUCGGCCACGGACCGGCCAACAAUGAGUGAGGUGGUUAAGGCCAUUGAAACCCUUUUGCAAAAUGAUGGGAUGAACACAAACUCCACUUCAGCAUCUUCAUCUGCUACAGAUUUUGGUUCUUCAAAAGGUGUCGUUAGACAAAUCUAUGGUGAUGCAUUGCCUAAUAAUAAGAAGGAUAUCAAUGACACUAAUGCCUUUGAUUACAGUGGGGGAUACACACUUUCUGCUAAAGUUGAACCCAAGUAGAGGAAAGCACUUUCUCUUUUUUCUUCAAGUUUUAAGUUUUUAGAUAACUUGUGUGUAUUACAAGGGACAUGUUGUAUGCUUAGUGUGCUUGUCUGCUGAGAGCAAAAAAUUAUUUUGCUAUGAGAUAAUUAAAAAUCCUCUGAAAGAAUCCAGUUUGCAGUAAGACAAAGACGAGUUUUUCAAGUGACUGACCUCAUCCACAGGAGAAAAAAUAAAAUGGUAUCCAAAGUUUUUAUAACUUGAAAAGCAUGAAAAGUUUCCAUGUAACCAUUCGAAAUUACAGAAAAUGACCAUUCGAAAUUACAGAAAAUGAAACUUACAGAGAGUUAUAUACUGCACAAACAAACAAAACCACAUUCUUCAGAUCACAAACUUUCACUAUGCCACAGUCCUUGUAGUUCUGCUACUUGUAGUUCUGCUACUCAUGCUGUUCCUUGGGUGGCUUUACAAUAAUGAUCGGGCAUACAGCAUGAUGCGCACAGUAAUCACUUACACUCCCCAAGAAUGCCCUGAUAAUUAUGAACAUAUACAUAAGCAAUCAAUCAAAGGAAUCUAUUGCAAGCAAAUAGAUGAUUUGCAGUCCAUAAUACUUAAAAAUAUUUCAGUAAGAUGACUUGAACAGUAAUCUAGAUUCUUUGCCUUACGCCAAUAGAUGUUUAAAUGUGUGUGCAAUCAGUCUGGUGUCCACAACGAUGUGAUUCUUUAAGUAUAUUGGUUGUCACCUUUUAAUCUUGCCGAGGCCGCGGCUUCCGACAACAAGGAGAUCAAUGUGCAUUUGCUCAGCAGACUGACAAAUCAUGUCCUUUGGAUCCCCUUCAAGAACCAGACUCUCUGCUUUCACCUACAUAAGGUUACAUGUUUUAGAAUUAGAACCGAGGAAGUAUGGUCUAAAAAUUCGAUGCACGGAAGGCAUAUAAUACACUUUUAGCCAAUCACCAUCUUAUCUUUACACAUCUGCAAUGCCCGGGAAAGUAACGCCGCUGAAUUUUCUUCUUGGGAUUUCCUCACAGAUUCUACCAUCGAAGAUGUUGCAUAAAAUGCUAUCAAAUCAAAACCGCUUUAGAGAUCUAAUGCAAAUUUUAUGAUUUGAACUAGCAAACACAUACUGAAAGCUAUAGCAUACUAACAAAUUUUGAUCUCAUGUGAUGCAGACAUUCAUUUACCAUUUAAUGCACAUUUCAAAAAUGUGGGUUUGAGGACUGGACAACACUGUCUAACUAUGGUGAUUAGUGCACUGUCUACCACUCAUCCAUUCCGGAGAACUGUUAAUAAAACCAAAUGAUUUUCAUGGAAUUAAAGAACAUUUUGGAGCAUGUUACAAGUUAAUUAAGCAAAUCGGUGUAGCCAAUAGCCAACGAUUCUAUCAUACAAAAAAAAACAUUAAAGAAUUACUCGAACUCGCUGGAGUAGCUCAGUUGGUUAGAGCGUGUGGCUGUUAACCACAAGGUCGUAGGUUCAAGGCCUUCUUCUAGCGAUUAAUAUUCUAGUUAUUUAUCUAUUUAUUUUUUGUUUGGUAGUUACACUACCUGAACUGGUACUUGGGGGUUACACUACCUGAACUGGUACUUAAGGCUGGCAAAACGAAGCGCUGAAAUGGCUGCUGAACAUGAACGAUUGUUAGGAUACCGCCGCCGCCGCCAGCUUCCGGCGUAAAGCCGACGAUACCAUAAAGAUUGUCAAGAGCCCAUUUGAGUGCAUUGACACUCUCUGCACUUUCAUCAAUAGCCACCAUCACCUUCAUCUUCUUCUUGCCGUCUGUCAUUUUUGUCUCCUCUUCUUCUUUUGAUUGCAGCAUUGCUGACCCUGAACCACCUGGAACUGUUUCUUUCUCCAUUACCCAAUUCUUUUACACCUCCCUCUCGGACAACAAUGUCAAUGUCACAACAUACAGUAGUGAGCCUAUUUGCUCUUUAUAUAAAUUGAACGAUGAUUGGGUUUUUGUCAUUUUCGAAAAAAUUAGGGAGCUGAAAAUGAGGUGUCAUUACGUGGAAGUUUAUGAGAGGAAAUGUGGCAUGAGCCCAACAAAUGGCAUCCAUGCAAUUGAAGAGUUACAAUUCCAGCAUGCAAAAUUUUAUAUUUUUAUUAAAUAGAUCUACAGCGUAGUUGGUGCCCGUUGUUGGCGACUCUAACUUUGGUAACGUAAAAUAAAAUUACAUUCGCCUAAUUCAUAGCCUAAAAUUAGCUCGUACUUUGAAAUUACCCAUGCUUACAUUGAUAAUAUGUUCUCUAUAACUUUUUCUCCGCUCAAAAUUAUUUUCUUAAACGCUAAUCAUUUUUCAACCAAUGUGUAUGUUCUUCUCAACUCAUUUUUCCUCUCUUUACGUUAUAGGAGAUAUUCGCCACUUUUUUUUUUUUGGUAUAUUAAGUUGUCUAGUAUUCAAAAAUUUUAUUGACCUCAAUUAAUUCAAAUUCGAGUUGGGCAUGACCAUUAAGGUGAUAAAUCUCUCCCAACAAGCAUUCUUAAAUUUCAAAUUGAAGAACUUGAUUAACUUAAAACAGCUCCAUACCAGCUGAUUUACGUACUUGUUAAUAUAUUAGCAUCCCAUAAAUAAAAGUUAUUUUUUUAUUAGAAGUUCUUAGAUUUCAGAAAUAAUGUCCAUAAUUUUUAAAAUGUUAAUCGCAUUAUAUACAUACAUAGGUCGUGUUUAGAUGCGGAUUCAUACUUAAAUAUCAGAUUAAUUAGCUUAUAACUUCUGUUGCUAUAGCGUUACUUGCUUAUUUAGCAUUCCUUUAAUGGUCUAGUUAGGUUAUGAAAUCAGACUUCAAGUCUACAUAAGUAGAGGUACACCCUGUUAUAACAAUUUCAUAAGUCUUGAAUAAAACUUUCGUUUAUUCUAUAACCAAACCAUUGUAUUACACAAUUAAUUAAGGGAGCUUAAUGAACUGUACACUCUUACGCUCAUACGCACACAUUAUUUUACACACACAUUUCCCACUUCACAAAAAUAAAGAGAUAGCUUCUUACGUUCUUGAUACUUUUUCGCUAUGCCACACGGUCCUUAAAAUUCUUGUGCUUAUGGUGCUCCUUUGGUGGCUUGACAAUGAGGAUCGGACAUACAGCAUGAUGCGCGCAGUAGUCGCUUACGCUGCCCAAAAAUGCCCUGCCAGUAAUAAAUCGGAUUAAAACUCUGUCAUGAUUUGAUCUCCUUUUGAGUAAAAAUAUAUAUGGGUCAUUGAUAGUUAAUAAAUAAAGAAAAAUCAAACUUUAAAUCUUACUCAUAUAUUAUCACUUAAAGACACAUGACACGAGAUUUUUAAAAACUCAUAAGAAUUCAGAUCAAGAGAGGAUCUUAACCCAAUAAAUUAAUAGUAGCAAUUAAUAAUUAGAUAAUCAACAACCCGAACUUUUAUAGACAAAUAAUAGUAAGAUUAAUUACUCUUGGCGACGGCCAAAAUUAAUCAGUUUGAUGCUCACAAUAUAUUGUAUAACACUUAGGUAUUUUAAUUAAUUGUCAGCACAUGUUUACAUCACCUCUUAACCUUGCCGAGGCCACGGCUUCCAACAACAAGGAGAUCAAUGUGCAUUUGUUCUACAGCCUGACAAAUCACAUCCCUUGCAUCCCCAUCAAGAAUCAGUGUUUGUGCAUUCACCUGCACCAUGCAUGCAUGCAAGUUUUACAAUUUAAUUUGUACACCACUGAUAUCUAAGGACUGAAAGGAAAACAAUUCUACCAUCUCUUGUAAAGUCCUAGUAGCUGAUAUGUGCUGCGUGAAUAAGUAGAUUAAUCCUACUUAUUGUAUAGAUUGUAGAAAGGUUUCUUAAAUUCUGCUUAGAGCGGGUAAACUUUUUUAUUUUUUUGGUCGAUGGGAAAGUGUGUUUUUUUAAUGCACUAAAAGUAUAUAUACAAAAAUUAAAAUAUGAUACGAAUUUUUACAAUGUUAUAAACUGUUAUUUUUCACUAUUUACAAUGCUGCAAACUCAAAAAUCAAUUUCCAAUGUUGGAAAUUCGUACCAAUUUUAAUGGGGAUUAAAAAAUUUUCGGAUUUAGGUAGCGACUACCAUGUUUUCUUUGCACACUUGUAGUGCUCGGGAGAGUAGAGCUGCAGAACUUUGUUCUUCGGCUUUCUUGACAUUUUCCACCAAAGUAGACGUUGCAUAAAACGCUGUCAAUUAAUUAAUUAUCGGCUUUCAUCUCCGCCAAUUAUGAAUAAAAGGAUUCCAUAUCGACAAGCAUAAUUUAAUUAUUUGCUAACCUGCACCAGCGGGGAUAAAAGGCUGCUGAGCAUGAACAAUUGUCAGGACGUUGCUGCCACUGCCGGCUUCCGGCGUAAUGUCGGUGAUGACAUAAAGAUUAUCAAGAGCCCAUUUAAGUGCAUAAAAACUCUCUGCACUUUCAUCAAUAGCCACCAUCACCUUCAUCUUCUUCUUGUUUUUCCUGAUCAUCGUCACCUCUUCCUCUUUUGCUUGCAGCACUGCUGACCCUGAACCUGCAAUUGUAUCUUUCUCCAUAUAUACCCAAUUCUUUUAAUUCUCUCUCUCUCUCUCUCUCUCUCUCUCGAUCAGACAACAUGAACCGUCUCAACAUAGAGUAGUAAGCAAGUAAGUAACCAAUUACUUUUUAUAGAAAUAAAAACGUGAUGGCUUUUGUCUUUCUCUGUAAAAGGAGAUGAAAAUGAGGUGUUACGUGUAAGUAAUUAUGUGGGCAAUAUGGAGAUUUAAUUUAGCUGGUCCACGUGGCAUCCGAGCAAACGGAAGUUCCAAUUGCAGCAUGCAAAAUUUUGUUUCAUUAAGUAACAAGAUUUGCAUGCAUCCCAAAUCUUUUGUUCUUUCCCCCCACAAAUGAUAUAUACUGGUAUACUUAUCCCAUUUGUACUAUAUAGAUCCAUAAGUCGUAUUACAUAAUCGGCAGAUCAGCCUAGGUAAGAGAUAAUCCAUUUUGCUUAAUUGGUCACGGAUUCAAGAGAGAAUACAUUUUGCUCAAUUUAUCACGGAUUCAAGUGUAGAGGAUACAUUUAAUUAAGGAUAAAUAUUUAUUCAAUUCCUAUAUUUUAAAAAAUAUCUCAAGAUAUCUAUUUUGAUAUUUUCACCCUUAUUUUUUCUUUACCGUUACAAUAAUAAUACCCUCACUAUUAUCUUAAAGAGUAUUAAUUAAUUUAUCCAUAAAAUGUUAAUUAGCAAUUGAUUAAUAAUUAUCAAUCUAAUAUCCUUACGCCGGUUUUUCUGAUAAUCAAUUAUAAAUAAAUUAAUAACAACCAAUUUAAAGCCACAUUUAACACUUUAUAAGGACAAAAACAUUCUUGCAAGGGUGUUAUAUAAAAGCAAAGAAAAUAAAGGUAAAAAUAUCACAUAUUUAAUAAUAGGGGUGUCUUGAGAUAUUUUUUAAAAUAUAAAAACUAAAUGAGCAUUUAACUCAAAAUAUAAGACUAAACAAAUAUCUAUCUUUUAAUUAAUCUGGGAUGGAAUUGGGAAUGAUUAAGGUGCAAUAUAAUUGGAUUAAAAAAUGUACAAAGACAUCCAUACCAUACAUAACAUAAAGAUCCGUUGAAUGAAAUUGAAUGGCUAAGAUUUUGUUUUAAUUAAUUCUUAUUUAAAGAGACAUCUAAGGUCACAUGAUUGUUGUAAUGUUUUCCCCUCACAUCUCUCUCUACAUUCACGCCCAUCUCCAGCAAAUUGUAAAACAAAAAACAAAAAAAAACAAAAGCACAUGCUGGAGAAACGAAAUCGACAAUAAUGUUUGUUCUAAUUAAUUUCAUUCUUUUCGUCUCUUCUCUUUCUGUGUUGACGUUGAUCUCCAACAAAUUGAAAAUUUAAAAAAAAAGUCUGAAUAAAGAUGGUUAGGAACAUGGGUGCGGGAGGCUAAGGGACAAUGAUGAUGAUUACGGGGUCUAGGCUAUAUAGUAUCAAACAACUUUUGUUCGAUCGAGGAGUAGAGAUAGAAAUGAGCUAAUAGUUUUGUUUCAUAGUAUUUUGUUUUGGGUGAGAUGUACAUCGAAAGGGAUUGACGUGUUCAAUGGAAAAAGCGAUCAGAAAAGUGUAAGAAAAGCUGAGAAGUUAGGAUGUUGGAGAUUGCCCUCCAAGUGCUUGACGAAACGGCUGAACGAAAUUGGCUGUAGAUGUUGAGAAGAUUUGUUGGAGGGCAAAUGCACAAUUUUCAAAUUUUUGAGUAGUUAGUGUAUGGAAAAUGCAUUUGGAGAAGUUAAUGGGAAUUAUCGCUCAUUUUACACUUUUCUGAUCGCUUUUUCCAUCGUACACGUCAAUCUCUUUUGAUGUACAUUUGCCCCAAAACAAAAUACUACGAAACAAAACUAUUAGCUCAUAUCUAUCUCUACUCCUUGAUCGAACAAAAGUUGUUUGAUACUAUAUAGCCUAGACCCCGUAAUCAUCAUCAUCGUCCCUCAGCCUCUUGCACCCAUGUUUCCUAACCAUCUUUAUUCAGACAUUUUUUAAAAUUUCAAUUUGCUGGAGAUCAACGUCAAUAUAGAAAGAGAAGAGACGAAAAGAAUGAAAUUAAUUAGAACAAACAUUAUUGUCGAUUUCAUUUCUCCAGCGUGUGCUUUUUGUUUUUUUUGUUUUUUACAAUUUGCUGGAGAUGGGCGUGAAUGUAGAGAGAGAUGUGAGGGAAAAAAUUUACAAUAAUCACGUGACCUUAGAUGUCUCUUUAAAUAAGAACUAAUUAAAACAAAGUCUCAAGUCAUUUAAUUUCAUUAAUAACACAUGUCAGCGGAUCUUUAAAAAUUUAGGAGGACUAGGAAAGAAAGAGCCUAGGAGAGGAUAUGGAUCCUUGUAUCAAAUAGUUUCUCAAUUAAUUCCAAUUCUUUUAUUUUUAUUUGUAUUUUUAUUUUUGACAAACUCAAUUAAUUCCUAUUAGAAUGACUGGAAUGCUCUUUAGUCUCAACCAACUUUCACUUUCCUUUCAUACUGUGAGGCGGUUAAAACUCAACAUUAAGGGGUAGAUUGGUCAUUGAACUAUUAUUGCGACAACUGGUCGAAGUUCCUAGAGCGUUGGCUUUUAGCAGCAUCGCCAUGGAUCCACAGUGAUCGUUUGUUGAGAGCUAAAAAAUACUUUGCUAUGCGAUAAUUAUUGAUCACACAGAAAUCAUCUAGUUAGUUUGCUUUUUACAACUCUAAAAUAUAUAAAGAUCACUCAGUAAAUUGAGUGUCUUCUUUAUUUUCUUUUAAUUUUCUAUUUAUAUUUAUCUUAAUUACAUGAGGAAGAAUAAAACUUAAAAGUUGAUGGAAAAUCACCCAACAGAAGAUUAUCCAAAAACAAGAAAAGUCUCAAAAAUAGAACCAUGUAAAUCGAUCCAAAUCACCCAUUAUUACAGAAAAUAGAGACACAUUUAUCUGCUGCAUGCACAAACAAAGACAAUAAAUUCUUCUGAUAUUACAAACUUUUUAUUCUUCUUAUAUCACAAACUUUGUCUCUAUAUCAUAGUCCUUACGGAGCUACUGCUUAGUAUGGUGCUGCUUUGGCGGUGGCUUGACGAUGAUGAUCGGACACUGGACAUGAUGUGCACAGUAGUCACUUACGCUACCCAAUAAUGCCCUGCCAAGUGUCGAUUACAGUAAAUAAUCAACAAGCCAGAAAAUUUAUACACAAAUUACAAUGACCAAAAUGUCGGAUGAAAUACUCAAAAGUGUGUAUGAUGCUCACAUGUCACAACUGAGAUUAUCAGGUAAAGCUCAGAUUCUCAGGUAUUCAUAUUAACACCUUGUUUUUUUAAAUUAACUAUAACCGUAUGGUGUUGACGUGAAACAUCACAAAAUUGACAUUUAGAACUCUCAUACCCAAGAAUUUCUACGGCAUUACAUAUAUGUGUAUAUUUAUAUAAAUAAUUGUCACCUUUUAAUCUUGCCGAGGCCACGGCUUCCUACAACAAGGAGGUCCAUAUGCAUUUGUUCUGCAGCCUGACAUAUCAUGUCCUUUGGAUCCCCAGUAAGAACCAGUGUUUCUGCUUUCACCUGCACCACACAAGUUAUCAGUAAUAGUACACUGCCCACAUAUAAAUACCAAAUUUAAUGAAAUUUAAUUUAAUUAAUUUUGUUUGCUGGUUGCAUAAUGUUACGGUACAGCUAGCUCACAUAGUCAUCACACACACUGACACACACACACGCACACGCACACGCACACAUGCAGCCUGAGUAAGUUCAUUAAUGCUACUAAUCGUAUCCGAAGGGUUUCUUAAUUAAAUUCUGCUCAGUGCUAAAUUUUUUUUAAUUUAUAAGUGAGAGUGUCUCUAAUCACAAAAAGUUUAUUGCUAGUUAAAGUAGACAUGUACUGUAAUUUGUAAGUUACAUUCUUAUCCUUGCAUAUUUGCAGUGCUCGCGAGAGAAGGGCUGCAGAAUUCUCCUCUUGAGCUUUCCUGAUAGAUUGCUCCACCGAAGAUGUUGCAUAAAAUGCUGUCAAAAAUUUAAUUUAGUCUUCAUUUCACAGCCAAAAUAUCAAAAUCAUUCACUUCUGCAUGCAAUGCAACCAACAGUUGGUUCGAAGUAACGCCUAUACUCACUUUAAAGUUUUGUAUUGCUGAACAAACAAUAAAUAAAAGUUAGAUGAGUUUGAUCAAGGGGCUGGAGUAGCUCAGUUGGUUAGAGCGUGUGGCUGUUAACCACAAGGUCGAAGGUUCAAGCCCUUCCUCUAGCGGGGUUUUAAGUUUCAUUUUACCAUUAGCACAUCCAAAAAUAUUUUCCACAAUAUUACAAAGUAAAAAAAAUUCUUGGUAAACAGAUCACCUGCACCGCCAGGUCCGGCAGGGAAGACAAAGUGCUGAAAGGGCUGCUGAACAUGAACAAGUGUGACCGUGCCGGCGCCGCGGUCGCUGGUUCCCGGCGUUACGGCUCCUGUGAUACCAAAAAGAUUAUCAAGUGCCCAUUUGAGUGCAUAGAAACUCUCUCCACUUUCGUCAAGCGCCACCAUCACCUUCAUCUCAUUCUUCCCCAUCAUCUCCUCCUCUUCUUCUUUUGUUCGCUGCAUCGCUAAUCCUGCACCCUCCACCGCCUCCAUCGCCAAAUUCAAUUGCUAUCACUAUCAGUAUACCUCACGUAUUUGAAUAUAAAUUCGAUUACAAUUUUACAAAUUUUCUUUUAUACAUUGAACAUGAUAUUUAUUUAUUUAUUUAUUUAUAAUAAUUAUAUAUGGUGUUUUUGUUAAGAAAUUCUUGUUUUGUUGUGAGGAAAAGUUUAAGAGUGAAGGUGGUACGUGGAAGUACGGUAACAGAUCAUGAAACUUCAGCCGGGACAUAUGGCGUCCAUGCAAAUGAAAUCUUCCAAUUGCAGCAUGCAAAAGGCAUCUACCAUACUAAUAAUUAUUCAUUUAACAUUUACCGAAAUCUCUUAUAUAAAGUGAUGGUGCAGUCUGAAUCUUUAUGCUAUUUUUAGAAAAAUUAACUCCAUAAUAUGUCCAAAGGAGGACUAAAAAUUUUUAUUCACAUGGAUUUGUAGUAAAAUUUUAUUCUAAAAAGUGUUAAAUUCAGAUUUAAAUUUCGCACUGAGCUGAAUUUAAAAAUAUGUAAUUAGUAGAUAUUAGAUGAAGAUAUAUUGCUAUAACGUACACAUGGAAACCAAUCAAUUAGAAUGAUACAAUGUAAAACCAAAAAGUAAAAGGAAGGAUAAGUCAAAAAUUAACCCAAAAAAAAGUGAUUAAUCCUUUAAAAAAGUUCUGAAUGAUAAUAUAUGGGCCUUCUUGACGGCCCAGGGGUGUAUAUUCCAGUCCAUUAGAUAAUCCGACAAUCCGUUGUCGUUUGAUAGGCAUUUACAUUUUACAGUUAUGAUGCAUGUGGUUAGUUAUGUAUAUAUCCGUAAAACUUCAAUCAUCAAAUAUGUAAUUCCUUUAAACCAAAAAAAAAAAAAAAUUCAUUUUCAGUUUAGAGAAAUUUGCCCAUUUUACCUUACAAAAAAUACUUGCCAAAUAAAAGCAUUAUUCAAUCAAUGACUCUGAAAUAUUUAAUCAAACUUUUGCACAUGGAGAGAAUGUAACAACGAACUAUAGCUUUUCAAUUUUCACUCAUCCGAAAGCAUUUCAACAAAAAAAAAAAAAAUUAUGUAUGCAAUAAAAAUUCCUUGAUCACUAGAGGAUAAAUUAAGAUAAAAAUGAAUCUAUAAAACGUUUUAAUCAAGCAAAGGCGUGUUAUAACAAAAAAAAAUAUAAUUUACAGGUCACAAGAAAAAAAAGGAACGAAAAAAGGUAAAACGCAGAAACCAGUAGUCAUCCUGUACUAGGAAAGCAAGGGACAGUGUGUCACCGACCUCAAUCAGUCACUCCGCACGCACGUGACCCAAUCAAGCCGCCACGUAACAAUAUCGUACGUCACCUAACACAAUAUCCCACAUGGCUUAUUCUGAAUGGCCGCUUCUACGCUUGAGAGACAAGAUCUGAAAUUCUUAUUUCCAAAAUUACCCUCUGAGUUUUUUCAAGUUGACAAUUACGUCCAUCAUCAAAGUAAAUCCCUCUCUCUCUCUCUCUUUUCUCUUCCUCUUGUCACCCUCACCUUACAGUGUCCCCCGCUUCCCUUCUCUUCUCUUCUCUUAUAUUACUCUCUCUUUUCAUUUUCUUCCUUCUUACACAAAUUGACAAUACUGCCAUUCCGAUAAAUCUCUCGCUUCUCGACUUUUCGAUUUCGCGAUCGGACGGUCAUGACUAUGAUGACUCCUCCACCGUUAGAUGUAAACAUCACUCUAUUUUUUUUUCUCUCUCUCUCUCUAGCUUUAUCUUUAUUUCCUUUGAUUGUUUUGAACUGUUUCUAGUUAUUUUCUCGAUCAACUAGGGUUUUGUGUUUGGAUUGACUUAAAUUCGACGAAAUUUUCCGUGAAUGUUAGUGAUUGAUAUCUAGGGUUUUUGAUUGAGUGAAUUGCGGCUGACUUAUAAUUUUGAUUUAAUGAUUUGUGUUUUUGUGUGUUUGGACUUUGUAGCAAGAAGAGGAGGAGAUGCUUGUGCCGCAUUCGGACAUAGUCGAGGGUCCUCAGCCAAUGGAAGGUUCGUUUUAACGGUUGAAAUUUUGUAUUUUUGUUUAGUUUCGUGUUUUUGUGGAUUAUUUAGUGCUGUAGAGAGGAUCUGGAGGUGGCUUAUGUAUAAUUUUGGUUUUGAUUGAUUGGUUUUGGUAUUAGGGUUUUGAGUGUUUUGUAUUGAUUUUUAUGAGUUUUGUGUAUGUUAGUGGUUUCGCAAGUGGAGCCGGCUAGUACUGUGGAGAAUCAGCAAGUGGAAGAUCCUCCUACAAUGAAAUUCACUUGGACUAUAGAGAAUUUCUCUAGAUUGAAUACCAAGAAACAUUAUUCUGAUGUAUUUGUCGUUGGCGGUUACAAAUGGUAAUUAUAUGAUGGACACUAUCUCACUGAUUGAAUUGUUUAUGCAAUGCGAUAUUCUUCUUGUGAUUGAGAUUGAACGUUGGUUGUUGCUGCUUUGUUGCAGGCGGAUACUUAUUUUCCCAAAGGGAAACAAUGUGGACCACUUGUCUAUGUAUUUGGAUGUUGCCGACUCUGGAACAUUGCCAUACGGAUGGAGUAGAUAUGCACAGUUUAGUCUGGCUGUAGUUAACCAAAUUCAUUCCAAAUAUUCAAUCAGAAAGGGUAUCUUCUUAACUGUAAUUAUUGCUGUAGUUGCUCUAUUGAUGUUCAUGCUCUUGUUGUUAGUAAUUAAUUGCUACAGCCUUUAAUUAAGUGAAAUUAAUUAUUCUUACAUUAUUAAAUUUUCCUAUUUACUUUGUUUUAAAUUUUUAUUGCCACAAGUUUACUUUCCAAGCAUGGUAUUGAGAAUUUUCCCUGAACAGAGCAUUCUUCAAUUUUUCAUUUUUUUCUUUUUUUGUUUCUACCGAUAAGAAAUCAAGUUUAUUGGUUCAAUGUAUGUUUUAUAUGCUUGGUUAUUUAAUUCACUCAAUUGUGUAUUUCUUUUCUAAUAUGAUCCCUGGUCGCAUUUCUUUCUGUUUGAUGACUGUGCAAGCAACAAUAACAAGAAAAAAGAAAGUAAAUAAAAAUGUUGAAGUUUUCCUUUCAUCAUAUAUGAUAUAAAUAAAUGUGGCAACACAUUCUUUUCCUUCCAAAGAAUGAUUGAUUGAUUGCAUGCAUUCAAUAUUUUUAAGCAGCUUCAGUGCACAAAACAAUGUGUAAUUGCAAAGAAAAUUCAUGUAUGGCCUAUAUUAUGUGGGAAGAGAGGAGUGAUGAGAAAGGCAAGAAUCUUUAAUAUUUGCCGGAAAUUUGUAUGCUGUUAAAUAUAGCAAUAGAUCAUCUGUUAUGCAUGCGUUACAAACUGGUGACUUCAACUUGACAAUUAGUCUGCCAAUUUGGUCAAAUUUAGAAGUGUGUUCUUGUAGAAGUUGUAAAAAAAUUCAAAAAAAAAAAAUCAGAAUACUGUUGUUUCUCUAGUUUUGCAAGUUAAUGAAAGAUAUCUGCUUGCAGUUGUUUUGCUUGUGCUUGUCAGGAAACUUAUGUUUGAGUUUGUCUGUAUAAAGAACUUUGUACUUUUUGCACUGUAAAUUUAAGCCAAUUAUAUUGGUGACAAAGAAUAGGGCUUCCAUCGUGGUUAUUUAUACCAGAUGUUGGGUCUAUUAUGUACUUUGAUUUAAUCAUAACGAAUUUCUUCUGGAUUGUGCAGAUACUCAACAUCAAUUCAAUGCAAGAGAGAGUGAUUGGGGUUUCACAUCCUUUAUGCCACUUGGUGAUCUUUAUGACCCUAGUAGAGGAUAUUUGGUGAACGAUAGUGUUGUCGUUGAAGCUGAGGUUGCUGUUCGUAAAGUCCUGGAUUAUUGGUCAUACGACUCGAAAAAGGAGACUGGUUAUGUUGGACUUAAGAAUCAAGGAGCAACCUGUUACAUGAAUUCUCUCUUGCAGACUUUGUACCAUAUACCUUACUUCAGAAAAGUGAGGACAUAGUCUGAUGUUUUCAACCAUAAGUCACCUUCAUUUACUGUUAAUGUUUUGUAGAAAGUUAAAAGCCUCAUGUUGUAAAGUAUAUUUCAGGCCGUGUACCACAUGCCGACAACUGAAAAUGAUUUGCCUUCAGGAAGCAUUCCUUUAGCUCUGCAGAGUUUAUUUUAUAAGCUUCAGUAUAAUGACACCAGCGUUGCAACAAAGGAAUUGACCAAAUCAUUUGGAUGGGAUACAUAUGAUUCUUUCAUGCAACAUGAUGUACAGGAACUUAAUAGGGUCUUGUGUGAAAAACUUGAAGACAAAAUGAAGGUAUGGUGGUUUAAUGAGUUUUAUAGUUUUUCUGGUGCAUUUUCUUUCAUGUCUGUCAUCCUAUGAUUAUUGUUCUGUUGGUCCAGGGAACUGUUGUGGAAGGGACAAUUCAGCAGUUAUUUGAAGGUCACCAUAUGAAUUAUAUCGAGUGCAUAAAUGUGGACUACAAGUCUACAAGAAAGGAAUCAUUUUAUGGUAUUUAUACUUUUAGAUGUUGUUUGGGAUUGAGUUUGUUUUUAUCAAUAAUGUUGAUUCAGACAAGUGCUUCUUACAUGGCAGACCUCCAACUUGAUGUCAAAGGCUGUAGAGAUGUCUAUGCUUCUUUUGACAAGUAUGUUGAAGUUGAGCGUCUGGAGGGUGAUAAUAAAUACCAUGCCGAAGAACAUGGCUUACAGGUUAGUUUAUGGGAGUUGAUUGGGACGUGAUACUUGUCUUGCUUUAGCCUCUUGUUUUUAACUCACCUAUGCUUGCCUUUGUAAAGCACAUCGGUUUGUAUGUGAAAGUUUAAAAGUUUAGACUAGCUCGCUCUUUCAUUUUAUAUUUUUUUCUGUCAUUUGUACGUAAAACUAAUUUAAAGGUUUGUCCCUCAAAGCUAAGCUUAACUAUGCUGAUAGCACUGAUUAGGCAGAUCUAUCUGUGUAAUAAAUAUAAAAUUAUCUUGAGGUGUUAUAUUAUUAAAAAAGAUCGUUUCAAAUAGACCCAAUGAUAUUUUUUUCUUAAAUUAAAAAAAAAUUCCAGAUAUAGCAGCUCGAAGGCAUGGUUGGUUUCUGCCCAGCUGAGUGUCAGCUCUGUGUUUCUAAGAAAUCAGGCAAAUCAAAGUUAAACUUUGGUAAUAGUAUUAGAUAGUUUUGCUGUUAACAAGAGAUAAUUUCUAGAAGCAACUGAAAGAUCAUCCUUAAGAUGAUGCCUGCAAUGUAAGGAUUUAUUUUGGUAUUAGAUUAUUCUGUUUUCUUGUAUAUUUUGUUCAGCAUCAUUCUUUAAAAUAUAAUAGUUUUAACAAUUAUUUUGAAAAGUUUUGCUUCCAUUAGUUGAGUUUUGCUUCCAUUAGUUGAAGAUGUUUCUCUAUUCACAUGCUGGAAUUUUUUAUCUUUCAGGAUGCCAAGAAGGGAGUCUUAUUUAUUGAUUUUCCGCCUGUGCUUCAACUCCAGUUGAAGCGGUUUGAGUAUGAUUUUAUGCGAGAUGCUAUGGUGAAGGUCAGUGUCAAUGAUUUGUGUGAUCAGAUUCCAUGUCUUGCCUAGCCCUUGUCGUUUUGUAGUUAUCUAUAUGGAGUAAAUUUCUUCUAUACAAAACAUGGAUUUGGAUUGAGAGAAAGUAUUUUAAUAAUAGUAGUAAUAAUAAUAUUAUAAUACAAAUAGAACUGAGAGGAAGUAUUAUAUGCUUUUUGUGCUUUCAAAUUGUCCUGCUCUGUGAUGUAAAAACUCUGCCUGUAAUAAAGUUACUGUUGUUUGUUGGACAAAACAUAUAUUUUGCAGUUUUUUUUCAUCUUUUCUGAUUCUUCCAUUUUAUUGUGGUCUCUUGUAUGACUUCUCAUUUGUUAUGUAAUGUCCUAAUAAGUUGAAGGUAGGUUGUGGAUGGUUCUUCUAUUUGUAGUAUUUAAUUUGGACACGUCUUUUUUUUCUUAAAAAAAAAUGGAUACCGUUGUGUUGAAGGUUUUACAUGUCAUUGAAUUGUUGAGUUUGAGUGAGGAAAUUGUGCAUGCUUGAGGAAAAACUACAUUUAUACUAGUCUACAGUUUAGUUCUAUAUUAAUUGGCUCUUUUGUUUUGUAGAUAAAUGACCGCUAUGAGUUUCCUCUUCAACUUGACCUUGAUAGAGAGAAUGGGAAGUAUCUAUCACCAGAUGCAGAUAGGAGUGUCCGCAAUCUUUACACGCUUCACAGGUACUAGCCUCUUUUGGUUUUUUUGUUUUAGGAGUCAGUAUAGGUAUUUUGCUUAGCAAUUGGUGGUAGAUUGAAAGAAGGAGAUUGCAUCCUCAUUUUAAUUUUGUGCACCUGAGCACAUUACUUUUAUGGAUGUAGUGCUUUAUGAGAUUUUUGAUUCUUCAUGUGCUAUUCGUUUGUCAUAGUGUCUUGGUUCACAGCGGAGGGGUACACGGUGGGCAUUAUUAUGCUUUUAUCAGGCCAACACUCUCUGAUCAGUGGUAAGUUUAUCUUGCUUUUACAUUUAAAAUUGAUUUUGUGUGUGCAUGCUCUGCACGCUCUCUUUACUAUUUUGUGUUUGCUUGACAUCCUGCCAUUAGUUUGCCCAAACUGGCUAGGAAUAUUUUCUGGUGCAUCUAUCUGUGUUUAAUCACUACUUGGUUUUAGUAUUGUUAGGAAGUAUUAUUGAGGGCAGUUUUUAUGAUAUGUGCGUAUUUUUAGUUAAGUUUCAAUAAAAAUAUUUCCAGUUUAUUUGUUGUCAGUUUGAGUAGAAAUCAUUGAAAUCAAUUUAAAUAUCAUCAACAAUAAAAUGGAAGUUAAUUAGCCUUUGUUAAUACGAUCUGAAUGAGGGAUAAAUACCUCAAGUGCCUUCCAUAUUCAAGAUUCCAAGGUUUUGGCCCCAAUUAGUCCCUUUUCCUUUUUUUUUCUUUUUGGGUAUGUAGGAUGGCUAUUGUAAGAUACAUUCGAGACCAAAGAAGAUGCCGUAACUCUUUACCCCAUAUUUGUCUUUUUCGGAUAGCCUAUUUUAUAGGAUCACAUUAUAUUGGAAUUUUGAUUGUCUGCGGAAACUUAGAAGUAUAUCUUUGCCCCCACAAUAUGCUCAUGAGAUGUCAAGCACCUAAAUUCUUAAGGAGUGGUGAAAACUAUCUGUAUGACUGGAUAAUGGAUUGUUUGAUGAGCUUCUAUCAGAAUAGCUAAAUGUUGUAUGCGUCCUUUUAUAAAUAGAUGGUUUCGUUGAUUCGGAUUUCUUGCUCAUAUAAUCUUAUUACCAGUUUCAUAUAUUUUUUAUCGUUUUUUCUUCAACUACCUAUUUUGUUUCUAAAAUUUGUGUAUAUACCCACCUUGUUGUAAACAUUUGUGUAUAUGUUGUAAACAUUUGUGUAUAUACACAUGUUUGUCUAUGUAUAUAGUGAUUAUCUGAAAAUAUGUUAGUUUAUCAGUAAUGAUUCUUUUUUGGCAGGUACAAAUUUGAUGAUGAGCGGGUAACCAAAGAAGAUGUGAAGAGGGCUUUGGAAGAACAGUAUGGUGGUGAAGAAGAGGUAAGUAAAGUAUUCAGAUGUCUCUUAUAUCUUUUGUUCACUUCGCCAACUAAUCUUCUUGUGUUGUUCUGCUUGUCCAACAGUUGCCACCGACCAAUCCUGGUUUCAAUAACACUCCUUUUAAGUUCACAAAAUACUCAAAUGCAUACAUGCUUGUGUACAUACGUGAAAGUGAUAAGGACAAAAUAAUAUGUAAUGUUGAUGAGAAGGACAUUGCUGAACACCUGAGGGUAAUCUCUUAAUCCUUAUAGUUGGUAUUGACUUGUGCAUGCCUGGACAUAGUCUGAUACAUUGAACAUUUUAAUCCAGAUAAGGUUAAAGAAAGAACAGGAAGAGAAGGAGGACAAGAGAAGAUAUAAAGCACAAGCCCAUCUUUACACUAUCAUCAAGGUAAUAGUUUCUUACUUAAUUUCUUGUUUAUGCUUUAUUCUUUAGUCAUGACAAGCAUGUAUUGGCGUCACAAUUGAAAAUCAUAAUCUAGGUUGCACGAGAUGAGGACCUUGCAGAGCAGAUUGGAAGGGAUAUAUAUUUUGACCUGGUGGAUCAUGACAAAGUUCGUAGUUUCCGUGUUCAGAAACAAACGUCAUUUAUGGCUUUUAAGGUGGUAUUUGAUUUUGUAUUUUCCAGUGAUUUCAUUUUUCAUUUUUCACUUUUCACUUCCUGUUAUUUGAGUUCUUUCCUUUUUUUGUUCUUUUUUUUGGGUGUCAUGGCUGUGAAUAGUAUAGUUGAACAGAUUGUGCAUGAUUAAUUAACUAAAUGCAUGGUGUUUCUGCAGUAUUGUGACCAAUUUUGUCUUUUCUUUUUUAAACUCAAUAGAUAUCUAAUUUUGGUUUGGUCUACAGGAGGAAAUUGCCAAAGAGUUUGGUAUACCAAUACAGCUUCAGCGUUUUUGGAUUUGGGCAAAGCGUCAAAAUCAUACAUAUCGUCCCAAUAGACCAUUGCUACCCCAGGAGGAAGCACAAACUGUAUGUAGUUUCUACCUCUGAAUCUUCCUGGAAAUUAUUUAUUUAUUCAUUGCAAUAAGCAGGCAUGUGCAUUGGUCUUGGAUUCCAUCACAUUUUCCCCUUGCAAUAAUUAGGGUAAGACCUAGGGGAUUGUGAUGGAUAUUUGAAUAUGUGAUGUCCUUUAUUUUCAGCUGUUAAUGGAAAUGUUUGUGGAAGGGGUCUGGUAUAGCUAUGUUGUAAUGGUAGCAUUAGAUUCUAUCAACCUUCCCUUUACUUUUCUUCUUGUGCUUAUUAACAUCCAGUUGGAGAUUUUACCUGACAAAUGAAUAGUAUACAUAGGAGUUGAGUUUUUAAUUGUGUAAAACUUCAACUUAAGUGCCUGUUAUACUCAGCGUCUAGAGAACAUUUCCUGUUAUUAUGUUCUGUAUCCCUCUUUUGCAUGAUUCCCUAACCCAUUUUCUAGCAGAUGCUGCAAAUAAUCUUAAAGAACUUCAUGUGUGUGUCACUGAACUUCAUGUAUGUAUCACUACGCCUUUUGCUUUUCAAAGUUUUUCCCAAGAUUUGUGUCUUGUCCCAUCUUUUUUGGGUUGAUAAACCUUGGGUGCUUCAAAAUUGACUUUUGAAUCAAACUUAGCCAGAUCAUUCUUAUGCCUACUACUGUGCAAAAAGUGUUGCAACUUAAAUGUUUUUUGUUGGGUUCUUGGCUAACAAAUUAAGCUUUUAGGUCAAGUGGCAGGCAAUUCUAUUUUACCUUGUCUUCUUUGGUACUUUUGACUAUUGAUAGUGUGAACUUUUUGGCAAUGAAUAAUUUUUACUGCCCUCUUAGUGCUGCGAAACUCUUUACACAUUUGUUAUGCAAACUAAUGUUUUUGAAUUUGGCACUUGUAGGUUGGACAAUUGAGAGAGGUUUCAAAUAAGACGCACACCGCCGAACUAAGGUUGUUCUUGGAAGUAGAGUUUGGGCCGGUAAUGUUAACUUCAGAAAACCUUAAUAAGUUGAUACUGGUGCAUACUAUGCUUGUUAAUCCAGGAAGAUUCUUUUUAUUUUCCUCCCAUGUAUAACUUUAAGCUGUUCUGUUAUAGGAUCUACAUCCUAUUGCUCCACCUGAUAAAUCUAAAGAUGACAUUCUGCUUUUCUUCAAGCUUUAUGAUCCCGAGAAAGGAGAACUUCGGUAUCUAAUAGUUUUCAUCAUUUUUUUCAUUUUCUCUGUCCUUUGUUUCAAAUGGUCUCUUAUAUUAUAGUUUCUUGCAUAUUUGCAGAUAUGUUGGUAGGCUAUUUUUAAAGAGUUCCAGUAAGCCAAUAGAAAUUUUGAGGAAGCUAAAUCAAAUGGCUGGCUUUGAUCCUGAUGAAGAAAUAGAACUCUAUGAGGUCCAUACUUAAUUAACUGUCUUCUUUUCUUCUUCAUGCUUUAUUCUGUGUUUAUAAAUUUCAAUAUAAUAACCUUGGUGAAAGUAUACUAUCUGUAUGCAAUGCUCAGGAAAUCAAGUUUGAGCCGUGUGUUAUGUGUGAACAUCUUGAUAAGAGGACCUCAUUCCGGUUAAGUCAGGUACUUGUUUUAAUUCAUGCUUGAUUUGCUUGCAAAUGGGAUUUGAUAUGUUAAUACUUUGGUCACUUUGCUUGCAGAUUGAAGAUGGAGAUAUCAUCUGCUUUCAGAAAUCUCCUCCGCUCGAAAGUGAACAAGAAUGCCGAUAUCCAGAUGUGCCUUCAUUUUUGGAAUACGUGCAUAACCGGCAGGUGCAAAACAUGUGGAAAUUUUCAAUUAAUAGCAAUCAUAACAUUUGUGGUAUUUCUUGUUAGCUUGUUAUUAGUCUGUAAUAAAACGAGUCCAGAGGGAUAGGUUAUAGUUCAUUCUCUCCUGACUCUUACAGUACCAAGGCAAUUUAUAUUUAUGCUGUAAUGAUGCUAAUUGCUGAUUAAUGAUGUGGGAUUGGUGUUCACUUAUAUAUUAUUUUCAGUUUUAAAUAUGUUGUUGGUUUUCAGGGCUUUAAUCAAGAAUGCACCUUUCAUUUUCUUUUACUUUAGACCCAGUAAUGAUGUGUUUGUCAUUUGCCCUUUUCAAAUCAAUACAACUUACUAAGGCUGUGGCCUUUCAUUAUAACAAUAAGAUGGCCAUAGUAUUCUGACUUCCAAAAAGUUAUAUAGCCCUUCAUAUACUCAGACGUGGGAGUAACAAAUUCUGCGAGAGUUCCUUCUUUGUAUCUGUAUUUGUUUCAAACUUCAGCUCCUUCUCUCUCAUGUGAUUAUCUGAAUGAGCAUUGACUGUGAUAUCAUCAUAGGAUAACAUUACCUCCUUUUUCUUUUAGAUUACAAUUGUCAAAUUCUGCCUUUGCUUUGUUUAAACUUCAGACUCAAUUCUUUUAAUGAUUUGAUGCUCAUAGAUUGUCCGUUUUCGAGCUUUGGACAGACCAAAAGAAGAUGCUUUUUGUCUAGAGUUGUAAGUAUUUCGAUUUCAAACCACUCCUGUAGGAGAAUCCUUUUUCGUGGGUUUAGUGUUUGUUCGGUAUCUAUAACCUUUCUAUAAUAUUAUUACCUUUUUAUAAUAUUCAAGGUCUAAGCAACAUAGUUAUGAUGAGGUUGUGGAAAGAGUGGCUCGAAAAAUUGGUUUGGAUGAUCCAUCCAAAAUCAGGCUCACUCCUCAUAACUGCUACUCACAGCAACCUAAGCCUCAACCCAUUAAAUAUCGAGGAGUUGAGCAUCUGUCAGACAUGUUAGUACACUACAAUCAGGUAACUGACUCAUCAAGCUUUUGGUAUUCUUAUUUUGUUUGUACUAAUACACAUUUUGACUACAAAGUUUUAGAUAUUCCUCUUCCAAUGUUGUUUCUUUUUUGUGUUUACAGACCUCUGACAUUUUGUACUACGAAGUUUUAGAUAUUCCUCUUCCCGAAUUGCAAGGUUUGAAAAAUCUGAAAGUUGCAUUCCAUCAUGCUACCAAGGAUGAGGUAUGUGCAUGAGUAAUUGAUGUCUAUCAUCUCUUCUCUUUUGUCUUUAAUACGAAACAGUUUUAUUCUUCAUGUCCUUUUUUGUAAGCUUGUUUAAUUAAACUGUUUCCAGGUGGUAAUUCACAACAUUAGAUUACCCAAACAGAGCACUGUAGGUGAUGUGAUUAAUGAACUUAAAACAAAGGUAACUGUUGAUUACUUGUGUUCCCUUACAUUUGAAAUUAUUGCUUUAAGAUAAUAAGUGUUGCAUGCACUUUUAUUGCUAAUUUGGGUUCUCUCUAUCAGUCAUUUUUCUUGAUGGAAUCGCUCCCAAUACAUCAGAGUUAUAUUUCAUUUCACUUUUUUACAAUGUCUAAUUUACCAGUUCGCUGACUUACGACAUGUUCCCUUGUAUGAUUUAAGGAAAUGCAUCAAAUUAGAUUUAUUUACCGACAACUGCGCCUCUUUUUUUUCCCUUCAUUUGAGAAACAAUUUAUCUGCAAAUAGUAUCGGGGAGUUUGCAUGAGCUAGAAGUCUUAUGUGAUUCAACGCAUAUUUAUGGCAAGGGUGAUUUUGCAUAAUUUGUUUCUUUAGAGGCUAUGUAGGCAUCAUAACCCCCUUUUUUUUUUUGCAUACAAUUCAUUUUAUUAAGCUGCGGAAGAUUUACAUAUUGUGCACUUUGAAACAGGUGGAAUUAUCCCAUCCAAAUGCAGAACUAAGAUUGCUUGAAGUUUUCUAUCACAAGAUAUAUAAGGUAAUUAACUUACAAUUGAAACUCGUUUGGCUUAUGGGAAUUCUUGUUAGAUGAUGGUUUUAAUUUUUUCUCUACAACAAUUUCCACUGGACAAUUGCAUUAGUUUUGUAUCUCAUAAUACUUGUAUAUCAUCCAUGCAGAUCUUUGCCCCCAAUGAAAAAAUAGAGAAUAUAAAUGAUCAAUACUGGACCCUUCGUGCAGAGGAGGCAAGUUUUUGUCACUAUCUUUUCGUGUCUUUAUUGGUUGCUGUGGUGUUGUGCUCUCAGUUUCAUUAAUUAUCUAGUUGAUGUAUUUAAUGUCGGGAUCUGCAAUUUGGAUUGAUGUUUUUGUUAUGUAUAUAGCUGAUUUUGGUUUUAAUGAGCAGAAUUGACGUAUGCUAUGUAGUGCUGGUCUGUUUACUGACCUCAUUUAUAUUGACUCAGAUCCCAGAGGAAGAGAAGAACCUUGGUCCCAACGAUCGCUUGAUUCAUGUUUACCACUUUACGAAAGAGUCUGCACAGAAUCAAAUGGUAUUCAAAUGUGAAUAAAUUGGUUAUGGCCGCGCCCGGGCCCCCCCCCCGGCGGCCUGAAGACUUUUAAUUGUCUAUAGAUUAUAGGAAUUUCUGAGAUUCUUAUACUGUUUCAAAAUUUUGUCUUUCAACAGCAAGUACAAAAUUUUGGGGAACCAUUUUUCUUGGUUAUCCAUGAAGGUGAAACAUUAGCCGAAGUUAAAGAGCGCAUACAAAGGAAAUUGCAAGUUCCUGAUGAGGAGUUCUCUAAGGUAUUUUUGCUUGGGUGUUAUCAUUUCAUAUUACUUGGGAAUUCACUGGUGAAUCAUGUAUUUGACAUUGACCCUUUUCUCUUCUUUGCUUGGGCGUUAUCAUUUCACUUAGCUUGCUAUAUACUCAUCUGUUCCAAUAUUGGAUAUGAUUUUUCUUUUUGUGAAUCCCUAUUUAUGUGUGUGCCCAAUAAACUGACCCUUUCAUUCAUCGUGUUAUCUGGUUGAUCAGUGGAAGUUUGCUUUCUUAUCACUGGGUCGUCCAGAGUACCUUGUGGAUACUGACACUGUUUUCAACCGUUUUCAGGUUUGUUUUCUUUCAAUCAUUUUUUUUUUCUUUUCUUUGGGUUUAGUGCCCUCCCGGAUGUGAGUUCAUUACAUCUGUUUUUAUUUCAAUAUUUUCUGUAAGUUGAAGCUCUGUUUUGUUUCUUUCUUUCAACUUUUUUUUCCAUUUUCCUUAGAGACGAGACGUUUAUGGUGCUUGGGAACAGUACCUUGGGUUGGAGCAUUCUGAUAAUGCUCCCAAGAGAGCUUAUUCCGUAAAUCAGGUAAUUUACUUCUAUGCUCGCUAUUGUUAUGCGUCGUAAUAUGAACCAAAAUAUUAUUUUUAUCAGUGUUCAAUGCUUGGACAACUCGUUCUGCAAUUUAUAGGACUCCUAUACUCCCCAUUCAUAUGGGUGCCUCAAACCAUUUGGUUAAUGUUGUAACAAUUUGUUGGUGUUGCUCGGUCUGCCUUGCUUUCUCGUAAAGCUAAUUUUUUGUCGACAGACUAGAAUAGUUAAUCUUUUCUAAAAGUCAUUUUCAAAUUGCAGAACCGGCACACAUAUGAGAAGCCCGUCAAAAUAUACAACUAAUGCAAGAGCCUAUGAUCCACCAACACAUAAGCUGAGAAGAAAAACCUUCAAUGCCUUGAUGUAAUUAUGUAAUUGGGCAGGAUUGACAAUGAACAAAUGAUGGAUUUGAAGGUACAAACAAGGCUCGCCUUGAGAUGUUUCUGUGGGGCUCCAUUGUUUGUUUGUGGGCUAUAUCUGUUUCUUUGAUUGAUGUGGGUGGGCAAGCAGAGAUUUUAGUAGUGUGUUCUGUCAUUGUCAACACAACCUGCAUGAGCAAUCUCUUUUGUUUUUUCCUGGCUUUAGGAAGACACCUUGCCUCCAGGCUUUGAGAGGCUGGUGGUUUUUAUGUAUACAGCUCCAGUGUAAUUUAGCAAGCAGUAUAUAAGAAGAUUUUGACGGGGAUGUAUACUGGGUAUAGUUUGUUGCAGCUGAUACUUAAUUCUUCUUUUUUUUUCCUUUUCGACCCUGUUCCUUCUUUCUGAGUUGAUUUGGUAUCUUCAGGAUGAGCUUGUAAAAUGGUCAUUUUCAGUCUGCAAUUCUGGGCUUAGUACUUACCAGCAGCAGUGCAGAUUGCAAUUUAUAACACCUUGAGCUUAAUUACAAGUAGUCAGGAUUCAUCGUCCUUUUUUAAAAUAAUAGCGCUAUUCUCUCUAUUUGAAUGCACUUGCUUAUUUAUUGCUAAGCAUUAGCUGAUAUGCUGAACGGAAUAAUUUUAGCUGCAUUUUUUUUUUCCGUUAGGGCAUUUCUAGGUACUUGGUCCUGUUAUUUUAAUCUAAGUAAUGAAAUUAUAUUGUAUUAAUUUGUAAGACCCAUUCUCCGCUUUUGAACGUGCUUAAGAAUGUGGUUUGUGGUUUGUGGUGGAGCUAUAACCUAUUGUACAAAUUUAAUUUAAGCAAUAAAAUGUGGUUUAAAUUCUAGGAUGAGAAUAAUAAAAAUAAGUCAUGAGUCAAGAGUUAUUUUAAUCUAAGUAAUGAAAUUAUAUUGUAUUAAUUUGCACAAAAUAAAUUUUUAGAAGAUUUUACUCAAAAUUAAAAUAAAUAAGUAAAAACUGGAGGUUAUUAGUUUUACUGCAUGUUGUGUAUUCUUAAAAUAAUUACUUGUUUCCAUUUCUACUCCUAAAUAAUGUUUAAUAGAUCACUUAACAACUCAAAUAAACUAGUCAGUUUUAGUGCAUGUUGUGUAUACUUAAAAUAAUUACUUAUUUCCAAUUCUGUUCCUAAAUAAUUUUUAAUACUCACUUAACGACUGAAAUAAAUUAUGUUUGGCAAAAAUAAUUUGAUAACAUAAAAUCCACAACAAUUCUAAACAUUUGCUUGGUUUAAUGUGUUCUGCUGACUUGAUCAAAGAAUCCAAUUGAGUCGAUAUAUUCUAUUAAUAAAGUCGGUAGGAUAUCACACCAUCAAUAGUCUCAACAACAAGCCGAUUCAAACGCAUGAGAAGCAGCAGAUAAACCCUAGCUUUAGGCCCUGAGACAACCAAAUAACAGCAGAAAACUCUAUGACGUAAUGACAAGUGAAUUAAUGGAAGUAUUAGCAUGUGUAGGCAGCAAAGUUAAGAUUAUGAAUGCAGAAGUUAUUAUAUUUGGCUGAAAACGCAUACCUAAUCCCAGAGAUGUAAUUUCAUCCUGAAGAAAAUGGCUAUAUCCUUUGGCUCUCUCUUUCUGGCUCAAGCUCGAGUUGAUCUUAUCAACAGCAGCCAGCAGAUCCUACAAGUCAACAAAUCAUGGAUACAAUCAUAAAAGCUAUAUGCUAUGAAAUCCCAGACAAGACGAUUCAAAUAUCUUAAUAUACAACAUUGUUUAGAACUAUUGAAUUUUAAAUUAAUGGAAACUUAUUGAUAUAUCUGUAAACAGGAACUACAGUUCUUCGGUCUGGCCGCCCAGGGCAUAGCUUGUUUAGGACCAGGGCCUGUCCCAUUACUGUCCAUAGCUCAUUAAGUGGUAAGAGAAAGACACGAAAUACUUAUUGGACAUGAAAGCAAAGCAAGGCACCAUAAUGUGAUGGGCCGCCCAAAAUUUCAGCCCAAGUGUCCAAAUUUAAGCUAAGGUGUGCGGGCCUGGUCCAAUUCCAAAAUUUUCCAGCACACUGUUGUCUGAGUGCCAUGUUUGCUGCGAAAGAUACUCAUCCGAUGACAAUAAGAUACUUCAGCCUAAGCCUCAAUGCAUUUUCAAUAAUUUGAAUCAACAAGCCUUAUAAGCAACUCACAAAACUAGGGCAUUUCUUAAUGGUUAUCUAAUAUUUCCAAAACCAAAUGCAAAAGCCAUUUCUUGUACCCCUGCACAAAUGAUUCAUGGAAUCUCUAUUUUCGGAAAUGCAUCACUCAAAUACACAAGUUUCAUCACAUAAACUUCACGCCAUGCAGUUUCAUCACAUAAACUUCAUGUCAUGCAGUUUCAUCACAUAAACUUCAUACCUCCCAUGGUGCUAGGCUCUUCAUGUAGGAAGGAAGGCUUUCAUAAUCAACUUUUGAUACCUUUAUAAUGGGGCCAGAAGCUUCAAAUGACUUUGGCUCAUCUUUCUGUUCACCUAUAUUCACAAUAAAUGAUAAAUACAAUGUGACUAGGCCUGUCAUUGUAACAAGACUCUUUAAAUUGAUUAGGUGCUUUUUAAUCUACCUUUAAUUUUUGCAGCACGUUGACACGGAUCCUUCAUGUCCAGUUUGUCCCCAUAAGAUCUAAGAUUGAAGGCUUUUAAGAAAGGAGUUAAAAGAACCUUGCACAAUAUAAGUAACAUUCCAGGCUCAAAACUUACUUCAUUGGUUUUUGAAUACCGAUAUCUGGAUCAUCAGUCUUAUUGUCACCUGUAGAGAAAGAAAGAAAGAUAUGACUGUCAAUCAAAAAAUUAGGAAUGUAAAAGCUAUUAGUCUAAUAUCUAACCUAACUGUAAUUGCAUUAAGAAGUUUGGCAGUGGUAUCAACCAACUGAAACUCGUCACAACUAGUGUUCUUUAAAGUAAUGUGCUAGUCAUGAUGCAAUUGUUGCUAACCUUCAGAUGCUAAAGUGGCGAGACAAACAUCUGAAAGCCCAAGGUUCUUUAAACUCAGUGAUUCAUCAAGUCUAAGAAAUGUCAAGGAAACAAAAACAUUUACGUCAAUAAGGUUUGCCAUUAGUUAUUAACGUGCAUUGUCAGCCAUUUUUCAACAUUCUAUGAAAAUAAUUUCAACUCCAUACACCCUUCAGUUACUAUGAUAAUAGAGGAGCAAAAGAUUAAAAUUCCAAGCUGGCAUCAAAUGCAACUUAAUGUCACUGAGUGGUAUCUCAGAUUCUCAUCAGCUCUUGUUCCCAAAAUCCCAAUGAAGAACUAGAUUCAAUUGAUUAGAGGAGAAAAAGAAGUAUAUCCUAUGACCCUUUUCUCAUCCCUUGUUUAAGUUAACAAAACUUUUCACGCCAUUAUAAACAAGAUAUGCAAAUGUAUAAAAGAGUGAUCACAUCAAUGCUGAUUCAAAAUUAUAAAACAAGGAUACAGAGGGUCCUCAUCCAAGCUCUUCAUGAACGAUCGUGCCACAGAAGCAGGUGACCGUGCAUCCACACCAUCCUUUGAACCUAACCCAAAUGUUGUCGACAAACUGGAAUCCUCAUCUUCAUCAUCAACCUCAAGUUCUAAUCACAGAGCCACACACAAAAAAAUAAUAAUACUAAAUAAAAAGGACAUAAUUUUGAAGAAUUACGUUGAUAAAUGGAAAUAAUUGUAAGCAAAGCUAACUCAAUUGACAGCCUCUAGUGUCCUAAACGAAUCAAAAUUUAAUUUUUUAAUUCGAAUUUAAUAUUAUAGAAGAGGGGAAAAAAUAAAUAAAUAGAGAGCGAAUCAGCGAAAGUGUUACAUACCGGGAACAUAACCGAAGCCUUUGAGGCGAUCCUGGAGCUCAAGAAGAUUUGUUUGGUUGUUUUUGUAAACUUCACUGCAGUGUCCUAACAACUCCUCAAACGACACCGUACCGAAGGACAUCGAGUCGAGCAAAUUCACAUCGCUGGUGAGGCAUGUGACGCGGCGGCUCAGGCAUUGUACGAACGUCGACGACGCUGAAUCCAGAGGAAUCGGACGCCGCUGGACCGAUUCCUUUAAAGCUUGGCAGCUACCUUCAAGAUGAUUGCAGAAGCAUCCUAAGCUUUUGCUCAGAUUUGAGAUAUUUUCGUCCAUUCUAUUUUUUCUGAAUUUUGUUGAAGCUCUCUUGCCUCUGUCAAGACCUACAGUUUAAUUUGGAAACGAAAGAUUCACUUACGAUUAUAACUCGUUUUGGAUGUGCAAUGAAUGGAGCGCCUAUCCUUGGCGGGAAACAAAACCUUGAAGGAAAGCACUCUUUUAUUUUAAAUUUUCAAUUAUCUCCCUUUUUGCGUAUUUGAAGUUGGAAUUUUCCUUUUCAUAAACGGGUGCGGUACGAUAUUUCUUUAAACAAAAAAAUUAGGAAAAUGUGUUUAAAUUUUAUUUGUGAUUUUAAUUUUAAAAAAUAAUUUUAACUAAGAUUCUUAGUUAAAAUAAAUUUUAAUUGUUUUUCUCAAAAAGUAAAAACAAAGAAAACUACCAGGCUGUAUGGUGUUUAGUUACCUUGUGAGGGGAGUUUUGAUUUUCAUUAUGUGAAAACAAAUCGAAUAAUUGUUUGGUAAAAUGAAUUACAAAACACAAAAUACAACUUUUCACUUUUUACUCAUGAAGUUAGAAAAUAAUGUUUUUAUAUUUUAUUGAAUUAUAGAAAAACAAACCGUGAAACUGUUGGGAUUAUAUGCUCUUUUAAAGCAUAUUAAUUUAUUUUCUGAUUAAUAAAAUAUUGGAGAUAUUUUCAAUUUCAUAAAUAUUUUUGAAUAAGGUCUGUUUAAUCAUAUUAUAUGUAUUUAUGUGAUCAUCAUAUGGAUUCACAUAAGACAUAAAUACAAGUUAUCUUGUGAUUAAAUAACUUAAGUUCGCAAUUGAUAAAUAGAGUUGGGCGCUCUAUUUAUGUUUAGACUCAAGUAAAUUCAUUGAAUGAUUUGUUUUAAUCAUGCAUGAAUUUACUGAUGUAGUUUGACCACAUUGAGCUGGAUCACAUAUGAGAUUUAAUUAACCUUGAAAUGACUGUCAGACUUAUUAAAUCUCAUAGGCAUUGAUUUUACUGUAAUCUUAAUCUUGAGUUAAUUAUAAUUUAAUGAUUGUAAUUGUUAUUCCAUUUGAGUUACCAAUGGGCACGACACAUACUUGUAGUCAAGAUUACCCGGUAUCUUGGUGGGAGCAAUUAUGAAUAUUAGAGUUAUAGAUUGAUAAUAUAGAAUUUGUACAACACAUCUCUUGAUGAGUUUUCGGUACUUGAUCAUUAAAUUUUCUGGCCAGAGUGUGUCAACAUAUUUAGUAUGUUGAAAAUUAUCAUUAGAGAAAACCAGUAAGAAUCAAGGAACAAGAUGUAAUUAAAUUGAUUGGACAGUUGAGAUAUCGAUUUAAUUAAUGAUGUGGUACAAAAAAUUAUGCAGUAAAGAAAUCAAUGUGGCUUGUGACGAAUUAUUAUUCGAGCAUACAAUUAUAGAAGUCAGUUCCAAUCUUUUAGUAGAGUAGAUUUAGAAUUAAAUAAUUUAACUAAUUUAAUUACAGGUCUAAUUAUUAUAGCUACUAUUGUAUGUUCACAGCUGCACCUUAGCUUGUUGAGGUUAAAGGAAAGAAAGGGCCUUCAGUUCAGUUUGUAUACACUUCUAUAACAAUUUACAUCAACUCAUAAAGUUAACUCUUCUAUAUUUCAUGGAUUUGAUUGCAAUUUACAGCAACUUUAAACAGAAUGUACCUUAAGAUUACACUGCAUAAAGCCCCAAAAAAAGGGGAUUGACAUUGCUACUGUUUAUGUACAAUGCAAAUGUCUCCUCUCAUCUAUUAUUUGCACGUUAAUCUUUUCGGUAAAAAUUCAGGUUAGCUCCCCUCUAAGAGCACUGGCUGCCCUUUGAAUGGCUCUCGCAACUCUCCAGACCUCAUGUUGAAUUAGAGCCUCCCCGUCUUUCUUGCUCAUACUUGUCGAUUGAGAAAUAGCAUCCGCUAUUCCAGGAAAGCAGCUCAGUUUGCUUUCGUAUUCAUCAUGAGGUCCAUAAAUCUACAAAAACGACAAGUGUCACCAUCAUUAGAGCUUGACACAGACGCUCAAUGGCUAGUAAUAACAAACCGACCGUCUUUUUUAUCAAGUUGAAUUUGGAUAGAUUCUGUCAAUUGAGAAAGACGAGAAGUUUACAUUAAUAGAAGGAAGAGACAGCGAUUGCAAAUUUCUCUCUCAUUCUCAAAAUAACCCGAAAAGUCUGAAAAGAAGCUGCUCCUUUUAAAAGCAUCGGUUCAAUUGUCGGUUCAAUUGUAUGAGCACAUGUAUGAAGCUAAUAUACUAAUAUAGAUGUCAAUCUAGGACCAUAUAUUUUCUUGAUAUUGUUUUGAAACAGAAAUCCAGGAUAUACUGUAAACCAUCACCCUUUUUUGAAAUCGGUCUAGCUGUAUUAAGGGAUAGGAAAGAACUUACAAGAUGUUUGAACCACUGCCUUCCUUGAAGCCCAUCAGUGUCCAGGAAACCUCUUUCUGCAAGCAUCAGCCGAUCAUUCAAAUCAUGAAUUUUCAAGAUUUCAACACCACCCAAAUGUUCUUGCUCUCUUAACCUCUGCAGUCACAAUGUAAAAGUGAUUAUAUGAUAGAAACUUUCCAUAGGAAAAUUUUGCGACCUUUUGAACUAAUUAAUUCCAAUAAGAUUUUCCAGAUCUCACCUUUGCUUCAUUUUGAGCAUCUUUAGCUGCAGAGGUUAGAUCCUUAAUUGCCGCAGUUAAAGGAUCCAAAGAUAUCCUCUGAUCCAACAAGUUGCUCAAGAUGUCUUUAUUCUCCUGUCACAGUUCAGAAGGAAUAAGGAAUAGAAUAUUAAGUUCGUGAUGCCCCGGAAGCACAACAGUGGCUCUAGAUUUAGACAAAUUUUAUUACACAGUAAAGCAGUGUUCCGUAUACCACCCUUUUCAAAACUACAGGCCUUCACUUACAUGUGAUCAGUAUUCUUUUUCUUCCAUUUAAUGAAUGAUCGUUGUUAGAAUAACUUUUAUUCAGCUUAAAACAUCUCAUCUAAACCAUCAGCAACAGACAUGACCAUAAAAUCUUGAACCAUCCUUCGACAAAAUACAUCUAGACCCAAUCAUCUAAGUCAAAACUCAAAUUUUAAUGAUUUGUAUUAACUAAAUUCACAACAUCUCAGUGCCAAAAAAGAAAGAAAGAAAGAAAGCAAAAUUAAAAAAAAAACCAUUAAAUUAAAUGUUAAUUAAGAACCAUAUAUUUCAGGGGUAGAAAACAGGAAAGAACUUGAAUAACCAGUCUUGAAAUAACUAUGAGAAGACAAGAUGCAUACCUGUAACUGAUCUGAGUAAGAGAGGAAAUUGAAUGGCAAAAUUGAAUCAUCGGCCAAGUGAAGGGCCAGAAGCCCCCAAACUCCAGCAACUAAAACACAGAACAAAAAUAUAAUGUGUGAUGAAGAAAUUUUUGAGUAAAUACUUUAUUGAUAAGUAUUUUUUAGCAAAAUAUCUUAUAUGGCAACAGGUGAAAAGGGUGGAAAGCUAACCAGCCACAUGCCGAUGAAACAAAGGAUCUGCAUGGCCUACAAUCCAGGUGUAUGUAUCAAGGGCAGUGUGAUAGACAGGAAAAUCUGAAAAACAAGAGAUCCUUGUAUUACAACUGUAUGGCCUUAAAAACUUUAGUCUGUUACUCAAAUUAGAUGACAACAUUCAAAUUAGAAGUUGCCACUAACUCUAACCAAAAUGAUGGGUAUAAACAGGGCACUAUUCAAAUCCUCCACUGGCGCGGAGGAUGAAAAAAAUAAGUAAAAAAACUGUUUGAUUGCACUUGACAAACACAAAAAAGUGACAGCUUUUCAUAUUAUAUUAUUACACAAUUUAACACCAGAUCGUCUCAUCCCCAAAUGUAACCAAAUAUUUCCAUUAAAGGAUGUAGAAAACGAGAGCCAAACCUUUUCCAUAGUACAUAUCAACAGAAGGGACCCCAGCAUGCUGCACAAAAGAAGCAAAAUCCGAAUCCACUCCACCAAGUCUUUGGAUCUGCAAUUAGGGGGGAAAAAAAGGCUCAUGUAUCCUGGAUAAGUUUCCAUCUCCCAAAAAAAAAAGGGCAAAAAGCACAGAAGAUUGACCAUAGCACAUCCACUAGUCCUGCAAACCCUAGGGUGUCUUACACUAGUGAAUCAAUAGGAAGUCACAGAAAGACAAUGCAUAAGAUUCAAAAGUGUAUGCACAUAUAAUCAUAUAAAAAGAAGCCUUACAUUGAAGAUUCUGUUUGGAGCUGACCACUGAUCAUAUAAAGUUCCACUCUCUGAUUCAGGAUCUUUUACCUGAAAUCGAUGUGAAUGUUAGUUGAUCCGUAUGUUAAGCCAGUUGAUAAUUGAAGACUAAUUUAAACAUUUUGAAAUCAUAGUCAAUUAUUCUUCCCCAACUUACCAUUUUUGUGACCUCAAUAAGAAUAUCAUCUAGCUGAGGAGUUGCCCCGGCAAAGAAUCCUGGCCCUUGAACUGCACAAUCUACAUUAAGGUAGGCCACAGCUUUGGCACCCAGAUUCACAAGGUUUUCUUCAACCCACUCAGUGGAUCCAAUCUGAAAGCAGAAUAAAAGGGACCAAUACAAUAACUUCAUUCAGGGUGUAAGCACAAAAAUGUUCCACUGAAAAAUCCUUGUUUGAUUUAAUAACUAGCAAAAACAGGCAGAUUUUAUAGCAUGCAUAUAGGGAUAUUAACAAGAGUGGGGCCCCACAACUCCCUCUGCUCAUCAGCAGUCAGCACACAAAAUAUAACAGUUUGUUCUUUCAACAAUUACAGCCAGGUCACUGACUACUGAACUGCAUCACAGUUAAGAUCAGUGCAGCAGCCAUUCAGAAGAAAGUAAAAUAGGAAAAUUACUGAAAGACCUCUCUCUUUUCUAGCAGAUGAUAAAAAGUAACCCCAAACGUGAAAACCCCAAAUGGAGACGUGAAAUUAGAAAUGAAAAGGAGCUGAAACUGCAAGGCAGCAUGGGUCAAGCCUAACACUCUUAUGUCAUAGAUUUUAUUUUCCCUGAUCCUUAAAAUCACUGACAAAGUCGUAAUAUGGGUCCUUGUUUUGAGCAAAGUACCAUAGAAGUCUACUGUUUACAUUUGAUCUGAUGUCUUUCUUUGAUGCAUCAUUCAUGUAUUGGACCAGCUAAUAUGCUGCUUUAAAGGGAGAAAAGAAAAUAACUAAAAGGAUUCACAGAUCACUGUCUGACACAUCCAAGCCCAUAAACCACAUUGUACAUCAAUGAUCACUGAAGACUGAUUAUUACCUACCAUCCCAAAUUCUUCUGCAUCCCAGCUGCAGAAAAUAAUUGUUCUUCGAGGGCUCCACCCCAGGCGCAUCAAAAGGGCAUAUCGUCUCGCAAUAUCAAGUAGGGCUGCGGUCCCACUGUUGGGAUCAAUAGCUCCAUAUGUCCAUGCAUCUCUAUGGUUGCCAAGGAGCACAUAGCGAUUAGGCUCCUCUAGCCCUCUUAUGACUGCAAAAACAUUAUAAAUUGUCGCCACCUUUUUCUUCCCCUAGAAGAACAGAAAGAGGAAAAAUUAUAAAUCAUGAAACAUACCACUUAUUCAGAACCAGCUUGCCAAAAGAUCUGGAAUUUAAGAAUUAAAUUUUUUGAUAUUUCCACUGUGAGCUUCUAAUAACAAAGACGAAGAGGAAACAAUAUAAAAAAAUCCAGUUUAAGUCAACAAAGCCUUGAUUAUACAAGUUAUGCAGAUGAAACAACCCCAAAUAUGACCCUAUAAUUUGAUUGUAUAAUCACGAAAGGGGGGAGGGGGUGUGGAAACAAAUCUUCCACCUAUCCAAAGUAGGUUCCUAAUUUUAUCAACGUUAAGUUAGAGCUCCGGAAUCUAUUAGACAACACAUUUCUAUUUGAAUAAAGAAUCACGUGUGGCAUGCUAACGUCUAACAACACGACAAACCAACUUCUAAACUUUAGAGAACUUUCUGUUUCUCCUAAUAUGCUUCAACCAAGGUGUCCUACUCCACAACACAACAAACCAACUUCUAUGCUUACUUUAGAGAAUUCCCGGGUGUCUCCUUUAAUUGCUUCAACUGAUGUUUCUUUCUCCAACAACGCAACAAACUCCCUUUCCAAACAACUCCAUAAAAAUGUCAUAUGUUACCAAAUAUGCUUCAUCAGCGUCUUUUCGGAAUAUUCCACAUUAAUUAUCAUCUUGGAACAGUUAAUUACAAUCAGAAUUAAGGAGGCUUGAUGUUCCACUUGUCCAACAUGGAAAACUUAUCACAUUUAGAACACUUUCUAUUAUUCAAACAAUCGAAUAACUCAAUAAAUAGACACGGCCCCAACAAAAGAAAGUAACUUUUUUCUACCAUUUACAACUCUUAGUUUCUUUAUCAAAAUAUUGGCAACAAAGUUGUUCAUAAUUCUAUUUACACAGCCUAAGUCAGCCCAUAUUCAACUAAUUAUAUAAUUUACACCCAACAAUAAUACCCGUUAUAACAAUAGGGCCGUUAUAACAAUAAGGCCAAAACCAAAGUCAUAAAAAAACAUGCAUCAAACCAAGGAACCAACCAACCUGAAAUGUCAAAUUAACCAUAGUCGGUCCCGGGCCGACCCGCCCACCAUUAACCCGACCCAAAUCAUUCAAAAACUGAGGCACAAAGCCACCCCAAAGAGACCCCAGAAUGAUCUGAGCAUUCUCAAAAGACAAGGGCAAAGAUGGAAUUUUAGGAAAUCUCUUUGAAACUUCACUGUCUUCUAAAUCUAAGCUCUCCCCUCCUUCAACCCCAGCCCACCCUGGACUCAGUGGGUCCCCCACUCCUCUCAUAACUGUCCCUCUCUCAACCCCACCCCCCCUUAACCUAUCCCACUCGGCGUACAAUAGCACCCCGAUCGCACCUUUAGCCUCGGCUAAAAAAAUAACUCCACUCCUCGAUAAAACACUCCCCUUUCUCGCCAUCACUACACACCCACUAACGUUCACCCCCGCAGCCUCCAACGCACGAUAGUCCUCUUCCCUCCCGUAAUUCACAAACACAACCUUACCGUACGCCGACCCGGACGGCGAGUACGCAUGAUACGGCUGAACAACGUCCAAGAUCGCAUUUUGAGAGAUACCCUUUUCAGUCAACGACAAUUCAACGGUAGUGCCGUUGCUGAAAUGCGCUGAAACAGAAGCAUGCACGGGAUACGACAAAAGCGCUUUGUAUUCGACGGUAUGAGUGUUAAACUUGAGUUGUUCGAAGUGUGACUGAACGUAGCGGACUGUGUCCAACGAGGGCUCAGUUCCUGCGAGGUGAGGAUGGUGAGUGAGGUCGCGGAGGUAAGAAGAGACUGUGUAGUUGGAUGACAAAGAGAGGAAAGUCUUUUGGAAGUGGAGGGCAGUUUGGGGAUUUCGAAGUGGGGGUGUAGCGGGUGAAGGGUAGGGAUGAUGUAGAGUAUAGAAGCCAAUAAUGCAGAGGAUUAGAAGGAAGGUGAAGGUUAUCAAAGGUGGCGGAGGUUUUGAGGAGGCGGUGGUGGUGAGUUUGGUGAAGGGAUGGGUCAUUUCGUAGAGAGAGAAAAUCGGCGUUUUUUGAGGGUCUGAGAGAGAGAAAGUAAGGGUUUUAUGUUCGAGGAGUUACAGAGAAAGGAGAAAGGAGAAAGGAGAAAGGACAGAGAGAGAGCAAAGGUCGUGGCAGCGCAAAGCAAAGGUGGUGCGACUGAAAUGAUGCAAGUCAAAAACGAGUUUCAGUGGGCGUUAUAUGGGUGCUAACUUUAUGGCGUAAUAACAUUUUGGAUCCUUUGAAUAUCUUUAUAUUUUCAAUUAAUGAUGUAAUAAUUAUACUUUUGUUUUCUAUUUAUCAAACAUGUAAUAGGCCUGGAGUGUCUGUAAAUUGAUGCUAUGGGGGUGAGUACCUGAAGUUGAUUUUGAUUAUUUUUACUUGAAUGAGCUUUUUCUUUUCCCAACAAAAACCAAAAACUCCGAUCAAGAAAGAAAAUGCGUAAUAGAGUUAUGCAAGCACAUCAAUAAACCAAAAAUGAUAUGUAGUAUUAUAUCUUAACAUUAUUACGAAUUUCUUAAACAUCCAUAUGAAUAAUGUCAGAUAAAUCAGACUAAAUUACUGUGAUUUUCUAUUUUGUUAAGAAAGCUUUCACAUUUUUAUUACUUGAAUGGUUAUUAUCGAAUGAUUGAAAUAUUUUUAAUGCUUUUAUUUUAUAGUUGUAAUUUUUUGUUUUUACCUUUGUGAUUUAAGAAAAUCUAACUUUCAGUUAUUAAUGUUUGAUGUUAGUUUAGACCGGUUACAAAUUUUUAAUUGAAUUCAAUUUUAAACAACAAUUCAAUAAUAAUUGAAAUUUAAUAUUAUAUAAAUAAUUUGGUUAUUUAUAAUUUUAAAUAGAAGGUAUGAACCUUUAACGAGAUCAAAAAUCUUGUUUCAAAUCAUAAUCUUAUUGUAUUUAGACGUGCUUCUAAAAUAUGUAAUCAAAUUAUUUAUCACCUAAUUAAAUUAGACUUGUCCUCUCUGAACUCAACAGGAGAUCUUUCACUUGCUGUGAGCCGUAAAGUGAUGCCUUGGUUUUAAAUAAAGUUCUAAUUCUAAAGAAAAAAUAAAAUAGAACUUGCGGACCUAAUUGAUAUAACUUGCUAAACUUAUGCCUUUAUUUGUAAAAAUGUAAGAAUCGUGGCCUAAAAGUAUUUUUAUCAGGAUUGCGCCCGCCUUUUUUGUCUUUUUGUUUUUUGUAUUUUUCCUUUGAGGAUAUAAUUGAAUGUCCUUUUUACAGGAAGUACGAUAUGCUGUGUAAUUAUUUAUAUUGGAGCAGAAUCCCGACUGAGAUAUGAAAAUUUUUUAAAUUAUGCGAUAUUUACAAAUUCUAUAUACAUUGAUGUGAUAAGUUUGUACGAAUCAAUGCCACAUGUCUUAUAUAAUUUUUUUUAAAAAAUACAAAUACAAAUAUAAACAAUAGAAUAAGGGAUCCUAGAAUAAGUGACAUUGCGACAACAACUUAGUACGAUAUGGAAUAUUUUAUAAAAUAAACAUUAAAGAGAAAGUUUUAUAUAAUUUUUUAAAAAUAAAGUUAACAAAUCCAUUAAAAAAUGGUGGCAUUUUGUAAUUGAUGCAAUGUGAUGUGGAAUCAUAGAGAGCGUGGUGGGGGAAAAAGUAACGGAUGAUUUAGUUUGUAUUUUGGGUUCCAAAGUGUCACCAUAACAUAUGAUAGAUUUCUUCUCUCUCUUUAAUUAAAAAUUAAUCAGGAAAAAUGACUGUUAGGUCCCUCACCUUUAAGAAAAAAGACAUAAAAAUUCCUAACAUCUUAAAAAAGAUAUAUAAUUUUUUUGUGUUAAUAAUUGCGAUUGUUUUAAAAGAAAAAAGGGCAAUAUUAUACAUUUAAAAACAAAAUACAAGGAAAAAGAUUGUUAAUCCCCAACCUUUAAUGAAAAGAUAUAAAACUCCAUAAUAUUUAAAAGAAAAAGACAUAUACCAAAAUACAAAGAAAAAGAUUGUUAACCCCCAACCUUUAAUAAAAGGAUAUAAAACUUCACAAUAUUUAAAAGAAAAAGACAUAUAACUCCUUUUCAUAAUUAAAUUUCAUUUAUUUUAAUUAAGAAAAAGUAAUAUUAUCACCACCAUCAUCAUCUUGACCGUCAUUAUUAUUAUUAACCAAUGUCAUUAUCAUUAUUAUAAUAAUAUUAUUAUUAUUAAAUAUUAUUAUUAUUAUUGUUGUUGUUGUUGCUGCUGCUGCUGCUAUUACUACCCUUUUAUCAAUUUAAAUAAAGAAAAUUUAUUAAUGGAAAAGUGAUUAUAUGUCUUUUUUUAGAAAUAUUGGGAGUUUUAUAUCUUCUUUUUUUUUUUUAACGUUGAGGGAUUAAUAGUCACUUUCGUGUAUUUUAUUAUAAAUGUACAGUAUUACCCUUUUCUCUAUUAAAAUAAACUGACUUAUCAAUUAAAAAAAAAAAAAAAAAAAGAGGCUUGUGUGUCUUUUUCGAAAUAUUGAGAUUUUUAUGUUCUUUUCCUAAAUAUCAGAGUCUAGCAGUCCUUUUCCCAUUAAUUCAAACCAUGCUUAUCCAAAGGCCAAAACUUUAAUUCUUUUUUUUUUUUUCCGAUGAUAAUCUGUUAAAAAUACUAACAAAGGCAAAGGUUGUUAAAAGAGCCGAUGAGUAUUUUAUAACGAGGCGGUGAACCCAUUUAUUGUCGGUGUGCCAAUUAUACAUUAUCUCCUUUUUUUUUUUUUUUUUCAAUCGUUGAUAAGCUUUAUAUGAAACAAAAUUUAUGUGUACUCGUAAUAAUAAAAGAAUAAAAAAUUUUACGAUAAUUUCAUUCUUAUGAUUGGAGUAGACAAAUUAAAGAAACCACAUUAUUGUUCAUAAGGUACGCACUAAGGUACCACAUUAUUGAGUCAUCUUUAUAACUAUAUCAAAGAGAAGCAAUUAUUCUCAUCUUAAGCAGCCAUGGUGCCCACAUGAAUAUCUUUUGUUCCAUUGUCAUCGUAUCUUUAUUGACAAAAAACAUUAUAAAACAAAACACUAAGAAUACCCUUCAACUUGCGGUCGCAAAUGAACACGAAAUUAAUAAAGUAACUGUCUCUUUGUCAUGGCUUUGCUAAGGAAAAUGACAUUAAAAUUUAUCAUUUGAUCUUUCAUUUAUUUUGUUUUUAGUUAUCUGUUUGUUUGUGACACAAGAAUGAGAAUCAAUGUUUGCUUCUUGUUUCUCUUUUUCUUUAUCUUUCUCUUUCACUUUCACUUUUUGAUUUUGUAAUCUUUUCCUCAAUAUCUCUUUAUCAUGUUUGUUUUUGUUUAAUUUAGUGGAGAGGGCAUUAUAAUUUACAGACACCAGCUAAGAAUUCAAUCAUAUAGAGAAGAAUAUCUGCUUUUUAAGAAAUAAAUUUGUUGGGAAGACAGCUAUGUGACAAACAAAUUUUAAAGGUCCAAUUAUUUUGCUCGAUAUUAAAAAUUCCACUCUGAACUUUACAUGUAUUAUUUAUUUGUAUGUGACAUUUUAUUUCAAGUUUAUCUUUUAUGUGUCAUUUAUUUUCUUUAUUGCACGAAUAGAUAUUUUUGACGUCAGGAUAUUUGAAUAGAUAUUUUUGUAUGUUCCUAGACUUCAAGCUUUUAUAUAUAUAUAUAUAUAUAUAUAGUUAUAAACUGAUAACAAUAUUACGAAUUAUAUUCAUUUAAAAAUAUAUUGUAACGUUAGAGAAUCUUCAUCUGUUUUAUAAAGUAAAAUCUCAUUAAAUUAAUAUUUGAUAAAUUGAUAAUCUCGAUUAAAUAGUAAUUUUUGUAGGUCUCCGCUUAGGGCAGUGGUGGAUUUAAAAAAAUAAUUUAUCGGGGGCUAAAUUAAAUAACAACAAAAUGUAAAAAUUGAAACUUGAAUAUAUAAAUUUUUUUUAUAACACAUUUACAAUUGUUCUCUACGCGAUUUCAUAUUCUUAAAACGUUGUGCAAUAGACUCAUUAUCAACACUAUUAAAUACAUCUCUAUAAACAAUCAAAUUAUUAUUCAUCCAUUCAUCUCUUAUCCGAUUUUGAAGUUCAUUCUUCACAAAAUUCAUUGUUGAAAAUGUUCUCUCUAUUGUGGUUGUAAAAACUAAAAGAACGAGACUAUUUGAUCAUUUGACAGAGAUUAUUUAAAAAUUUAUUAAUUUUUCUUUUAAAUAAAAAAGGAUAAUUUUUUUUUUAGUGGGGGCUUGAGCCCCCACUAGUCCUACACUACAUCUGCCUCUGGCUUUAGGGCUAUUGUGGUAAAUUAAAAUUUUUUGACAAAUUUAUUAGAUAAUAAAUUUUUAAAAUAAAUCUUUUUUUUCCCACGAGACCAAUGAAUAUACAAAUUAAUAAUGAACUAAUUUGACACAAAAUAUAUAUGAUAUGUCUAUAAUUUUAUUUGUCGUACUUGCUAUGUGAUGUAUUUUAUUAGUCAUUAUUGCUUUGUUUACCCCUUUUGAAUAAGAUGUCGUUGUUUUAUUAUUUAUGUGUUGUUAUGAUAAAUUAGAGAGAUCAGCUUAAUAUAUUGUCCUCGAAAAUAUCUUCUCUAAUAAGUUACUAUGUAACGUGAUCCGGUCAUGCAAUUUAGACAAAAUGAUUAUUAAGUGACUGAUUCACUCAAUCAAGAUCAAAAUUCUAUCAUACAACUUGACAGGAUUGCUAUAAUCUCUAAUUAUACUACUCUUAUUCUUUAUGAAGAUUCAUAUUAUGAACGUUAUUUUCCUUUAUAAAUUAAUAGAAAUUUAUUGAUAUAUUAAUAUUUACUAAAUUAUUAGACUUUUCAUAAUCUCAAGGUUAUUAAUUUAACGAGGUUCUAUUGUAUUUUUUUUUUUUUUUUUUUUAAUGAUAGGGCCGUAUAUCAUGCAUAUUUCCCUAUUUUAGGGAAGAUGAAAGAUGUAGAUGAUUUCAUGUGUAUGCUUGUGAAAAUGGAUGCAGUUGCAUCAUGCUUUAUUGAUGAUUUUAUUUAUAUUGAAUUUUAUUAUUGAAAUUACUUGAUGAUUUAUUUUAUGGUGCUUCGUUAUUAAGUAUGAAAUUUUUUCUUUAUAAAUACCUACAAUAAUAAUAAAUGGGCUUUUUGUCAGUGAGCCCAAUUAAAUUAGCAGUCAAUCCAACAUACACUCAACCCAAACAUAUCAAAUGCAAUAGCCCCUUUUUUUGAUAAGAUGUUACAUCAAUGUUUCUAUUGUUUUUGCUGAGAAAUAAUCACACACCAAUUGAUUAAAGUCAUAAAUCAUAUACAUAGCCUGAAUUUGAUAUUUUUAAGCUCUGGUGACUAGUGUAUCCUGCACAUUGGUUAAUGUCGAAUGCUCAAAUUUAUUGAUUUUUGUUGAUCUUUUAAGCAUUUAGUCAUGUACAGGGCACGGUACCUAAAAAAAUCCAUAUUUUUAUUUUUUAACAAUACUGUGGAAAUAUUUAUAAAUAUAAAUAUCCGAAUAUAUUAGUGGUGUUAAUUUUCUUGUAAAUAUUUAUAAGUUGAUUUGCUAAACCUAAUCAUUUUUUCAAGUUAUGAACAUCACGAGUCACAUAUCAGCGGAACCCCACCCAGAUAUAUUAUUUUUGACCAACAAUAAUCCCCAGAACGUGCAAAUCUACCUGGGAGACAAAAUAAAGUCCAUAAAGUCGAACAUAGCCAAAACAUAUUAAUGACCAAUUAACUCAAAUUAAGUUCGUAAAUAUCAGGGAGCUAAAGCACACUGAUUUUGAUCAUUGACCCCCCCAAAAAAAAAAAAUAUUUGCUCACACGGAAAAUUACAUUUUAAAAGAAAUUUUCUUGGAACUGCGAUUCAAUGGAAAUUAUUUACAGUCAAACAAGUUUACAGUCACUGUAAAAUGUUUGAAGCCCUUGCAUCUAUUACAAAAUCAGAAUACACAAUUCUAAGAAAACAAAUUUGCCGGUACGUUUCGUUCGUUGUGAACAUACCAGAUUUGUUCAAACUCCUACUAUGGAGUUAUAAGUACCAUUCACGGCGAAAAGCAAUCCACACAGCAAUAUGCAAACAUCAAGAGAUCUUUGCCAGAAAUUCAAAGAUGAGCCUAGCAAUAUUAAGUGGUAUAAAGCUGGCAAAACAAAAGAGAUUAGAGCACAUAAGGUGCUGCCCACAAGCGAUGUGAAUGCACCAAAUCCUGGUAUGAACGAUGCUAUUGCUGCUAGUGCAACCACCAAAAUUGCUCGACUUAUGUAUAUCAUGAACUUUCCUAAUCUAGUGGUCGAAUUGUUGUCAUAAGAAAUGCACGGGUGCGUUUGAAAGAACGAGCUCUUCUUCAAACUCCCCUCUAUAAUCUCGUGAACCGGGUGUACCAUGAUCGGAAAUGUAAAUAUGAGUGCCACACACAACCCCAUCUGCCAGUAUAUUAUCAUUAAGGUUAGUCCAGCAACAACAUAUGAGAAAGUAGGAUUAAUCUUUAAGGGUGGAUUAUGAAAUAUUACUGUAAAAACUCAGGCACCUCAAUUCUCAACCCUCCAAAAUGAUUAGUUAAAGAAAUAAGAGACUUAAAUUUAUUUCUUUUUUCUCCAAACUAAAAGACAAAAUCAUGAAGCACAUAAAUUCAAAGGGAAAAGUGAUCUAAGAUUCAAUAGUACUUGUAGAGAUGAUAAUCAUUUAACAGGCAAAAAGAAUACAGGUGGGCAUGACAUUUUAAUAUUGUAUUUCUCAUGGCUUUAGAUGCAUGAAACUCAUCUAAUUCCGGAAGUCAUCAUACUCUUUUAAUCCCACUCCACAGUAGGAACAAUGAAGAAUCUGAUUUUGGUGUUUGGGCACAAGUACUGUAGACCUUGGAUUAUAUUAAUGUGUUCCCUAAGACUUUUUGAUAUCAAAAGCUUUACAAGAAUACAAAUUUUAACUAUGUCAAUACAUCAAAAAGCAAUCGUUUUUAUUUCAUUUAGAAAACCUUCGUUAUCAAAAAUAUCCAUUAACAAAUUUAGGCUUCCUUCUUUAAAUUUUUGAACAAAACCUAAGUCGGAUAAGAACAGAGCAAGUGCAAUAUGUAACAUGAGAAACAUAGGAAAUUACCUGAACUGCAAUGGAAGACCAAUCUUUAGGCAGAUUCAGAGUAACAAUAUCCUUAGUGUCAUCACCAUACGCCAUGAAACCGAAAAAACCAAACGUAACAUACACAAGAGUUAUCCCAGUAAAAGCCUGAGCAAGCAACUUGGAAAACCUUCCUCUUUCUCUCAUUGAUGACUCUAAUGCAAAAGUCAUACCAAAUCCUUCAAAACAAAAUACUGCCAUUCCUCCAGCAAAUGGCAGACCUCUGAUGUUAGAACUCACUGCUUUCCUGUCACUAAAAGAAAAUUCACCCCCUAAAAUCUUUUGUACAUCUUCUUUAACAACAAGUGUCAUGGCUAAAACAUUGCAAAUAUCAGCAAAAAUGCUGAAAGGCGCUAAAGCUGAGAGAGAAUUAAUCCAAGAUAACAGAAUUUGAACUGGCACUACUAAGAAUAUGAAAGAACGAUACGUGAGGCUGGUGUAGGAUUUGAAUAUUGAAAAGAGGUUUUGGCCAAUGAACACUAAAUAUGCAACUGAACCUCCACAUUGGGAAGUGAAAAUGAGAAAUUCUGUGAGAAAGCGGCCAGCUUUUCCCAUACAUUUGUAACCUAAAUCUCCAUAUGUCUUUGUUUCUGUUGAGGAUGUGUCUUCAGAUACUAACUUAUCUCUGCAUUGAAUCUGCCAGAACAAGAACUUAUAAAUUGGCUUUUCAAUUGAAAAACAGAGAAAAAAACAGAGGAAAUACUUUCAAAUCAUAUUUCCUAGUCCGCCUGUAGUAGCGGCCAUAAUUUAUUUGAAAACUAAGAUAACAAAAGUGUAUAGUAAAUUCUGCAUGACAUCUUUUCGAUUUGUGAAAACGACAACAAAUUACCCAAUAUCCCUAAACUCUUAAACAAUUUAGAGUACUUCAGUCGGUUAGUGACCAAUACCAAGUCACAAAAAGCACAAAACAAAAGAAAAAUGCAUCUGGCUUUAUGAAUUUAAACAUCUAAGAACGAGAAAAAAGACAAACAGAAACGUUCACAAGAAAAAAGAUAAAGAUAUGUAACAAGAGACUUAUACUGACAAGAAGGAGCAUGCAGUAGUAGGUGGAGAGACCAGCGAUCAUGACGCCAAGACAUCCAGCAAGCCAACCGGCAACACGGAAAGCAAAAGGCAGUCCCAAAACGCCAGUCCCAACUAUUGAUACAAUUAUAUUCCCCAGCGUUUGAGCCGCUGAAGCUGUUCCCGUUACUCUUCCUGAUGAUUUUGGCAGCAAAGGGUUUUCAAUUUCAUUGCUCAUGUGAUUCUCACCACCUUCUUCUCGUCUCAUCUUUUUUUUUGGUCGGGGGGGAGAAUUCGCUGGUGUUGCUGAAAUGCAAGCUGGUUUUGGUUUUAUUUUAUUUUAUCUUUUUUUUUGGCUAAAUUUUGUCCCAUCCUUUUUUCGGAGAGGGUUUUGCUGGUGCUGCUGAAAUGCAAGCUGGUUUUGGUUUUAUUUUAUUUUUAUUUUAUCAUUUUCAGCUAAAUUUUGAUUGUGGGCUGGGCUUUGUUUGAUGUGGGAGUUGUCGGCUUGUGGCGGCACAUGGAAACGACAGAAGUUCGCGCUGGUCUGUGACCGAUGCCAGUGCCACGUCGAUGUGAGUGUGAGUGGAGUUGAAAAGGGGUAGAGCUUACAUCAAUCAACUGAACAGGAAUGUCUACGUAUCAUAUCCGGAUUGGCGUAUCACAUCGUCGUAAUCAUCAUUAUGAAUUCUGUCGUCACUUUGCGGGUAGCAGACACAGUGUUGUUCUGGUAAAGCAAAAACAAGAGAUGAAAUCACCUUUGGGAAAACGUCUUAGGUUAAAAACAAAGAAGGGGGCUUCGUUUGUGGUACAAUCUGAUAGAGGUGCAUGUGACACGUCUCUAAUGGCCGAUGGAUUUGUAAAAUGUCACGAUAAUGAGACGUAAUGGGGCUGUUCUCGCACUGUAUCUUUUCCUGUGUUAUUUACCAUUUAGAGAAAUACUUAUGGACAUUCCAGUAUACCAUAUAAUAAGAUCAUGCAUGCCAGAUUCUGGUUUCAGAUUUUGCAUUUGAUUUGUUUCGUUCGACAAAUUCUGCAAGUUCUGUAAGCCCUGAUAAAAAAUUAAACUUGUUCAUCAAAUUUCACAUAUCUACUCAAAAUACUGAAAGAAGAAAAAGGAAAAACAGAGAAGCAGCAGCCUAUGAAAGGAUCUAAGGAUAUAAAACUGCAUAAACAAGCACGCCAAAAAUAGCAAUUACAGCUACCAUUGCCAUCCAGCUUAUACAAUGUCCAUUGACGAAAUGAACACUAAAGUUAUAACCUCUUAUAAAAUUAACUGCAACAUGAGAAUUGACACUCGACUUCAAAACCCUAACUCAAGCUUGAAACAUCUAAAAUCCAAUCCAAAACUAUGAACCUGAACUGUAUAAUAAUGAACUCCAACCCAAUCCAGAACCUGAUUUGCUGUCGUGAUUUGCAGCCAUUUUUUUAUAUUUACAGAAGGCAAGUGAUUGUAUAAUACAGUGUGCAAAUACCUAUAUAAGUCGGCAGCAAGGUGGCUUCUUUUUUUUUUUCACCCCAAGGGAGAUAAAGUUUCUCCCGCAUAGUUAUUUGCCAAAUGCCUUAAUUCCUAGGAAUAUUUACAAGGCCUCAAAACAAUACGGUUGGCAAACACAUUCAAUAGCAUGCAUCAGCUUUCUCCGUGGGCCCACUGCAUCCACACCCAUAUCCUUAAGCUUCUGCAUGGUUAGAUUCACCAACUGAAGUUUAUUCACACACUUUCCCUGGAAAAGCUGAAUGAACUGUCCCAGUCCAAGUGAUGCUAGCCAUCGGCUCAAACCACCCGCUUUUCGAAGUUUCCUCUCAAGAUUUAUAGCCCUUAGCCUUUGAUUUAGCAACAUGCUCCUAUCAAGUGAACCACUGAUGCAGUGAAAAGAUCUUGGCCGCCUGAUGAUUUUUGAUGUGUCUAAUACCUCAACUAUGUUAUGUGGUUUUGUAACAUGAACUCGACCUAGAUUUUCUGGUUCCGUCCUAGAAUCUAUAAUUGGUGGCCUGGCUAUGGUUGCAAUGUACUGACGUGGAGUUCUCUUAGCAAUCUGGAAACCUCUGCUAGGAGCCAAUGAUGUAGACUUCUCUUGUUCAUCAACUAAAAUCUUCUUGGAAUGUGCCUCAUUUGAAUGCUGUGACUGUGUGUUAAGUGUUUCUGUAGGCAUAGCUUGCAGUUGACUGGGUCCCAAAUUUGGCAUAGUGGACAUAUUAGCCAAAGGCAAAGGAGGAACCAGAAUGGUGACCUUCUGUUUUUUAACUAUAACCCAACUUUCAUCUUCGUUCCACUCAGCAUUGGAGUUGUUUUCAGGCACAGCCUUCGACGGUCUUUGCUUUGGCUUGACCAUUAGUUAUAGACCUGCUUGUUAUACAUUAGGCAAUAGGCUCCAAACAUUAAAUACUGCAAUAGAAAUGCCUCUAGAAUCACAAAUAAAAUACAACCUAAAACAAAGACGUUGCUCUUCAACUAAACAGCAAUUUCAUAUGCAUACAUGUCAUGUCAACACAGAGAUACCCUGUAUCAAUGAAUCCUACUAAGUGGUUGAAGAACACCAACUAAGAAUACAUGUUACUAGCUAUAUCACUGGUCACUAUAAAAGAUUCAAACCAGCAAACUAUUCCAAUCCCACUAGAACAAUUUCCCACUAGACUACAGGCCCAAAGAACCAAAAAAACAAAAAUCACAGGAUUAGACAUUUUAGAAUGUUGAAGACUAGUGUUCAGAUGAAUUACAUGCUAAUUCGGCACAACCUCCAAACUAAUUAAAGAAUUCACUUUCGUUAUCAUUCUCAAAGGAUUCAAAACCACCUUUUAAGCAUUGUUUAUGGUACUUAUGUAAAUCACAAAAACAUGAAAAUCAAUUACAGAUAGGUUGGACAUUAGCUCGAGUGGCAGAAUAGAUACAGUAGACUCCACACCUAUGAGAUAUGUACGUCUAGAAGAAUUUAAGUAGGUGCAUUGUGCAUUUUGAAGAUAAAUAAGACAUAAAAUUAAAUGGUAAUUAUUGUUUUGGUGUGCAGUUGAAGUGGAGAAUUAACUAGACAGUUCUAUGUCUAUCAAAUUCAUUAGAUCAAGAAACCAAUAUCACCAAGGUUAUUAUCAACUAAAUAUUACGAAUUACAUUCAGUGGUACCUGUAACCUAUCAAAUGACGAAGCGUGCGUAAAGAAAAUAUUAAAUUUGAGCUACUUCAACAAAUUACUUGAGCAGUAAUACGCAUCAAAAAGAUCGAAAAGUUGUUACUCGUGCAAGAAAAGGAGAAUAAUUUAUAAUGGGGAAAAUGAAAUUUGUUCAAAAUUCAACAAAAAUUAAAUCUGAAGAAUGAAAAUUACCGAUUUACGUGCUGACGCAGAGAUACAUGAGCUGACAAAUUGGUUUAAAUCGCCACCGUUUUGAAGAAACCUAGAAAAAUUUUCUGAGUUGGAAUCUGAAGAAGACCCGGCAAUAAAAAUCGGAUCGGGUAAGAACCGAUCAUAAAGGAGAAUCGGGCUUGGGUUUUUUUAUUGAAGAGGAGAUAAGAUAUGUGCUCUAAUUUAUCCGAUAAUAUUUUCUUAAAAUUUGAAUAAAUUAGUAGUUUAGAAACCGGAUCAAUUCAGUCUGUCUUAUCUCUUAUUAUCUUCGACCAUUAAUAUUGAUAUAUAUUCUUUUAGUAGAUGUGCAAUCUCCCCAAUUCUUAGUUGAUAUAAUCUUAGUUGAUAUAAUAUUGAUAUAAUCUUCAUCUUAGUUGUAUAUUGCUAUUUUAAUGUACAUGCGAUUAAAGACUACGAAUGAUGAAGCACAAGAGGUUAGCUUAGCAUUGAAUAUAAACAAUAACAUCACACAACACUCCACCAAAAAAAAAAAAAAAAAUCAAGUGGAUUAUCAUUCAAAAAUAAUUUUACUAUUUUAUGAUUGUAAUGUAUAAAAUAAUCAUAUUGUCCGAUAAAAAGAAGUAGAUACUAGGUACAAUUUCUAAAUGAGUGGACUUAUUUGAAUUCACAAAAAAAAAUUUCUAUGUCCAUUAAUUUAUAAUAAAUUUUAUUUCUUAAAUAACCUAUUAAAAUAUACCUUUGAGGACUUUUUUUUUUUUUUGAAAUUGCACAAAAAUUCUACAUAAACUAUAGCUUUCUAAUCCUUCUUAUAAUUUGGUAAAAAAAAAAAUCAAUUUAGAAUAAAAAUUUUCAUUCUACCAUUUAGAACUUUACUGAAAAUAUAUGGAGAUUCUUUUACAAAUUGGCAUAUUAAUACGGAUUGGACUUUAAUUAACCCAAAGUUCGCUACUGGGCUGAAAGAAGAUAGAAAGAGAGGGAUUAAUUGUGGAAUGUAAUUAUUAUAUUUUUUAAAAUUGAUUUCACUUGAAUCGCAUUAUUUCAAGGAAUAAUUGGUCAAACCCCGUUCCAAUAUCUCUAAGUCAAUAAAUUAAUCUCCAAAUACUUGCUUUAAUUGGUCAAACCAUUAUUAAUGACUUUUGCCUUAGUGGGAGACUUCUUGCACUUACAAUAUUGAGAAUAAGAGUUCGAGUCUCCAUAAAAGCAUUAUGAGGGUUAAUUUCAAUCUUUCUUCAAUUAUUAAAUAAUUGAGUAGAGAUAAUCUCUCUCUCACAAAAUGUGAAUGAAAUGGACACCUCUUGAAUAUUAGAGAGGAUUUAAAGAAUCUGAAUAGCUCUUCAAAGGAGUACAUGCCAAGAGGAGAUAUCAAUUAUAUAAUAUGUUUGUAAAUAUUAAUUGUAAUAUAUAUUAUAAAACCUUCAAAUAUUAAAUAGAAUUUACAGAAUUUAGGCAACGUUUCAGAGGAGUACAUGGCAAUAGAAUGUCUCAGUUGUAUAAUUUAUUUGUAAAUAUUAAUUGUAAUAUUUAUUGUAAUAUCAGUGACAAUCAUGUAUAACAGUAUUAAAAAAGAAUGGUCAAACCGUUUAGCGUUGUAUAAGAAAAAGGAAAGGAAAGAAGUAGAGAAAACGAAGGGAAGAAGAAGACUAAUUGUUGACUUGCUGGUAAUUGUAAAAAAUGUACGAUUAUUUUUAGAUUUUAUGAGGAUUUAUAAGGCAAGACAUUAUUUUUUAAAUUUAUAUUACGAAUUUAUAAAAAAAAAUGGGUGUGGAAAGAAAUAUUAUGUGUUACCAUUUUCUGACCUCAUCAAAAGCUUUACAAAAAAGUAUAUAUCAUAUAUUUGUACUUAUUUAAAGUCAAUAAAUAAGAAAUAUAUAUGUAUAGUUCUUUUAAAAAAAAUCAAUAAAUAAAAGGUAAUGAAAACACAAAUUACAACCACACACGUAAAAUGAUAAAUAAUAAAAAAUAUAUUAUAACUUUGAUCAUGUGACUAUAAAGGCGUACUCUAUCUUAUAGUGGUUCCAACAUAACCGGACCCUAAAUAAAAUUAUUAGAAAACAUGCUUUCCAAAUAAGAAGAGAAAAUGAGAAAUAGGAAGUCACCAAAAUUAACGAAAAACAAGCAAGAUCACUACACGUGCCAUGCAUGCCGCUGCAGCCGCAUGCCACACAAUCGUGUGCGUGUAUAUUUCAGCCCAGACAUGCGAUGACUUAGCCGCUUGCGUUUCAAACAUAUAAUCAACCAAAAACAAACAACAAACAAAAUCUCCUUUUUAUUUCACAGGAAUUUCCCAGAUCCUCCUUACUCCACACUUUGUCUCUCUCUACUGGUAAUUGCUUUUUCUUUAUAUUUAGCAAAAUAUUUCAUGUUAUUAAUUUGUUGGGAGAUUCACUAUUACAAACACCUACGUGUUGUCCACGUUUUAAAUUUUGUGUUAGAAUUACUAUUACGUUUAGAUUAUUAACUUGUAUCAGUUUCUUCUUCGAACCUCGCCCACACAGAUGACAGAAGGGUGUUUCAAUUUAUAUUUAAUGCAAUAAUUCAAAUGUAAUAGAAGUUAGGAUUUCAACUUUGGUUCAAGUUUGUGACCUAACGUGCGUGUAUAUCUGCUACUUCUUAUGGGAAUUCAAGGAAAUUUCGAUCAGUUUAUAGAGUAUAGGUGUCCAACAAAAUAUAUGGAUCCACUUGGAGGCCAAUGUAGUUUGUUUACUACUUUACUUUGGUUCAAAAUAGCAGAUAUAAUUUGUGUCAUAGUGGUGCAUAGGAGCAUGUUAAGAGAUUUCACAUUUUAUAUCAAGGGCUUGAGUUUCCGUCUGUUGGCGUCUAUAACAUUACAUGUAUGUACAUUGGCAGAGUCGGCUAGUUAAUGGGGAAUGUUUGUUAGUUUAAAAUUUGGGUCUGAGAAAGGUUUUUGGGUUUAUUAGUAAGCCAAUGUGUUUAUUUUUUCGAUUUUGGAUGAAAUGACAGUUUUGAUUGGUGUCUGAUGAAUAUUAUGAAAGGAUGAAGUUUGGAGAGACAUUUACAGAGUAUUUGCAUGGAGAUCAGGAGAGGUUUUUGGAUAAAUGCUCUCAUGUUGAGUAUAAGAGACUAAAGAAAGUCUUAAAGAGCUGCAGGACUUGUAAAGGACUACACGAUUCUGCUUGCAAAACGGAGCAACAAUGGGAUGAGGGAAAAGACAUCUCAGAGUCUCAAUUAUGUCAGUGCCAGUCUUCAUGCCAAUGUCAGUUCUUACUUUCGUUACAUUUUCAUUCUUGGUAAAUUAUAUAUAAUUAAUUGGUUAGGUGAUGCAACUUAUUCUAAAAAAAUUUGUUUCCUUGUAAUGUGAAAAAUACAAUGUCUAGGAAUUGUGAAAUCAGUUUAAGAAUGAAAUUUGGGAGCUUAAUAAUAUUGAUUUAAAGCUUGAACUUUAAAUUUUCUCGAUUUUGCACAUCAAUUGCUAAACUCUUAUCGGUAAUGUAAACAUUAUAUUUUCAAGUAUUAAUCAUGAAUCCUUUGUUGAUUUUCUAGUGUGUGAUCAUAUGUUCUUCUCUGAGCUGAUGAAGGAAGCAUCAGAUAUAGCUGGGUGCUUUAGUUCUCGGGCUAGACAUCUCCUCCAUCUUCAUGUUGCUAGUGGAAUGCAAAGAUAUGUGCUGCGCAUACGUCAAUGUUUCAAGAAUGAUCAGACAGCCAUGAUAGAAGAAGGAAGGGUGUUGAUUGAGUACAUAAUAAUGAAUGCAAUUGCUAUCCGUAAAAUCCUCAAGAAAUAUGAUAAAGUAAUGCAACUUUGGUCCACUUUUGCUGUCUGUUGUUGCUGAUUCAGUUCACAGUAUUUUUGUAACGCCGGUGACAGUUAUUUUACUUUGCAUAGGUGCAUAAAUCUGUAAAUGGGAAGAAUUUUAAAUCCAAAAUGAGGGCUGAACACAUAGAGCUUUUGCAAUCACCCUGGCUAAUAGAACUGGGAGCUUUUUAUUUGAAUUUCAAUGGAUUAAAUUGUGGAGCAUCCAGUGAGUUUUCAGGUCAUUUCUCCUUUGAUUUCAAUGCUUCACGACCUGUGAUGACACUGGCACUUCCAAGUUCUAUAAAGCUAGAAUAUGAUUUGACUUGUGCAGUAUGCUUGGUAAGAUCUCAUUCCAAUAAAUUCCUAGAUGAAGAAAAGAUGAGAUUUAUUAUUUAGUUUUUCAUUUGUUUGUUUCUUGUUAUGAACUGACAGGAUCUUGUUUUUAAUCCGUAUGCUUUGAGCUGUGGUCAUCUCUUUUGCAAGUUAUGUGCUUGCUCAGCUGCCUCAGUCAUGGUGUUUGAAGGCCUUAAAUCUGCCAGUCCGGAUUCAAAGUGUCCAAUCUGCAGAGAGGUUUGUGUUUGGCAUUAGAACAAUAUAUGGAAUUCAAAUUUUUUAUGUGGAAGUAACACCGGUAAAGAUUUCACCAGGCAGGUGCAAAAAAAUAGGUGUAUAGUUAAAUGUCCUCUUCUUGUGAAAACUUGUCACAUUUAUUCACAGAUUAUUCUUAUAUCGUCUAUAGGAGCUGGCUGGCAAUUAGGAUGCAAGGAGACGUGGUAACUAUUUUGACCAAAAAUUCUAAAAGAUACAUUCAACUUCAUGAUCCUCCUAUUAAUCACAGUUCACUUCAAAAAGGCUUAUUUUCGGUUAGAAUAAUAUGAACACUUUGCUUAAUAUUACUUUGCAGUCAAUUUCGUCACUCAUAUCAUAUGUUCAACUUUUGACUUCCACCGUUGACAUUGAUCAAUUGUUUGGCAGAAUUGUCUCGAUAAAAUGUAGAACUUGAGUGGUUAUUGAAUUAGCUCUCCAUCCUGUCUUUGGUUGCUCAAGGCUAUGCAGUAGCAAAUGACCAUAGUCUGAUGCUAGAGGACAUUUUAAAACAGGGGCGUAACUGCAGGCAUUCGCUGGCAAACUGCCUUUGCAGCAGUUUAGUCAUUGCUAUAGUAAUUUGUAUUCUGAAUCUGUUUCCGAAUUCCCUAUAAAACCACCUUUCUUUUCCCCUUUGCAAGCAACUGCCUUCAAUUUGUAGAGUCCUUGAGCAACUGCCUUCAAUUUUUAGACUCCUUCUCUGGUAAUAACUUGUUUUGCCUACUUUCAUUCACAUGUAAUAUGCUAUUUCUUGAUUCUAUCAGACAGUUGAAGUAAUGAAGUAGCUACCAGGUUGUUUUAUUCCUUAGGUUCGAUGUGAAAAGAAUGACAAUUCGUUAAGUUUGAUGCUCAAAAUAGAUCUUCGCUGCUGCAGUUCUUUGUCUUGCUAGGCAAGGUUUCAGAAGUAAUUGUUCCUUAGUUGUGCCUGUUUCCUUCAAACUAAUAGCACCAAAACCCCUCUGCACGGUGUGGCAAUGGGCAUGAUAAAAUCCCUUCGUUUUUAGAAGUUUUCCCUUUACAUUAGAAGGCACAUUUAGAGCAUUCUCUUGAAACUCCUGCUGUUUAAUCAAACUUGAUCAUUCUGCCUGUGAUCACAACAAUUUUUAUCUUUUAUGUUGUGCUCUUUUGAGCAUAACGUAGCAAAGAUUGGAUUAUUUGCCAUUUAACUAGGCUUCUGUUAUUGUUCUCUAUUAUGCAGGCAGGAGUAUAUGCGAAAGCAGUCCACAUGCUUGAACUAGACUUAUUGGUAAAAAGAAGGUAAAGAAACUGAAAACUCACUUCAUUCAUUAGAGACAAAUCAGACUUUUCUUAGUAAAUAUUUUCCAGGUUCAAAGAAUAUUGGAAGGAAAGAUUAAUUGCCGAACGAGCAGAGAUGGUGAAGCAAUCUAAGGAAUACUGGGAUUUACAAACCAUAUCUGCAGUUGGGUAUUGAUUUUUCAGGCUCCCUUGUUUGAGAAGAAGAGAAAUAAAUCAUUCAGUUCACUUCAAUCUCUGGUACCGGAUAGUAUGAUUUCGUUAGUUUGGUUGGCACCAGUAACAUCUGCGGUUCUGCAUCCAUUGUUGAUUAAUUUUUGGGUUAUAUGUUGGACAUUUUUAGUUCAAAUCAUAAGAUUACUGAAUGAAAUCAUGCUAAAUUGCUCUCACAAUCCAAUGUUUAGUUUGUAUUCAUUGCACUCUUGAUCAAAUAAAACCCAAAUUUAUUAUGGUUAAUUUCAUGAUUGAUAUUUAAUAACAUAAUACAAGGGCUUGGCUACCUGACUGCUUUCGUAAGGUACAACUGGGCCGAAAGGGUAAUCGGAGGUGGGCCCUAGGAGGCCUAUAACCCCUUUUCUAUAUGGGCUGUACUUUAUAGAAGGCGUAAGGUAGAAAGAGUUACGAGAUUUGUGGGCCCUACAGGAGACAAGACAUUGACACAAAUCCUCAUUUUUCAACCCCUUUGUUUUUUUUUCAAUAAAUAAAUGUUUGUCCUAUUAAAAGUGGAAAAGGUCGGGUUGGCUUUCUCCUUUUUUUCUUCGCAAAAAGUCAUUAUAAAACAAAAACAUUUGGUUCUGUAAAUUUUCAAAUUACAAUCGCAAAACAGCCUAUCAAAUAUAUUUCUUUAUUGUCUAUUCUUUAAAAGAUAAACAAUAAUAAUAUGUGCAUAAAGAAUAGCAUAAAAACAAAAAAAAAAUUAAUUCUUGUGAUAAUUUUUUUUUGUCUUUUAUAUUAUUUUUUUGUUAUUUUCGUACAAAAACACAAAACAACGAAAGUAAUCCUAAACACUCUGUUACUCUAAGCUAACCCUUUAUUUUUUUGAUUUUAUGAGGUUUUGUUGGGCUUUAAUUAUAAUUUUUUACUGGGCUCAUGUAUUUAUUUCUACCUAAUAUUAAAAAACAAAGGAAGAAAAUGUCCGUUGGCGGGUCAAAAUUUGGCAUUACACGUGCAGUGGGUUUGGUAGUUUACCCUAUUAUCUGAUUAAUAAUUACAUAAAUUCCAAAAAGAAAAAUUAAAACUAAAAGGAGAUAACAUCCUGCCCUCUAAUUUUGUCAUUUUCGCAUAAAAGGGCAUAGGUUUUCUGUUUGUAUCAAAUAGGUCCGUAACCCCUUCUCAAAUAAUGUAUUUUGACAACAAUAGAGUUUAAACUCUCUAAAUGAGAGACUGAAUGACUUAAGAGAAUAGGAGUAGACCCUCUCGAAUAACAAUAAUAUAUGAUUUUUUAUAUUUUAAAAUUACAACUCAUAUUAUAAUAUAUACUUUUUUAAAUAGAGAUUAGUGUCUAAGAUGAGUAUUUUGUGCAGCACAUGUGUGCGACACUUAAACAACUUUCAUCCAAAGUUACUAAGUAUUAAGAUUCCCAUUCUCAUUAUUUAAGCUAGAAUACAUGUAAAAGAGCAAUUAAGUCAAAAGAAAAGAGAGCUUAUAAUAUUUACAAGAGAAUAUGUGUGUACAAGUAUGUUGCAAUACAAUGAUUGAGUACUUGGAGAAUUGCUUAUAUGGAACGCUAAAUAAGUACGUGGCAAUACAAUGCUUGAGCACUUGGAGAAUUGCUUAUAUGAAAUGCUAAGUGACUAGUCUAUUAAUAAGGAGGCUUGUCACAUUCUACUAAGUUCUAAAAUAUUUCUAUUUAGAGAAUUUUCAUAGUUUAAAAAACUCUUACAUAAAAUAGAUAGAAUAUUUAUUUAUAAUUUCUUAGAGAAUUCUCGUUCUACCACAAUACCACUAUUUUAGAGAAUUCUUAUUUUAUCCAGAUAUUUAUAAGCUAAAAAAUUCUAGAGAUAGAAGUUUUUAAAUAUAAAGCCCGAGUUGCACGUCCUAAACUUAUAUAAUAAAUCUCUUAGUUCAAAAUUAAGUGAUUUGUAACACUAAAAUCUUAAUUUUAAAUGGAGAUUUGACUAGAAAAUGUAAAUAUUUAAGAAAGGAUUAAUAUUAUAUUUUUAAAUUAGUAUUCUAAACUUUACAACCUUACUAGACAUUAUGGAAUAAUUUAAAUUUUCAAUAGAAUCGACUAUUGAAAAAAACUAUGCUUUGAAUUAAAAAUUAAAAAAAAUUAGGGAUCUGGAUGUUAUUAUCGUUCAAAAAAUUUACUUCAUAUUUCAAUGAUCCAUUUUCAUUCACUAUCGGUGUUCGCAGAGGAACUCAACAAUGGCGUACUAUUCCUUUUGGCUCGCUCGUUUACGAUCAUCAUCAAAAUCCAUCCUCAGCAGUCUCCGCACUUCAAAGUUCAGUACUCAGAACACACGUACAAGAACUCUUAUCACAUUAUCCAGCGACAACAGCUCGAGAAAUGGAACCCCGUUUCAGCUGUUUUCAGCCUCUCUUCUUCCUUUAGCACUCGCUGCCUCUGCUGGGUCCCUCGCCAUGCAAUCCCAGACGCACCCUUCUCUCUGCGACUCCUCAGCUCUUGAUUCUCGGUAACUCUUUCCCGUUUUAGUUGAUUUUGUGUAUGUUUAGUUUAGGCUGGAGGUGCUGUCGCUUUUAGCUCCGAAUAAAAAUCACUAGCUAUCAAAUCAGGUAUAUGUGAAUGUGUCAGAAUGUCAGUAAUGAAUAUUAGUUGUGAGUAAAAGUGUUUGAUAAAUAGGCGCAGCAUUUUCAGUUGGUCCCACAUCAUACCCGCCCCACGUAUCACCUUUUAUGCCCUCUGGCACUAGGCUUACGAGAGGUUAUCCAACGUAAGUGGUGGUUGUGGAGACUUGAACGUGGACCUUGAAGUCCGUACUGUUCAUCUGUGAUUUCAAAAUUGAGUAGAAGUAUGGCAGUUAUUCACAAGCAUACAGUAUGUACUCGAUUUUGAUUCUGUGUUUACUUUUUCAAUUUUGUGUAAAGGGAUGUGAACAUUGGUGGUAAAGGAAGUACGGAGUAUGUGGUGAAGGGGUCACACAAGGAAAUUCCGCAGGAGCUUGUUGAUGAACUCAAGGCUAUUUGUCAAGUAUAGCUUUAUACAUAACUCAAUUUGAAUCUUUUGAUUUUUUGCUUUUUGAUGGAAAGUAAACUUAUGGGUCUGGUUAUAUUAAUUGAUCAAUAAGCUAAUUGUAGACCACAUGUAUGAUUAUGGGUCUAACGUUCGAUGUUAUUAGUUUAUAUUUUAUGUUAUCAUUCAUCACACUAUCAGUAUGACUUUGUCAUUUUACUAGCUUAAUGUUCUACUUUGGUUUAUAAUAUUACUAGUUGGAUGUCCUUUCAAUUGUCAAUAAGGAGGUUUAUUGUGCGUGAAUCCAAAUUCGCAAAAGUAUAAAAUUGUUUCAUCUGAAUUGGAGUAGGAUGAUAUGACAAUGGAUUAUGAAGAGAGGUACAUCCAUGGAAAACCACAAAACAGCUUUCACAAAGCAGUAAAUAUCCCCGAUAUCAUUGUGUUCCCCAGGUGCAAUUUCUUCUCAAUCAUCUCCUUGUGUACUGAAUUUUUUUUUCCAGCUCUUGAUAUCACAUUUGUAUUACUUUUCUUUUUUAAGUUUAUAUUUUGAAGAAGAAUACAGACUCCAUCAGACUUUAUUGACCAUUCAUAAAAGAUUAGGUUACCUGUGUCUAUUAUAAUAAUUAUUCCAUUUUGUGGCAAGAACUGAUUGCCCUGUUUCUUGAAACUAUCCAGGAUUGAGUUGUGAAUUUUCUUUUUACUUUUUGGAGAUUUAAAUCUCCUUUGUUCAACUUUUGAAUUUAAAUAGGUAACAGUAUGCUUCUGGAUACUUGCAUGUGAACACAACAUGCAUAGAAGAAAACCAAAACAUUUUAUUUUAAGAGAGAUCUCCAAAUGUUGCUAGCAGUCUAUUUCUGCAUUUCUGUUAUUGUUCUCUGAAAAAAUUUUCAACUUAUACCUUCUACAUGCAGGUCUGAAGAUGAAGUUUCCAAGAUUGUCAAGUGUUGUGAUAAACAUAAGGUUUGAGUUCUUCUUUUUCUGCAAAUUAGUGAAAAAUGCACUCUCUUUCUUAUAUGAAGUCUACAGGUUUUCUGCAAAAAUAGUGCUUAUCAUAAACAUUUUAGGUUUAAUGCUUGUGGGUCACAAGAUUCACUAUCUAAAUCUAAAGAUUUGAUUGUCAAUUUUCAAUUUGGUUUAUCUACUUUUGCUUUAGUUGAUCAUGGAAUGAUGAAAAAUGAAAAAUAUUGCCUUCAUGUAGCAAGUAUUUAUUUGGUUUGCUUUUACAUUGUGAUCAGGUCCCUAUAAUACCAUAUGGUGGGGCUACGUCAAUCGAGGGUCACACCUUAUCUCCUAAUGGAGGUGUUUGCAUUGACAUGUCUUUGAUGAAAGUAUGUAUCAAUAUCCUUUUUGUAUACAUAGUUACAUUACAUAAACUCUGAUUCAUCUAAUUGAGACAUUCUAGAUACAAAUUGCUCAAGAAUACCUCAAGUUGUGUCUCUUCCUGUAAUUUUAUAAAGUUACCCACAUGCUAAAUGGAAUUGAUCAAUGUUCUUUGUAUCUGCCUUUUUAACAGCAAUCAUACGGGUCACCUGCCAUCCCUUAUGAAAUUUUGUUGGGGUGGAAAAAUUCACAAUUUUGGUGAAUACAACUUACGUUGUGUGUAAGUUAGACAGUGCACCUGAUUUUGGGCUUCUUUUGAUUGAACGUACAUUAUGCAAUUAAAUAUCUUGGGCCUAAGCUCUUAAAAUUCAGGAAUUUGGUUGUCUUUUAUGGUUGCAUUUGUUUCUCUAAAAGACUAUCCUUCUUUUUCUUGUACUUGCUCUGCUUGUGGGGCUCAAACAGUAUAAGCUGUCCAGAGAAAUAACUAAUAUCUACCAUCCGGGGAGAUAUAUAUAUAUUUUCUAAUCUAGGAUUUUAAAGUGCGGGAAAGUCCGGGAUAUGUAUGUAUGUAUUUUUAAGUCAAAAUAGCUUCUUUAAAUUUUACUAAUGUCUACCAUCCAGAGAAUUUUAACAAAAUAGCUUCCUUUAAUUUACUCAUCUAAUUCCUCCUUUAGUAUCAUCUAGUAAUUUACUUAUGGCUUCUUGAUUAAUUGAUAUAUGGAACAUUUCUGUACUUUAUAUUUCAAUUUUGCCCAAAUGUUUGCUAUUUAUACAUAGCAAAAUUUUUGUGUUAUCUAUCAACUCUAAUCUCUAAGCCUCUUGUGUAUACAAUUAUUGUGGUUGUGGAAUUGUUCAUUUCUAAUCUUAUAAAAAUGUGUCAAAUUUAAACAUGUAUUCUGGAAAUUCUUUCAGCUGCUUAUUUAAUGUGGAUUCUUCUCACAUUGUAGAGUGUUAAAGCAUUACAUAUUGAGGACAUGGAUGUGGUUGUUGAGCCUGGGAUUGGAUGGAUGGAGCUUAAUGAAUACUUGGAGCCAUAUGGGUUAUUCUUCCCUCUUGAUCCUGGUCUGAUUCCUAACCCUUGUAAUUUUUGUCUGUAAUUUUAUUAAGGAAGAUGUAUUUGGAGACUUUGGAUUUCAUUACAGUUUUAACUCUUUCAUUCUUUCCAUCCUCCCACAACCCAAAGGGAGAAAAAAAGAAAAAAGAGUUAAAACAUUUUAAGCCGUACAAAGGUAAUGUGCCUCAUAAUGGUGUCAUGCUUUUCCACAUUUUCACUUGAAUCUCUAUUUUUCCCUGGGAAAUCUUUCGAAUUACUAUUACCACUGCUUAGCUUUCAAUUCGCCUCUGACCAUCAAAUCAAAAUCAAAUUAUUUCGUGGAUUGGAUUUCACUUGACUGUCUACGGCUUCAUUGUGAACUUACUGCCUUGUUCUGAUUCUGUCACAUCUUGUCUUGCAGGGCCUGGUGCAACCAUUGGGGGUAUGUGUGCUACCCGCUGCUCUGGUUCCUUGGCUGUGAGGUAGUUUCUCAGCCUAUUUAGCUCUAGUAACUUAUUUGUUGCUGAAAAUAUCCACAUGUGAGAUUGCUGCUGUUCGGUUAUGAAGAGAAAGACUUAGUAUGACCUUAAAGUAUUCAUGGGUGGGGGUGUAAUAUAUUCCUUCUCAACUUGUGUGAUGGACACUAGAGUUAUUUAUACCCAGUACACCUGCUUUUCUUGGUAUAUAACCUUUUACUCCUGAGAUAGUUUUGCUAUUUUGUCCCAGUAAUUCCUUUUAUCAGUUUUUUUAGUGUUUAGAUAUUAUAAAAUCUUGCAAUUUCUUAAGUUUAUCUUUAGCUUUGUACUUGGCAGCCGAACUUUCAGUUAUUCUCCUAUAUUACUUUUUGUUUCUAAUCUAAAUAAUGCAUUUUGCUGAACUGAAUUCGUUUAUUCACUAUUUACCAAUUUAUUUGUCUAAAUGAAUAACUCAUUACUAGUUGUUGAAACUAUUUUCACGGUCUGAUUUGUUGUUGGAGUUUAUGAUUUCACUCUUAGCAUGUAGGUAUGGAACUAUGCGCGACAAUGUCAUUAAUCUGAAGGUUUGUUAAUUUCCUUUUUGUUAUACAAUUUCAUUAAAUUGGGAUAUAUUUCUCAUCCUGUCAACAUCUCAGGUAGUUCUUGCCAAUGGCGAUGUUGUUAAGACAGCUUCUCGUGCUCGAAAAAGUGCUGCAGGGUUUGUUCUCUUGUCUAUUUAAAUUGUCCCAUUGGUUUUCUACUUCCAUCCUGAAAAACCAAUAUACAUGUGAUACAGAAAUAACACUUGGUGUUACAAUGGUGUUUGAGUUUUUCUAUGCAUUUAUUUAAACUUGAUCUUAUCCCUUGGUUUGCUGUCACCAGAUGCCUUUUACUACUGUUAUGACCUGGACUCACAUUUAUUUUGUGAAUCCUUAUAUAUCUUUCUUAACUAGGUCCAAGUAAUGUUAAUAUAGGUGUGUUUGUGUCUGAGAGAGAGAGUUCUGGUCCAACAUCAAUAUAUAAACCUAAAGCUUUUGUAACGUUUUGUGUGCAUGCAUGAAAGAUGUUCUCAUUCGGUUCAAAAGUGCUUUUGAUCUUUCAUAUAUAAAAGAUAAGAAGUUUUCAAUCCAUGAGGCUUAUGAGGCUUCUGUAUGUUAGGUAUGAUUUGACCCGACUGAUAAUUGGAAGUGAGGGAACCCUUGGCAUAAUAACAGAAGUCACUCUAAGGCUUCAGAAAAUUCCACAGCAUUCAGUGGUAUCUUCACCUUUCUUUCUUGAAAAGCAAUUAUGUUUUACUUGAUUUCAAAUUUCUGUCUAAAAUUUUAGUUUCCUUGUUGCUAAUGGAUGUAAGUUUAUUAUAUAUGUUUAUAUUUGUGAAUGUUUGUGUUUUGUGUUGUAUAAGAUACUAUAGAAGUUCUUUGAGAUCCUGAUAUUUACGGAACUUUUGUUUUACAAGAAACUGAUUGAUAUUUGCAGUAGCUGUCCUUCUUUACUUUUGUUCUAAUGAAAGUAUGUAUUAAAAUUCACAUCUUGUUCUUUACAUUUAAUUUUCUAUACAGAAGUUGAAAAAUGAAGGCCUUUUAUUUUGUUAUGCUUUGGAAAUAGUUCCUUUUCCUCCCUGCAAUAUUCCUUCACAAUAACCUAUAGGGUUAAAGUUAACCAGUGGGAGUAUAGGAAAAUUGGAAUGGGCUACUUUAUGUUUGGGAAAAAUAAAUCCUUGAGGAUGGGAAGCAUUUGUACUCCUUCGAUGGCAGAUGAGGAUGAUUUGCAUUUAGUCAAUGUCAAAAUUUCUCCUCUUAUCCAUCUUUGAACUGUGUAUGGGGUUGGAAUCCACCUGUUCUCCUUAUUAUUGUGUAUAGAAGAAUUUUCUUAAUUGAGUUUGAUAAUGUUGUAGGUGGCAACAUGUAACUUCCCAACUAUUAAGGAUGCAGCAGAUGUAGCUAUUGCUACUAUGCUGUCUGGCAUACAGGUGUGGCUUAAUCUGCAAACUUAGUUCACAUAUCCAAUUCCUUCAAAGUUCAUAGAUUUUAUAAUACUUAAUAGGUGUCAAGGGUGGAGCUCCUGGAUGAAGUUCAAGUGAGGGCUGUCAAUAUUGCUAAUGGGAAGAACUUGCCUGAACUUCCAACUUUGAUGUUUGAAUUUAUAGGCACUCGUGAGAUGAUAUCACUUUUCGCUUUUAACACAUUUCUUUAAUUAAUGGCCAUUUAUUUGAACUUUUUCUUCAGUAUUUUAAGAAUGUACUGUACCUCAUAUAUGUACAGAUUUCAAACUGGCAAGACAAAGCAUGAGCAAUCUCUCAUUUUAUGCUUUUUUUCCGCUCAUUAUCUAUAUCGUCAGUAGCUUCCAGCAAAAGGCGUAUUUCAAAAGUUGUCUUCAUUUUACCAGUGCUAACUUUUCUAAUAAAUUCUGUUUACACCUUCUUAGAGGCAUAUUCACAUGAGCAGACACUAAUUGUUCAGAAGAUUGUGUCUGAGCACAAUGGUACUGAUUUUAUUUUUGCGGAAGAUCCUGAAGCUAAAAAGGAACUCUGGAAGGUAGUGAAUCUGAUUUCUUCAAAAUUGUCUUCGUUCUGCUUGAAUUUUGUUUGAAAUCCGGGAUCUUAGCUCUUACAUUUAUGUUUUCUGAAUGUGUUUGAGCUUUUUUCUCCUUUUUAGGGGCUUGCCUUCUCCUUCAUUUAAAAUCUAUCAUAGUAUAAUAUUUUAAUUUCAAAUUAAUAUUCUCAAACUGUUCAUCAGCUUUCUAAUAUACAUAAAUGAUCAUUUUGUUAAUACGCUAAAACUGUAUGAGUCGAUGUAUAUUAUUUGUAUGUAAAAGUUUUAACUGUAGAUUGAUUUUUGGAUUUUAUUAAAAAAGUUCAUUUACUUAUAAGUAUUUUCCAAGGGAUUAAUUUAUUCAUUUUCAUACAUCUAUAAUUUCAAUUUUUUAUUUGGCUUAUUAUAACCUCUCCUGGAGCUUUAUUUAUUCAUUCAGAAUAGAAAAUUCAAUUUUAUUGGUUGAAAGAGACCUAGAUUUAUGGAUUCUUAACAUUUCUACUGAGUGCAUAAACAUGUCCUUACAUGGGCAUCCAUAGAACAUACAUGUAUACAUGGUAAAUAGCUAUCGAGUUGAAUGGCCUUAGCUGACGCAUUAAUCCAUAUGAGAUGUCAGAUCAUUAUUCAAAUUCUCGAACCCGUCUUGUAAUCUUGAUCUAUCUAAUCAGUUUGCUGCUCAUGCCGUGCAUGUUGGGUCUUGUUUUGUUGGCAUAAAUUGGUCUGCAUUGGUUUUCUGAGUUGUAUUUCUCUUUGCAUUGUGUGAUCUUUGGCAGAUGAGAAAGGAGGCACUCUGGGCUUGCUUUGCAAUGGAGCCGAGUUUUGAAGCAAUGAUUUCUGUGAGUAUGAUGUUAACAAACUUAUAAAUGAUAAUUUCAAAAUAUGCUGACAGUCGCACUUUUUAUUCUAAACCAUAUCUAUUUUAACAAUCUCUGGACUUGCUACUCAAGUGUGUCGAAGCUGAAUUAGGACAAACUUUACUAGAUCAAUUUUGUUACCUGUUUUUGCAGAUUUGUUGCUAGGGAUAAUAGCAUCCGAAACCCCAAAAUGCUGACAAAAUGACAAGGACAUAGUUUGCAAUUAAUUUUUCACAUGGGUCCUAGUGAGUGCUAUCAGAUUAUGUUAAGAAUACAUCAGUGAAAUCAAUAAUUUGACUGUUAUACUCUUAGGUCGUUAUUUAAUUUCAAAUACUAUGGUAGCAUCAACUCUAAGGUUGCCCAGGUUUGAGAGGACCUUACUACAUCAUUAAAAUCAAUAAUUUGACUGUUAUACUCCUGAAAUAAGCUUGUCUAUUUUCCAAUUUUUAGGGAUAUAACAGUUGAAUCCUUGAUUUUAUUGACCGCCCCCCCCCCCCAACCAACAAAACACAGUUUGAUUUUUGAUUCUUCGAUAGUCUGACGAGAGAAAAAUAACAAGAAAUUUUUUGAGAAAUGAAGCAUAUUUAGCAUUUUCUUUUAAAUCCUUCCACUCUUCUGGGAGUUAUACAGAUUAUUAAUCUCUGUUGUUUGGUCUUACACAUAAAUUUCAUAAAUUUCUUUCUUUUCCUUGAUGUUUCUGGAAAAUUGCAAAAGUCAUCUUGAUAAUUUCCAACACAUACAAUCUUAAAUUGGUGGUUAGUUAAUUUAUAAGUAUUAGUUCCUGUGUUCUUUAGUUAGUUAAUUUAUAAGUAUUAGUUCCUUUGUUCUUUAGUUACACUUUAUUUUCUCUUCCUUAUUUUGCUUGAGAGCCCUCUUUGCCAAUCUUUCUUUUGUCCAGGAUGUAUGUGUUCCUCUUUCUUGCCUGGCAGAGUUGAUAUCAAGGUCAAAGAAAGAGCUUGAUGCAUCACCACUGAUUUGGUAAUUUCAGAAUGAUUGUUUGCAGGUUAAAACAUUUUAUGUUUCUUUGUCAGCACGGGCAAGUGAACUGAUGCUUGUAUUUCUUAUGCCCUAUUUCAUACUACGCAGCACUGUAAUUGCUCAUGCCGGUGAUGGUAACUUUCACACGGUGAUACUAUUUGAUCCGAGCAAAGAAGAGGACCGCCAGGAAGCAGAACGGUUAAAUCGAUUCAUGGUCCAUACUGCCUUGUCGAUGGAAGGUACAUAUGAUAUUUGACUUUUUUUAUUAAUUGAGACUACAGGUUGUGGUGUUCAAUAUCUCCUCAUAACAUGCAGCUGUUUAGUUAGCGGAAAAGGCAUUUAGUUUAAGUAUAAUCUGUUGCGUGUCAAUGGAAAAGAUAUAGGUACUCGUACAAAUGUUACAAUGCUGAACCAAUUGCGGCGCUAAAACUGGUUUCUCUGAUUUCACUGUUGAGCAGGAACAUGUACUGGUGAGCAUGGUAUUGGGACAGGGAAAAUGAAGGUAUUUUCAAUCUUUCCUGCUAGAAUUGUGCCGCGUAUCAUGCGAGUUACUCGGAUGUGACUUUAAUAGUUAAAUAGAUUAAAAAGUCAAUUCCAUGACCAGAGUUGGUGGUGCCUACCACUGGUUUAUAUCAUCAAUAUUAGCUGUAGAUGCAUUGACUUUAUAAUGACAACUAAUUUAAUUUCACUUCGGGUGUUGAUCAAAAGUUUUAUUCUCACGAUUUACAGUCUGAGAAUAUCAAAAUCUAAAAUGUGUUGUGCACAGUUGGUGAUCAUCUCAACAUGCUGUUAAAAAUGAUGGGUUUUUCUUGAUGUUUCCAGUAUCUAGAAAAGGAGCUAGGCACUGGAGCAUUGGAGACGAUGAAAAGAAUCAAAGUAGCACUAGACCCCAACAACAUCAUGAAUCCGGGAAAGCUAAUUCCACCACAUAUUUGUUUCUAAAUAUUGUUGCGUAGAUUGGUCUCAAAGGGUUAAAGCUGCUACACGUGCUCUUUUGUGAAAGGAUUUGCAAUUCAUUGGAGGAUCCUUAGCCUGUCUGUGGCAUUUAGAGUUAUUAAUGCUGCUUACGCUCGCAAGAUUUACUUUGAUUGCAAAAGAGAAAAAAUGGGGCAAGGUAAGUGGCUAUCUUAUCAUUGAUUAGAAACAAAGAUUCCCCAUUUUGUUUAAAAUGGUUGCUUGAAAUUUGCCCUCUCAGUAUUCUAAUUGAUUGUAAUCUAUCAAUCUAUUUUCUGUUCCCUCUAUUCUGCAUUCCAAAUAAACUCUAAAUUAGAAUGGAAAAAAUCAUGUGUUGAUAAAGAGAAACAUGAGGAAUAAAUCAAAUUUACUUUCAAUAUUGAUCUUGUUCAGCUUCCUUUUCAUUUCCUUUCUUUUUCGGUGCAAUAAUAUGGCUUUGGUGAUUGUAAAUGAGAGUUUAUUUAAACGGCCUAACAAAGCUAAGCAUAAAAUCAAAUGGGCUAUUGUGCAUUCACUUCAGCUUUGAAAUGCCAAUCCUAGCUGAUGUUUUUGGUUGGUUUGGUUGUUAAUGUUGGCAUUGGGAAUUCUUCUUUUGGUCCUUCUACGAGUGCCUUUAACAUCUUGUAACAUCAUAGAUUAGAAUACAUUGCAUAAGUGCAUACUUUAAGGCCUUGUAACAGUAUCUUCAACAAAUUCAUCACUACAGUCUAGAGCGUAGCUCAUGCCUUUUGUCAGAAACUGAGAAGGCACUAAACCUAAAGGCUACUGCCUAGUGAGGCAUGAAAUGAUGGAUGAAAUGAAAAGGCACCCCACGUUUGAGCACCCAGAUUUAAAAGUGAUAAAUUUUGAUUGAGGAUGCAAACAAAGCAAGAGUUGGGACAAAUUUCAAGUCUCUGUUGAGUAUAUGUAAGAGCUUUAAAAAGUAUUUUGUUUGCUUGUAUGAGAUCUUAAAGGUUUCAAGAUUGUUCUAUUACUAGGAAUCAAUUUUUGACUCCUAAAUCUUGUUUGGAAGUAAUAAAUUCCAUUUUGUGAAAUUGUGGAAUUGAGCAUCAAUUAAAAAAGCCUAGGAAUUAGGGUUUAGUGUUGGGCCCAUUUCUUCGCUCUAGUGAUCUUACCAUUUCCUAAGAGGCAUGGCAGGCAAAACUUGAAAAUGGACACUUUCAAAUGGGGUUUCAAUGCAUUAGAUAUCAAAUCAUUUGUGGACGGUAGAAAGAUACAUUUUAGUUGACUAUUUUUUUCAUUUCUGCAACUAGUUAGUGAGGCCUCUCUCAUCUUCAAUACAAAGUUCAUUAAGUUUGGUCCUUAAAAAAAUUUGAUCACUACAACAUUACUGAUGCAGCGUGAUUUUACAAAAUAAUGCUCUGUAAUAAAAUUGAUGCAGUGAAAGGAUAAAUUGAUGCAACAAAAGAAUAAAAGAUGUAGGGUGAUAGAUAGAUAGAUAGUGAUAUUUUCAAUAUUCUAUUGAUUCUUGAGAAUACAUAAAUAAAUAAAUAAAAAGUUAAAUCCACGUUGAUUUAAAGAAUGCCCGCGAAUUUAGAGUGUUAAAAUUUGUUGAUUUCGUAAAAUAUCGAGAAAUAAUAAGAGGAGUAGAAUUCAAAGUAAAAGUUUAUUCUAAAAAAUAAUCAAUAACGAAUAAUCAAGGAGGUCUUGUAAAAAAAUAUUUAUUUAUACUAACCAUUUUAAGAUGACUCAUUUGACUAGAGAACUUAUUUUAAUAAAUAAUGACUAAACAACAAAAUUCUAAAUAAAUAAUUAAAUUAAAUUAGAAUACAAAUUAAUUAAAAUAUUCUUAAAUAUUAUAACUUUCAAUUUGAUUAGGAUUUUUUUUUUUUUUCAAUUUCUUCGGAUGAAUCACUCAUGCCAUCAUUAUUAGCAAAGCAAAUUCCCAAAACCUGGUGGGCACUGAACAGUCCAAACUCUAAAGUUUCUGCAGAUUAAGACAAAAUAAAUUAUGACUGAGGAUGAUAACAAAUUAACAAAAUGUAAGGACAAAUUCCAAGUCUCUGUCGGUUAAAUACAUGUGGUGGGAGUUUUAAUGCAUAUGCAAAAAAACUUAAAAGGUUUCAUCAAGAUUGUUGUAUUACUAGGAUUCGAUUUUUAUGCCUAAAUCUUAUCUGAAAGUGAUAGAUUCCAUUUGUGAAAUUAAUGGAUUGAUGAUGAAUUGCAUUGCAAAUGCAUGCAUUGAUUUUGGCAUUCAAUUACAAUGUUGAAUUUUCAAUGCAAUUACGCGUGAUUGUAAUAUGAAAUAAAAUCAGUGUCACUUCGUAUCUCGAUUGCGGACACAACUUUGUAGCCAUUCCCUUUGUCUGUGAUCAACAAUGAAAAAUUUUUAACUAUGGUAAUUAUAAUCUCAAAAGAUAAACUCAAAAUCAAUGUGUAAGUGUGGAGUUGAAAUUUUACCAAUUACGGCCUAACCAAAUACCGAAGAUUGAGCUCUUAUUUUCAACUAUUUUUCUAAAAUUGUAAAUGUGGAGAAUCAUGGCCAUAGCUGUGGACCAAAACUUUUUAAGAAUCAGACAUUAUUUUGUUGGUUGUCCUCCAAUUAAUUGAAAAAAGUUUUGGCAACCUCCCAAAGAACAAUUUUCUUUCGGGAGAAUCGAUUAUCGGUUGCCCACGUUUCAUAAAUUUGGUGCAUUGUUUGACCAAUUUCUUAAUGAUUUGCAAUUCUGUUACUACUUUAAGUACUCCAUUAUAAGUGUUUGAUUAAUUUCAAAGAGAAGAAAGCAACAUCUUUUUAUUAGAUUCUCAUUCUGUCGUUCACAUGCCCAUUUAAUUACUUUUGAUGUUGCCUUCAAGAAAAUAAAAAAGUUACUUUUAUUGAAUUAUGGCUCAUAGCUAGGUGCAGGAUAUAUAUAUUUAUAUAUAUUAACUUUUUAAUAUUGGAUUCUAAAUGUGGGUUAUUCGUGUCAUUAUUGUAUAUGUUAAGAAACACAAUUUGAUGUAGAGUAAUAUAAUUUUAAGGGAAAAAGAUUCCAAGAUCUCCAAGAUUUAUUAAAAUAUAUAUAAGAGACAAACUGCUCAUUAUAUCAAAUUUGCUAGCUUCUUGUCCAUUAUUAUUUUUUAAAAAAGAUUUUUAAAAGUUUCUUUUAGACAUACUGGGCGCAAUUCACUUUCAAAUUAGCCCCACAUUUAGAUGAGGGGCAACGUGUGGGAGUGUCUUGAAAAAAAUAUAUUGGCAAAUAGAACUUAAACUAUGUUUCAAAGGUUGAUCAUCUCCUCAUUGUUUACUAACCUCGCCGGCUGGCUUGUUAGUCUUUAAAUUCCUUAACUUUACGACACAUUUUCCUUGUAUUUGAUAUUAUUUCAUUUGAAGAUAUUUUUAGAUGCUUACAAAUGAUUUUUUAAUUGACAAGAUUGACUCUUAGUUUCCUAUCAUAUUUCUUAUUUUCGUCCUUAUUUUUUUCCCGAAUUACCAUCAAUACUCUAAUUUUAUAAUUUUAUCGAUUGGCUGUUUAAGAAUAAACCUAACUUUGAUUAACCUACGAAUCUUCUUACAUUUUCACAACCACUUCUCAUAAUAUUAGAUUGACAGGGAGAUUAUGAUAGUAAAAGAGCCUAAAAUAGGUCUCUUCAUUAUUUCUUUAACAUGGGGAAUAUAGUAGGCAAUCAAAAAUAAAUUAAGACCAACAAGCUUGUAGAUUAGCUGGCACAUGGCUGUUCUAAGUUAACCAAAGUUUUCGGUUCGAACCUUGGAAAUGCAGCUGCGUUAAAUACUUAUUGGGAGAACUUUGUCACCCUAAUGGUCCUACCCGGCUUGAAUCUGGAUUAGUCGAGGCCCAAUGUAAUUUUCGGAUACCAAAUGGUUUAAUACACACAAAAAAAAUUAAGGACAUAAAUGACAAAAGUGAAAAACAAUAGAGACCUAAUUAUCAUCUUUUUCCAUUAGUAAUUGGUCUACAGUAGAGAAAAAGUCCAAUCAAAUAUGCAAAAUGUAGAAUAUGUAAUAUAUCCAAUUACCCAUUUUCUUUUCUCAUUUGUGAUAAGUGAGAUCCUUCUGGAUUAAGGCUAUUCUGGUAUGUACGUAUGGCAGAAAUCAGCACUAUUGUAAGAUUGUAUAUGUAUGACAAGAAUCAAGACUAUUAUAUGCAUGUUGAAAGAUCAAGGUAAAGUUGCUGUGCAUUCCCAUUAGCAUUACCGAUGAGCUGCUCCCUCCCCCGGUUCACAGCUUCCGUGGAGCACUUGCCUGCAUGUUGAAAGAUCAAUACCAUAAUAACUAGCUAACACACACAAAUGGCAAGAAGCAGUGAAGCACAACGACAAAAUGGAGCUACAAGGAUGAUAGAGUGACCCUAAACAAUAGAAAGUAGGAUGUGUACAUGUUUGUGAAAAACCAAUAAACAACACAUCUUAGUUAACUAUUUAGAUCCACUACUCAUCUUGCCUUCUUGAGAUCCACAAAUUGGUGAUUGAUAGAAGCAAUAACAAUAAAUUAAAUACAUCUAGUUACACCAUACAUGAUACGGUGUAUGUUUUGCUAGAUUCUUAAUAAAGACAAGCAGAGCAAACGAGUAGACAAUUCAUUUCCCCCGAGUAAACCUCUAAAGUUAAGGAAAACAUCAACAUCUUUGGAACAAGAAAGACUUAAUGCCCUUACAAAAGCACCUGGCUCACCAUGUAGACCAUCACAGAGUCCAUAUAAAUUAGCAAAGCGCGUCACCCUUGUCAUGGUUGUCUCCAAAAGCGUGAGUACCGCCAAAAUUCAUUAAACAAAAUCGUUGGAAUAUUCAUCUCAAUUAUUAAUGUUUGUUCCUUCUACCAGUUCAAGAUACUUGAAUGUAUAAAAUGCUUUAUCGCAAUAAAUUCAGUCAAUAUUAUUUCCGCCGCCCUAAUUUGAGCUUCUGAUAAUUAGUUGGUAAUUUGACCGUAAUAUGAACAAUAAUGUAGACUUGGCACCAAAAAACUCCAAUCCAAUUAAACUGACAUCAUCAACCAUACUGUGGCCACCACCAACCUCAUCUAUGGUUGGUAUUCACAAUAAAAAGAUAAACACUACAAAAUUACAAAUAUACCCUCAAUCAUCAACAAUAUCUCCACCCUCACCCCUCGCUUCCUCUUUGUCUAUAUAACAGGCACGCUCCCCCUUAACUGAUUGCCACAAGAACAAAACAACUCUCUCAGCAAAACCACCAGAGAUUUUCUUUCUUUCUUAUUAUUAAUUUUUUUUUUUUUUAUUUAAAGAAAAGACAAAUGGGUUCUCUUGAUCCUCAAGUUAUUGAAGACUUGGGGAAAGGGGUCAUUCAACUACUGAGCGAUGGCACCGUACUGAGGUCCAACAAUAUAGAUUUUGAUUACCCUUUAGACAAGAAUGACGGCUCUGUCUUGAUCAAAGACUGUCAAUACGAUGAAAAACAUCAACUGCAUCUCCGUAUGUACAAACCCCCUUCAAUAAUAACAUCCUCUAGGAAGCUUCCUAUUGUCGUAUUCAUUCACGGGGGAGGCUUUUGCGUCGGCUCACGUGCAUGGCCAAGCUCUCACAACUGUUGCAUGCGCCUGGCGACCGGGCUCAACGCUCUUGUUGUUGCCCUAGACUACAGGUUGGCGCCGGAGCACCGUCUCCCGGCUGCCAUGGAAGAUGCUUUUAGCGCCAUGAAAUGGCUCCAAGAUCAGGCUCUGAGUGAGAAGGUCGUUGACGAUGAAUGGUUCCAUGAUGUUGAGUUUGACAGAGUCUUUGUGCUGGGAGAUUCCUCCGGGGGGAAUAUUGCUCAUCAUCUGGCAGUUCGGCUCGGCGGCGGCGGCGGUUUUGAAGAGUUGGCGCCUGUUAGGGUUCGAGGGUAUGUGCUGUUGGCGCCAUUCUUUGGUGGGGUGGCGAGGACCAAGUCUGAGGCAGGGCCAAGUGAGGAGCAUUUGACUCUCGCUAUACUCGACAGGUACAAUGUUUUCCCUCUCCAUUUAGUGAGCGUUAUGGAUGAAUUUGGAUCCGUUCUCAUGUAAUUAUAAUCCGAGUUAUGCAUAUCUUUAUAUAUAUAUAUAUAUAUAUAUUUUUUUUUUUUUGACGCAUACAUUUAAAACAGAGGACAGUUAAAACCAACAACAUUAGAUCUAAAUUUAUUUGAGGUUGCCGUUUUGUCAUAAAACAACAUGUUUAUUCUUUCAGAAUGAAGCCGAGGUAUAACCGUUAUAAAUUAAUUACAGAUACUCUAAUUGAAGGUUUCUGAUCAUUUUUUAAAUAACGGAAUAUUCUGUUCCUUUUUUUCAAUAUUCUAUGCAUUAUGCAGGAUUUUGCAACCGCAUGCGAAUUUGUUCUUUUUUUUUUUUUAAAUUGCGUCUUUCAUAAAUGUUUACAAACGAUGCUGUUUAGAUUUUAUAUUUUCAAAUUUAAAAAAUAUGAUUCUGGAAAUGAGAAUCGAGAAAAAGCUUUCAGAAGUAAUAUUUUCGUUGUUCAAACACUAAAUUUUAAAGCUUAAAGCAGUUGAACCACACUUUUUAUGCAUUUUUCCAUAGUUUUUCAAAUUUUAAAAUUUUUAAUUGGAACAUUUACAUAUAUAUAAUGCGAGGAAUCUCUUUUUUUUUUUUUUCUAUGCAGAAAUACUUUUAAGUCAUGCCGUUUAAGAGAGUAAGUUUUUAAUGUUAUUAAACCACAUAAUUUUAUAAUUCAUUUAAAAAUAAGUCUAUUAAACCUCACAAUUUAAGAGCGUGUUAUUAAGACACCCGCACAUAAGAAUUAUAGACACACCACGAGCAAGGCAACAGCCAUAACUUGUUUGGAUUCCCUUUUUUAAUAGAAACAAAAUACAUACCCACAAUUUAUGUGAGUCCACUAAUUUUUGGAACUCGACACAUCAAUUUUUUUCCAAAUUGUGUGAAGAUGACGUGUCCAUUUUAGUAAAAACGUUCUGGCCUUUUAUUCGUACAUGCAUAAAUGUGGUUCCACUAUAUAUACGUGAUAUCACUCUCGUGAAAAUGGCUUUCCACAUAUACGAUUCCACUAAAUAAUUAAUUUAAUUUGUGUUCUCACUUGAGACAUUUUAAUGAUUAGUUUACAUUUUCUUUAACAUUAUUCCUUGAAUUGACCUCACAUGAUCAAGAACUAAUAGAUAGACAUAUAUAGUGCUUAGCUAUUGAGUAUUUCUCUUGUAAUGAUAAUUUAUUUGAAAUAUUAUAGUUGUAUGAAGGAAAGAAAAAUUUACAGCUAUAAAAUCAUACCAAAUAAAAUAAUAAUGCAACUACAAAAUUUUAACAACUUUAUUACAUUGACAUAUUUGAAUCAUAUAAUAAUAAUAAUAAUAAUAAUAAUAAACCACUUCUCUUACGAAGGAGUUCAAGUAGUUAUAAAGAAAGUUCAUAAAACACACACACACACACACACACAUAUAUACACACAAAAAAUAAAAAAAAACUUAUAUUAUAUGAGAAAGAUUUCAAAUCCCUUGUAUAUUGGAACAACCUCUAAAUUAAAAAUCAGUUUACAAACAAAAUAUAAUUUUAAUAUAAUAAUAAUAACACAUAAUUCAAUAAUAAAUUCAUACAGGUACGUGGAAAACAACUUGUAUCAUAAAAAAAAAAAAAAAACAACGACAAAAGAAUAAUUUUAACUAUUUUUCCAUUUUUAUUCUCAUGCGUUGUGUUAAAAAUUCAUAUAACACAUCAAAAUAUUAACGUGGGGGUUCCUAUCAAUAAAAAGUAGCUUUUUGAGAAAACGCCUUCCUUUGCCUGCCUGUUACUGGGGUCACAAAUAAUCGAAGCAAUUUGUCAUUGCCUAUAAAGAAAUUGCAAAUUUGAAAUUUAUAUGAGCUAAAAAGUUGGCCACUAGAGGACAAGUUAAAUUAGCCAACUAGAAAACUAACCUGUAACCUCCAUGACCAUUUGAAAAGUCCAUGAAAGGACAUUUCUUUACUUUUGCCAAUUUGCAAUUUGAUCCCACGAAUUGGUCACCCUUUAAUCCUGCCUAAAUUCAGAAAUUAAAAUUAAACAUAAUCACAAACGCCAAAAAAGACAAAAAUAAAUAAAUAAACAAAUGAGAGUUAAGGGAGAGUUAUACAGGUCAAAUGGAAUUAAACUGAAUUAAACCACUUGGCUUUUCUUGAGUUGUUCUCUUUCUCUCCUUGAAAAAAAUCUUCCCACGUUUGUGAAACUUUUUACAAUCAUUAUCUACCUGAUAGUCUCCUUUGGCUAAUAAUUACCAAUCCUGAUGAUUAUUUCAACUUUUUUAUUCUUAAUCAACUGAUUUAAGUGUGCAACUAGGACAAUUAAAUUUCUCCAAAACUCUUAUCCACUUUAAUAAGCAGUUAUGUUGGAUUAGCUAAAGAAAUAUGGCCUGGACUAAUGAACAUCGUUCAUUUUAUAACUAUCUCAUGUUUAGCACAGAAAAAGUCUUGUGAUGAUAAACGCAAAAGUUAACUCUCUUAAUAAUCGAUAUUACUUUUAAGAUAGUGCUCAGUCCAUUAAUUUUAUUAAUAUCGACUUCCCAUCAUCACCCAAAAUCAUUUGAGAUAGUGCCUUAUCCAAAACUAUCUUCCUCUUGGUCUUAUACAAAAAAGGUGAAUCCAAUAUCUGAGUAGAUAUAACUCACAAAAAUUUUAUGACCUAUAUGAUAUUAGCGUGAUUGAAAUUCGAUUUUAAAAUCUCUUAUACUAUUUCAAAAGAUUCUACCAAUACAAUCAAUUAGUACCGGCAGAUGAUCAUUUGAUGUAGUUUUCUUAUAUAUAUUUGUUUAAUGCUUGGCAGCUUUUGGAGGCUAUCAUUACCAAUUGGAGUAACUAGAGACCAUCCAUAUGCAAACCCUUUUGGCCCCAAGAGCCCUAGCCUUGAAGCAGUAAGCCUUGAUCCGGUGUUGGUAGUUGCCGGCGAAAAGGAACUAUUGAAAGAUAGGGCUAAAGACUAUGCAAGAAAAUUAAAAGAUAUGGGGAAGAAUAUUCACUAUGUUGAGUUUGAAGGAAAAGAACACGGUUUCUUUAAUAAUAAGCCAUCCUCAAAAGCUGGCAAUGAAUUCCUUCAAAUCGUCGGAAAUUUCAUGUCCGAAAACUCAGCCUAGUCCUGACAAUCAAUCUUUCUUGAUUAUUAUAUAUAAUCAUAUAUAGCUGCCUGGAGUUGCAUGCAUGGAUUAGUGAUCUCUAUUAUUAUGAGUGUUAAGUUUAAUUCGUAUGCUUAGUUCGUUUUUAGAAAUAUUUUGAAGUUGUGUUAGCUUUAAGUGUAUUUGGAUCAUGGACGAUGAAUGUACUAUCUUAGUUUCUAUUCUCUCUUUUAUAAUGUGACUUAAAAAAAAAAAUCAUCGACUUAUUGAGGUUCACUGUAAUUAAUUAUUUCUUUUGGUAAGUGAUGUCCUGUAUUUGGCCUUGAAAAGACAAUUUGCAUGAGGCAUUAGGGCAUUAUUAUCACUUCAAUAAUUGUAGAUUAGACACCAUAAUCUAAGGCUGCAAUUUUAAGUAGGUUUUUUUGUGGCUUAGCAUUUAUGGAAAUUAGUGCGUAAGCACUUAGAUUAUUUAAGCUGGCAAGUAACUAAAUUAAUUUGUUUCUAUAAAUUAAAAACAUAGAGCAUUUGGUGUCAUAGUGUGAUUCUUGCUUAGGGUGCCAGAGGUCCCGAGUGCAAUUCCCGGAAUGCCCCCAAAUUAUUAUCAAUCAACGAGUCAACGACCUAACUUUUGGUUUAGUUUCUGUACAAUAUUCUCGUUAAUAUGCUGUUUGUGGUUGUUAAUUCAAAAUUAUAUAUAAGUCCGUAUAUGGACUAUGGACUGAGCAUAUAUAUAUAUAUAGGUUUCUUUGACAGUGAAAAAGUUUGUAUAAAAAUAAUAUUUCAAAAAUAAAUGAACAAAGAAAAAGUUGUAAAAUAUUGUUGCUGAAUCAUUCAAACAGAAUCCCAAGGGUCGCAGAAAAAAAGUCCUGCUUUAAUGGUUGUGAGUAAUGUUUAAAGGGGUAUUCUUCAUGGAUGACGAUAAUCUUUAAAGGGGUAUUCUGUUAUGACCUCAUAACUUGAAAUUUUGGUUAAUUUUAAAAUUUUUGGAAUUUUAUUAUCAUUUAUCAUUUAAGGAGAAACUUUAGGGUAUAUCGUCAUUAUAUUGCCUCAUCCCGUAUAACAAACAGUCCAAUAAAUUUCUUUAAUCGGAUAUUUAUGAGUUCACAUUAAUGUUUUUUUUUUUUUUUUCUCCAAAGAGAUAAAAUUUCUAUUCUUAAAAUCAAACCCUAGUUUGAAUUGCCUCGCCCAGUACUUAUACACAGCACAUAAAAACCCUACUCUAAUUUUUCUUUCUCCAUAUUUUUUUUCCCUCACUCAGCGAACUUUAAAUAGGUAACACUCAAUUUUCUCAAACCCUAAUGCUGUUUCAAUUUCUUAUUCUCAAAUCAUUUUGAUUAUGAGUUUGUGAAUAGGUAAGAAUGGCCACGGCGUCGACGGCGAAGGCAACUUCAGCGACAGCAGCGCCAAAACAGGCCCAUCAGGAUUCAUCUCAGCCGCAUUAUGAUGUAAAGCUAUUUAAUAGAUGGACUUUCGAGGAUGUUAGCGUUAAGUUUCCACAUUUUUUUUUCUUUUUUACAUUACCGCUUCAUUUUUCUUUAAUACUAUGAUCUUUAUAUAUAUAAUAACAUACAGUGAGGUUUUUGUUAUGAUUAUACUUUAGAGAUGUCUGAUUUUUUUUUUUUUUUUUGGGUACGUGUAGAUCUUUGGAUUCAGAUUCAGAUUUAAUCUGCAAAGUAUCCCCUAAAACUUGAGAGGAAAUAUUCUAAUAAACUUAUGUUGAUUGAAUUUUUUUUCAAUAUGAAUUUUUUUAAAUUAACCUCUCUUAGUUGUGAAAGACUUGAAUCUGGAACAAAUUUUUAAGAUAUGUGAGGGUGCAUGAAGGAUUUAUAAAUGAAUGAAUGAAAGUGUCAUUGAAUUUUGUUUAUCCCGAUCUGCCACGCUAAAAUCUAGAUAGAAUCCAAUAAUAAUAUUUAAAAUGAAUGUUAACAUUCUCGAUGCAGACCACCCAUCAACUCUCUUUAUUAAGAGUUAUAGCACAAAUUUUAUCAUUCAACAACUCUCUCUGUACACAAAAUUUGUCGAUUAAUAAUUUAUACUUUUAAAUUAUUUGAUUUUGACUUUUUGUAAAUCUCAGUGAUUUUGAUUUUUUUGUAAAUCUCAAUCUAUAGGUGAGCGACAUGUCCUUGAAUGAUUACAUUGGAGUCCAAGCACCAAAGAAUGCAACCUAUGUACCUCACACAGCUGGGAGGUACUCAGUGAAGCGGUUUAGGAAGGCACAGUGCCCAAUUGUUGAGAGGCUCACAAACUCACUGAUGAUGCAUGGACGAAACAAUGGCAAGAAAUUGAUGGCCGUCAGGAUUGUCAAGCACGCCAUGGAAAUCAUUCACCUUUUGACUGACCAGAACCCAAUUCAAGUCAUUGUUGAUGCUGUCAUCAACAG
rnacentral:lncRNA from 1 species